GUAGUCGAUCCUAGUGCGUGUUAGUGAGAGACCUUGCGCCAUAAGGUGAGUCUAAACUCUUGUUCUCACUACGCUAUCUAAGAAAGACAUAGUUGAUAGGGUUUAGCUUGCGGUGUCGGCAUCACCUGCCCAAGGACCUAUCUCUUUGUUAAUGUUGGAUCGCAUCUUUCCAUUAGGCCAAUCAACUAAGUUGAUAUCCAUCAACGAAGGGUGGUUCAAUAGUAGACUCAUUAUCCCACAUCCUCAUGUACACUAGUGUACUACUUGUAGAGAUCUCUAUAUGGAUUGGAUUUGACAUUGAAGCGUCCCCCAAUGAUAAUCACAAUUCAGAUUUCAUGAGACGAAUUUGAGUAUCACUGAUCAAUGGAUCAGGUUGUGCCAAGCUCACUUUCUUCUUAGUGUGAGAAAGUAUUGAACCUAAGGGUCUCCCUCCUUUUGGGAGCCACACGGCAUUGUGACACCAAUUUUGCCACUAUAUGGCGUCACUAUAUCACCAUCCAUGGUGAUGGCGUCAAGACCAACACCUUUUGGUAGCACCAUGUCCUUUUGUAGGACGUCAAUCCUUGCAGACAUAUUUGCAGCAUGUGAUCUCGUCACUUUAACACUUUAAGCAUUUGGGAUCAAGACGAGACUUAGUGGGGACAAACCACGACAAUUCACGUCGUUCCACUUGAACACUUGUGUUCUUAUCUCCCCCUAACGGCGGGAAUAUUGUCUCAUCAAAGUGACCAUCAGCAAUAUAGCGGUGAAAGAGAUCGCCUGGUAAGGUUUCUACAUAUGCAGAUUAUAGGUGGAGGUUCACAUCCAACCUAAAUAUUUAUUCAUCUCAAAUGACCCAUCAUUGUACGUAGUGGCAAUGCGAUUUGGUACCUAGAAAUAACAUUUAGCCAAGCUCAAGGAUUGGAGAUCCAUUUCAAUCUUGUUUGAGCUCAAGGAUUGCAAUCCUGGUACACAGUCACGAGCUGUAGUAUAAAAAUAUUCAAUGAUGGUGGGUCGUAGAAGAAUAGUAAAGCUGCAUGCAAAUAUUACAUAGCCCCAAGACGCAAUAGAAAGAUUGGUGCGCAUCAAUAAUGUUCGAGCGACAAGCUAAAGUUGCUUGGUCGUAGCCUCGGUGAGACCGUAUUGCGUGUGAACAUGGGGUACAGGACACUUCAACUUACAUCCCGAUAAACUUCUUUAAAGAAUGGGUAGUGAGCCCGUAGAAGUAUAAGCAACAUAAGCAGUAGAUAAUAGUGUAACACGUGACCAGUGUGUUAACACUUCAACCAACACCAUAAAACAUAAAAAGGUGUCUGUAAGUUGGUUGUAUCUAUCUACAUAGUUUGAUGUAAGAAUUGACUGUUCACUUUUGUGUUAUUUAGCGUAGGAGGGUCUCACUCCUAAUUUAGCUAAAGAAUAGGCUUUCAAAAAGAGCAAUGAGCAUUGUACGGGGCCAAUGCGACAUCGAGGGAAGGCCGGUGCACCUCAAUUGCUUGAGGAAUUGACCAGACGACCUCUAGGAAGUUGGAGUCGUGUUCGGGUGACGUCAAUGUCCCCCGGGUCACCACCAUGCUUCAUGGUGAUGCUAGAUCUCGAAUGUCUUCGUUUUGAGCGGAAGAAUGGAUGUCCAUGAAAAUUUCUCAAAAUUUGGACCAUUAUAUUUUUUCCAGGUUGACCAAUUUGGUCAAACCAAAGCCUAUAUGAGUCGUUUUCCCAAAUAUCAUGUUUAGCGACAACAUGAGAUUCGAUAUUCGAAUCGUAGUGACAUACAGUCCACUAGAUUGACUCAUGAAUUUCUCCAAGAUGCGCUUCAGUCCGCAUUCAUGAGAAGGUAUACACAAAAGAAUUCUUGUUCAUUCUCACAAUGUGUUUUCAAAUGAAAACUAUUAGCAGAAAUGUCUUUAAAGCUUAAUAUGGUUCGAUCGUCUCUCAAUACAUAGAGGGUAUAUGUGACAUUGAACAUGGUGCCAUGAGGCAUCAAGAUUCAAGCUAAACCACGUCCGUGAAUGACUGGUAUGAUUCAAUCAUUGUAGUCACAGAAGAUUUACAAAUGCACAAAAUCCAAAGAUAAUUGCCGGUUCCUUAGAAUGUUGUGGAUAGUUCCACUAUCUGCGAAGCACUCAAUGUCUCGAUGAGACAUAUCUACAAGAAGGAGUAGAUAGGCGAGUUAAUAGUUCCACUUGAACCGUUUAGAAUGAUUGAAAGAAGCUACGAAAAGCUGCAAUCCCAAUAGUGCAUAAAAAUUUCCGCGCAGAAUGACCUUUGCGCACUAAAACAGCCAUAACUUCUUCGUUAAAAUAGAUAUGGACGAACCGCGAAAAGUUCUAAAAACUAGACUCGUAGAACUUUCCAAUGAUAUAAAGCUCACUGUCUGGUUCGUCCAAAGAUGUUCAUAAAGCUCAAACGAAGUUGACUGUCCAGAAGGGACAGAUUGCUGUUUUUCGCAGAAUUGGCAUGUGCGAAGUUGUGAAGCUUACAAGUGGCGUGUAGGCUUUUGGCUUAACCAAAAGUGACGUGUGUAUGAUCAAAAUCAAGUCCUUUCAGUCGUUCCAAGAUCAUAAACUUCAUGACUAGUUAGCAAAAGCUCCCUGACAUGAACAUAAACUAACUCAGAGGACCUAGAGGAUUCGAUCAUGAUGAUAAUUUUCCGGUUUUGAUAAGUCUUCAACGUCUUUUGCAAGACGACAAUUAGUUUAAUAGCGUAGGGGGAUCCAAAAUCAAAAGCUUUCAGUAACUCCAAGUCAGUAUGACCAGGCAUGUCCGUGGAGGGUCGGUAAUGCGAGGCACACUUGAAACCACUAUCUCUUUAAUUUCGAACAAUUCUAAGACAUCACACUGAGUUUGGAUGAGCCUAGUUGAACAAUUGAUGAUGGAAAAUCCGCUAAAGGGUAGAAGACUUAACCGGAAACACGUUAGCGAUCCUUCUUGCGGAUGCAAGGCCGUGCGUCAUCUUCACUUGGAAGAGACCAAAACGGCACAAUCUAACCAUGUAGAUUAUAAAUAUGCCAUGCUUCUAAGGACGAUGUAAAAAUGUACAUCUUGUUUGUAAAUCAAUACGAACCAUAAGAGAAGAAUAGUUUCAUAACUUCGAAAAAAUUCUCAAGGCAUUCAUUAUUGCUAAUGUGAGUACAUCGAGAUCUCAAAUAGACGAAGGACGUCGAUACAACGCCUUAGUACAUAUAGCUUGGAACGAAAAUCAAUGUCUAGCCGAUGACAUUAAAGUCAUGGGUAGCUAGAGCAGGAUCCGAAUAUUUGAAAUUCGCGAUCAUGAGGAUGACGUUCUUGUCCUCGUAUUGAUUUUUCGUACCUUUUUGUAUGCAUUCACAAUUUGAAGGAGCUGGACAAUCUUGAACCGGUGAUCUGAAGAUCCACAAUGGUUGCAUUGUCAUGAGCUGAUGUGAGUAGUUUUGACAAAAUGGUGUCUAGACCGGGAGUGUCGCUAUUAGAGCCGGCGACACCUCCUCCUCUUUUCUAAACAUCGGCACGACGUUUUCUGUUGUUGCCAUAACCCAUAUUGUUGUCCCACAUUAGAGGAUAAUCUCAAAUAAGUUUAUCACAUUAGCGUAUAUACAAUUCCCGUUUGUAUGAUCAAAAUCAAGUCUCGUUGGUAAUUCCAAACCAACUUAGAAGACCUAGAGAACUUGAUGAUGAUCGAAUCCGCUAAAGAUUAUGGAUCAUGAUGUCACAAAAGAUCAUCGACAAUAUGUAAUCAAUUAAGGUGGUAAGCAAUUCACUUGACUAAUAACUCAACAAGUACAGUUAUAUGAAUGUUUCGAGAAACGCUCCAUGAGUGCAUUCCACAGUACUUUAUGGUCAUUAUUUUUUGCACAGAUUAUCAUUGAAGGCUUUUGUCGAUGUGGCGCUUCAAAGAUUUUGAGCGCAUGAGAUGUGAAAUCUCGGCAUCUAGGCCUGUUAGCCUGGGGGUCAAAACAUGUGGUUUAAUCCUUUCCAAUGAAAGGUUCCACAGAUACCAAGCGAAGAUCCGCCUUAGGCAUCUAGUACGUCAAAACUCAAAGGAGUAGAAUGUUAUAUUGCUUUUGCAUACAAAACCAAGCUGUUAUGAGACUCAAUAGAGGUCACAAACAAUGUUUUUAAUGGUAUAUCUUUCGGAUUGAUCACACACAAUCCAAAAAAGCCGCGAAUUGAUCAAACACAAUUCGAAAAAAGGCCUCGGAUUGAUCAAACACAAUCCGGUGAUAGGUCGGGGUUGAUCAUACACAACCCGAACAAGGAAACAAGAGUGAUUAAACACACUCUUGACUCGCGAAUAAAAUUCUGAACUUUUGGUACCUGCAAAUACACCGACCUGAGCAUAGAAUGGAGUAGAAGAAUGGGGGAAAACACUUUAUCUCCCCCGAGGUUAUUGAACUUGGAAGAGUUUUAGGGUUGUAAAAUAAACAUACCGUAAACACUUGGAUGCUUGAUCGGAUGAAAAGAAAGUAGUGGAGCGAACGGUCGGGAAGCGAUGGCGGCAGCUGAGGCAAAGCCGAGAACCUCCGGUUUUGGUUUUUAGGGUUUGGAAAAAAAAUGGUAGGCUAUUGGCUCUAGGGUUAGAACAAAGUGCAUGAUAACGUGAUGAAGUAUAAAGUGUAUAGACAAAGAGAUAGCAAGAGAAUCAUCAUUUUAUUCAUUGAUAGGAGCUUUUUAUAUAGGGAAUUACACAAUACCAAUAUGGUAAGGAUAUGAAUACAUAGAUCCAGUCUAACUACAUAUCCUAUUGGCAUAAAGCCAAGACACAUAAAAAAUAUCUAGAAAGAUACAGAAUAUCCUAGAACAAAUACGAUUAUAUUAUCACUAAUUAGACCAUAUAAUAUAAGAUGCUUUUAUUGUCACCCCACAAACCAUUUUGCUCACCUCACACAUUGUUGAUUUAUUGAAAUAUCAAAAUACCCUCAUGUAAAAAUACUGCAAGGGACAAUAAGUUGUUACAAAUUACAAUUUUUCUUUCUUUUUCUUUUUUAUCUUUUUGUUUUGGAUGAACAUAAAUUUCAUAACUCUAACCCAGUUUUAUCAUAUUUGGUCGUAAGUCUGAAGACACUAGCAUUUAACCUGAAGAUGAGGUAAACUAUUUGUAUUUUUUUUUCCUUUGUUGAUGAUUCGUCUAUCCCUUUAUUCAUUAUUUCUCAUGUUGACUUUGUAUGUAAAUUCUCAUGGACAACUACUGUACCGUAUAUAUGAACAACAGAUAAAUCAAUUCAAGAAAUUUAGAAGUAUGGAAGGCGUUGCUACUAGAGAUACAUUUACCAACAUUGUGCAUCUUGAUAUCGACUGAUAUCAUUGAGUUGUUAAAUUUAAGUAUCGACUGAUAUCAUUGAGUUGUUAAAUUUAAGAGCUUUUUCUUAUUCUUUAACUUCGAUUUAUACUUUCACGUGAAUUUUUGUUCACUUGGUGAUUUUACUUACCUUGAGCAAAUUUGAAUUUGACAAUAUAUAUGAAAAGCAUGUAGGGUGAACAAAGUAGAAUUGAGAAAAAAGUUUUUAAGGUAUUGUUAAUGGGUGAACAAAGUAGACUUAUAAUUAAAAUAGGGAGUGAAAUUUACACUCUAUUUUACAAUUCACACUCACAUUUCCUUUUUGGGUAAAGUUUUCACAAAAAGACAAAAUACAUGUCACUAAAGACAAAAUUUAAAUUAUCAAAAGAGGAAAGUGGGAGUGUGGAUUGUAAAAUUAUGAGUGCAAAUUUCAGUUCCUUUAAAAUUAUAGGAUUAAAUUCAGUUUGCCCCUUCGUACUUUAGGUCAAUAAUCAGUUUGGUCCCAUAUCUUUUUUUUUAAUAACGUUGGUCCUUGAAGUUCUAUUUCACAUCAGUUUAGUCCAAUUUUUGAAUUGCCCUCCUUACCAUGACGUCAUGCGCUGAGCUGUCUGUGACACAAGGGGCUCAGUUUCUGACUUAAAAGGGCAGAAUAGUCAUUUUAUCAUAUUAUGGUCUUCAAAUAAUUUAAAAUUAACAUAAAUGACAGUGAUGACUGUGCAUAUAAACCUGCUGACCAAAAAUAAUCAAAGGUGUAUUAACCUCAUUAAAAAAAAACUUCACUGUAAAAAAACAUUACCAAAACCAUCGAAAUGACAGUAACAAAGUAGUACACAUUACCAAAAGGAUAAACCAUCAAAACGAAUACAAAAGAUGUCAAAUUACCAUUAACUAAGCAACCAAAUAGAUGCAUCAAUGUGUUUUACAUCAGAACUAACCCAAAAAUGGUAGUUUCUGUCGAGUUGCAUAACAUCAUAAGUCUAAUCAUCUCCACAAAAGAUUAGACUUAGCAACCAUAUGUUACAACAUUACAACAUAAGAAGGUUGCUCAAAAAUAUUGCAACCAUAUGUUACAACAUAAGAAGGUUGCACAAAAUAUUGCAUCUCUAAAUGCUAACCUUGGUUGCUAAUCCCACAAUCCCCAGCAGCUAUUUUCCAGCAUUCCUUUGUUGGAUUCUCACAGACACCCUUGAUGAAGCUUGUGAAGCUUGUGGUGCAGAAGAUGUGUUUGCAUUGCUUGAAGUAGGUUUUGGUGGUCUCCCUCUUCUUGCAGGUGCUGUUGUUCCCCUAGCUGCUGCUUUCUUUGCAUCCCUAGCUUCCUAUAGAUAAUUUCAUUAAAACAAAUGAAUCAUAACAGUUAUUAACCAAAAGAAUGAACAUCUAAUAAAGAAUAGUUAAGGGUUAAUUGCCAAUCAAUUUACCUUCUGUUGCUUGGCUCUUCUAACUGCCUUUGCUCUAAGCUCAUCUUUUGUCUUUAGGGGUGGUUUGGUACCCUUAGGCUACAACAAAUAUAAUCAAUAUAAGGUCAUGAAAACAUUAGCUUAUAAUAAUUAUAAUUUUUCAAACCAUUAUCAAUUGAACAUAAAAGUGAAAAUACCUUAGAACCAGAUGAACCCACAUCUGUGUUCAGCUUUCUCUUCUUUGCUGCAACUGUCUUGUCUUUGGGAGGAAGAUGUAUGUGGCAAGUCUUUCUGUUGUGACCUAGAACACCACAGUUGCCACACUUCAAAUUCUUUUGCACCUUCCCAAGCUUUGUACCCUCUAAAUUUAGUUCAUAUGCAUCUUUGAAUCUUUUAUUCCUUGGUCUCCUUGGCUGCCUAUUAUACUCUGGGGGGAGGAUAGCAUGUUCACCACAAGGGAUCCACAAGUCCAUUCCAUUCACCGGCUUGACCGUGUUAGAGUAAACCGCCAUAUAAGUCUUCGUAAGGUGACAAGGAUCUAUAUAGUCUUCCGGACUUUGCCGCACAAAGUUGAUCGCCGAUAUGUCAUGUUUGCAUGGAAUGCCAGUGAGAUCCCACCUCCUACAUGCACAACUUCUUCUUUCCAGAUCAACCACAUGCCUACUUCCUCUAAAGCUCUCUAUCUCAAUUUGAGGACUGCCAGUGGCAUAAGGAAUACAGUCUGUGGUAGAUUUAACUUUGUUUUUCUCCAAAAGUUCAUUUGGCUUGGGGCAGAUAGGGUCUUCCACUUUGCUCAUCUUGUCUCUUCUCAUUACAAUCCUUCUCAUCAUCUUUACCCUAAUCUCCUCAAAGCAAGAAAUCACAGCUUUGGAUCUAGCAGGUAAAAUGAAAGCAUUAAAACUUUCACAUAAGUUAUUGAGAAGAACAUCACAUUUUAGAUGGGUACUAAAGUGUGCCCGACACCAAGUCUUUGGUGGUCGUAAGGGAUCUGUAAAAAAAAAAAAAAAANAAAAAAAAAAAAAAAAAAAAUCAAAUUAGAUAUAAGCUACUGAACUAGUAUUUAAACAAGGAUGUACAACUGCAUGAUGAAAUACCUGUUAACCAGUCAUGAGCUAAAGGGUCGAUCAAUUUCCUUCAUCAUAGUCAUCUCUUUGGUGUAGUAGGGAAUGGUUGUAGACUUGGCUAUUGCCCAUAAUUGAUCCUUCAGCGCCUUUCCCCGAUAUAACUUAUUGAAAUUGGUCCACAUAUGUCUAACACAGAACCUUUGUUCUGCAAGUGGAACCACAUGCUCACAAGCUCUCUCUAUUCCCUUAUGCUUGUCUGAUAUAAAUGUCCAUCCAUUUCCGCUUCGAGUUAUCUCUAAAUCAUUCACCAACAACCUUAGAAACCAAUCCCAUGAGUCUUUGCUCUCUUGCUCCACCAUAGCAUAAGCGACCACCCAAGUACUGUUGUUUGGAUCAAGCCCUACUGCUGAUAAAAGUUGACCUCCAUAAGCACUUUUUAAAUGACAACCAUCUAACCCUAACACAGGUCUGCAUCCAGCUCUAAAACCCAUCUUUAAUGCACCAAGACAAAUGUACAUCCUCUUAAACACUGGGAGUUGACCAGGAUUGUCAAAAUCACACAUAAUGUCUACUGUGGUGUUUGGAUCAACUCUCCUCAAUUCAGCAGCAUAGUCUUGGACCCUUGCAUAUUGCUCUUGCAAGCUCUUCUCAAGCAACUCCAAAGCAGCCACCUUGGUUCUAUAAGCUUGUUGAAACGAGACUUUCAAUUUCACACCAGCUGCCAUGGUUUCCAUAAGAGAGUCUGAAAAUUAUAAGACAUAAGUAACACAACCACCAUCAGACAAAUAAAAGUUAAAAAAAAAAAAAAACUGAAAAAUUAAACAGUAACUAACUAAAAGUAGUGUAGUACUUGUGGUAAUAUUAGAAUUGAGCCUAAUAAUGUCAGCAAACUUCCUAAUAAGGUAAGGGGUUCUGACAGCAGGAUUCUCAUGGACCCUUGCACAAGAAUGUUUGGGAAAGUAUUUCUUGAUCUGCAGUGUGCCAUCAUGCUGCAUCUUCGAUGCUAAGAGCUCAAACUCACACUUAGAGGCCUUCCAUAUCACCCUCACUCGAUCCCUAUCAUUUCUGUCAAAAAUUGGAACCCAACCCUUUUGAAUGGCCCUCUCCCUGAUAGCUGCUCUCAGAAUUUUUGGCGUAGCAAAGAGUAUCCCCAAGGUAAACCUAGGAUUCUCCAUAUCAGUUUUAGUGUUGAACUCUGGCCACUUCUUAUCAUUACCAUCUUCAUCAGAAAGUACUCCUUGGCCGAUUCCCUCCUCAUCUGAGUCUAUAGCCCCAGCCGUCUUCUCAUUAUCUUCCAAGUCACCAUCAUCAUAAAAGCUAAAGUCUGUAUUUCCAAAAGUAACUCCUUCUCCAGCUGCAACUUUUGAAGUGCCCAUACCAUCAGUUUUCACCAAUUCAGCCUCUGUCAACCAGUCGAAAAGAAAAUCAUCAUCCACUCCAUAAUCUGCAUACUCAUCAUCAUCCUUUGCAGGGUUGUAAUCAUCAUCUUCAGAGUCAUCAAUCUCUAAACCAUCGUCUUGUACAACAUCUUCAGCUGUCCCUAAACCAUCAUCUUCACUAUCAUCAUCAUCCUCAACUGCCUCAAACUCUAACUUAUUCUUGCCUUUAUCUCUAGGGUCAAUUGUUGGAGCUCUGCUAGCUUGGAUUGCAACCUCUACAUGUUCUCUAAUCAACACACCUUUCUCAGGUUUCCUCUUAUUUGCACACCUUUUAAACCUUCGGGUCCUUGGUGUACUUGCAUCUGCCACCUUAGUAGACUGUUCUUCCCUAGGUGGAUUAGAGAUCUCCUCUAUUCUCACACUUGUCCUCAGUGGUGAAUCAGGAAUCUCUUCUAUCACCACCCCACUUGAUCCGGCUUGACUAAAUCCCUAAUCAGAUAUAUGUUGUUCAAACAUCUCCAUCUCAGCUUCUCCAUUGUAAGCAGGGUCAAGCUCUAAGUGGUCUAGGUAAAGAAUAACCCAUCUUAUCUCAGGCACCAAGCAACAUAUACUCAUCACAUCAGUAUCAUUAGACAGCUUGCUCAUUGUUGCUCCCUCAGUGCCUAUGCUAUACCAGUAAUCAAUACGUGUUCCAACAUAUGUAGGAUUAAUCCCUCUUACCAUAUUAUCCACCUCAGUUAAUGACAUUCGGUCUUUGUCCACAUAAUCGUAGUAGCUAAUACAGCCACCGAUGUUCUUGGCCUCUACAUGAUGCACAUAUCCCCCGUGAUACACUUUCAUUGUAAAAUAGUCAGGUUGUACUACAACACAUGAACAACAUACAAUAUUAAAUCCAGCAAUUAAAACCCCACCAAAUGGUCCAACUACUAUAAACCAAACAUAUUCAAUUCUCCAGUACAAACAAGGUCCUAAAAGUAAUCGUUCUAAUCACUAUAAACAAAAUAGAAAGCAUAUUCAAUUCUCCAAUAGGACCACUUUUAAACCCUUACCCUUUGUUAAAUCCCUAUUUUACCAACCCAACAACAUUUAUCAAUUGAACAAUCAUCCAACAAUCAAUAUUCAUAUAGGACAAUCAAUAUUUAUAUAGAACAAACCAAAAAACAUUAAUUGAAAUCCUAAAAAUCUAAGGUCACUAUCGAAACACCAAAGUCCAUAAACUUCCAAACCCUAAACCAUGACAACCCUAAAUUUGAAGCUUUCAAACCCUAAAUCUAUAAACCAAACAACCCAAAAUCAAUAGAAUCAAAUAGAAUCGAAAACCCCAACUCACCAUAAUUGGGAAUUUCUGGCCAGACGCCUUCAUUGCCUUCGAUUCGGGGUAUCCAUUCAUCAAUCGGAGGCGCAGCCAUGCUCUUUCGCGACAUAUGAUGGGUAGUUUAGGGUUUUAUGAGGGACGACACAGUUUCUGGGUUUCGCUCUCUUUUUUAAGAAUGAGCGAUAGCGACUGAGAGAGCGACUGAGAGAGAGAGAGAGAGAGAGAGAGAGAGAGAGAGAGAGAGAGAGAGAGAGAGAGAGAGAGAGAGAGAGAGAGAGAGAGAGAGUAGUAGUAGUAGUAGUAGUAGUAGUAGUAGUAGUAGUAGUAGUAGUAGUAGUNNNNNNNNNNNNNNNNNNNNAGAGAGAGAGAGAGAGAGAGAGAGAGGUAUAAACGGUAAGGAGGGUUAAUUUGGUCAUUUUACGUAAACUUUGUCUUUUAAGUCAGGAGCUGGGCUCUUAUGUCGGGGACAGCUCAGUGCAUGACGUCAUGGUAAGGAGGGCAAUUCAAAAAUUGGACUAAACUGAUGUGAAAUAGAACUUCAAGGACCAAUGUUAUUAAAAAAAAAGAUAUGAGACCAAACUGAUUAUUGACCUAAAGUACGAGGGGGCAAACUACAUUUAAUCCAAAAUUAUAUCAGUGGGGUGUGAAAAGAAUGCGGGGUGAGCAAAGUGGUUUGUGGAUGUGACAAUAGACGCACCAUAUAAUAUAUAACAUGCAUUUGUAAGAUAACUUAGCUCGUGACUCGAUCAUCAUGAAGCCAGAACGUUAUAGUUGCAAUCACCGGGAAAUGGUUCCACCCCCUAAGGGCCAAUUUGGCAUUGCAUUUUGAGAGAAAAAAACUGUGUAUAUUUAUUUUUUUUCGACUCCCGACGCGUUUGGUAACUUGGCAAGAAUUGCGUUUUUAUAAACUUGUCGUUGGUGACCGCGAAAUUGAGAAACAGCUCGGACCCUGCUUUUUCAUAUUCAUGUUCUCUAAACGCGAAAAUAGAGUCGGUGCAAGUUUAUAGCUUUUCAUCUAUGCUCAUAAUACCCAUGGUCAAUUCUUGGUGCUUGACUAAACUUGCAUCCCCGAAACCCUGGAUAUCAUCGCUUACAAUCACAAUAUCGCUAUUCUCUUUCAUAACCUCAUAUACAGAAUCUACUUCCAAGUCAGACUCACCCCUCGCGACUUGGAGGAUAGGGGAGGCGAUGAGGAGGAGAGAGAGAGAGAGGAAAAAACCCUAAUCGACAUGGUUGUCAUUGUUAGAGCUUCAAAGAGGGUCGGGUUGGUCUAGGAUUAGUGGACAAGACGAAGGCUUUGGGUUUCUGGGCAUAAUUCAAAAGUACGAUGAUCUUUGGCCAAAAAGUCUUUGGAUAAAGAUGAAGAUAAUUAAUCUCAAAGUUCAUUUUGGUCAUUUACAAUAGUCAUAUAAUUUAAAUAUUAAAAUUUACCAGACAUACCAAAACUACUUUUUAUGACCACAACAAUUUAAACAUAUUGUUUACCAAACACUUUACUGAUUUUUUUUAAUGUUAAUUAUUUUCACAACUUAAUACCAAACUGGGUCGAAGAAAAUAAAUUACCCCUAGUAAAAUUGAGCCGUGAAAACAAGAACAUACACCUGACAAAGAUCAAUUACCAACAUACCAAAUAUGCAGCGACACAAAUUUAGGCUCAUAAAGCCAUAAUUAAUCCAACACCUCAUUAAAUAUACAUGGUCCAACGACACUACUUCUUUAGAGCCAAUAACCUCAGACUCCCACUCUCCAUCCGAAAUGACGUCGUUUCUGCACUUCCCUUCCACCUCCACACUCCCCUCCACUCUCCGCGGCGCCUCCCUCGCUACCCGCCCCAACCCCGUCUCCCUCUCUCACACCCGGUCAGCUCUCUUUCUCUCACACAUGCAGUUGAAUUCUCGGAGACUUCAAUUCGGUUAUUAUUCGCUAACAAAUUCAGCACAAUUUCGCAGGUUCAGUGUUAAAUGCAGGUACGCAGAGGCGAGCGUGAAGAGCGACGACCUCAAUUCCGGCGCCAUAGACGUCGUGGCUGAUGUCAGGCCUGAACGGGUAACCGGAAUUUCCAUUUUCGCUCAUCUCAAUUCUCUGGUUUCGGUUAUGUGUCUUUGAGUGAUGUGAUUGUGUUGGUAGGUUGUGGUAUUGGGAGGGAGUGGCUUUGUUGGCUCUGCUAUAUGUAAGGCUGCGGUGUCCAGAGGCAUCGAGGUUGUAGGUGUAAGCAGGUGCUUGUAAUACUGGUUUGCUUUUUUGUGUUAGGUUUUGGAAUGAUUGAGAUAUGAGCUUGGUGUGUGAAUUUUGCUGGAUUGUGCAGGUCAGGGCGGCCGACGUAUUCGGGGUCAUGGAUUGAUCAGGUUAACUGGAUACCAGGCAAGUUGCAUUCUACAAUUUUAUGAUCUGAAUAGGUUGAAUUGCUUGUAGCGCAAUGAAUCAAGUUUUCGAAGUAAAGCAGUGGGGUAUGAAAUGAGGGGGCAUUGGAAAUAGAGAAAUGGUAUUUAUAAAAGUGACUGCAUCUAUUGCAGUUUCGAGGUUUUUGGUUUUCAUUUUAGUUGAAAUACGUGGUUAGAGCUUGCAAGAAACUAGCGUGAGACAGAUCCUGUUCCUCAAAAGUGAAAAACAUGACUCUUACUGCUUAAAACCAAGGAGUAUGUUGCUGCGUAUUAGAUUUUUUCAGUAAAGAGUGUUAUUUACAAAUGAAAUGUCCCUUGAAAUCGAAGUUUUUGUAUGCUGAUUCAGCAUUGGCCUCCAAGUUUCCGUUCAUAAUGGGACUGAAAAAGAAAUAUGGAAAAUGUCAUGCAGAGAAACAACUUGCUGGGGAAGAAAAGGGACAAAGAAACCUUAUGUAGUACUAGUUGGGACUGUCAAAGUCCUAGUCUUUUUUUUUACGCGUUAGAUGGUUGUUAACGUUAAUUAGCACAAACUUUUUAUUGCUUACUAGAACAUGCAUGGUGAUCAUGAAAUUCAGCAGCAUGCAAAGGAAAAGGUAUCAAGGACAGUUUCAGUUUGGAAGUCUUUAAAGAAUCUUUUCAUAGUAUUUCCGGGAGGUGUAGAAAAGAAUUGUUGGUGAAAUUUUGGUAUGCAUUAGGAGUGAAUUGAUACAAGGACCCAUGUGCCCUUAGCUUGAGCAUGGUGCGGUCUCCUUGCUUGUACAAAACCACUGCCUUACUUUCUCUUUUAAGGGCAUUAUUUUGUUCUGAAUAUGUCACAUCAUGUCUUACCUGAAGCUAGGAGCAUUUUGGACUGCUAAUUAGUUUUGGGCACACUUUUAGGUAGAAAUUUGGGAUGUGGAUUUAAGUCCUCUUUGUAAUGCAGGGGACGUUUUUUAUGUAAACUGGGAUGAAGUACUUCUUGGGGCCACCGCAGUGGUGUCAACAAUUGGUGGUUUUGGCUCUGAGGAACAGAUGCAAAGGAUUAAUGGCGAGGCAAAUAUCGUUGCUGUCAAUGCUGCAAAGGAUUAUGGUAGCGAUGUCAAUUAUCAUAUUGCAGUAAAUUAUAUUCUAUCUUUCUAUUCUUUAUCAUAUUAUAUGAAUCAUUUUACUGCGUAAUGGUUGAUCAUUUUCUUAUGUUUGUCUCAAAGCACCUAGAAAAUUGCCAACUUUGUCCCCCUCAAUAUCACUAAAUCCCUCUUUCUCCCUAUAAUGAAACUUAACUUUCUGAAAAACAACAUUACAAGAAGUUUGAAUCACCCAGGUCAACCUGGUCUCUCCAAUCAACCUCAUCCACAAAAGAUAUGCCACUGGACAGUGAAGCAAAGAAGUGGUUUGAACAUUCUGCAUCAGCUUUGCGCUUUACACACCAUUUACAGAGAAUUUAAUCUCCUCCUUUUCACCAUCUCACAAGUUUCAUCUUUGCAUAAGUAAUUAUUAAGCUAAUACUUGUAAUCUUGUACUUUAAAGUUCAAACUUUUGAAAUACUUUUGAUUGACCAAAAGGAGAGAAAAAUGAAUCAUUUAAUAUAGUCAUGAGUAAGGUUUGCAAGAGAAGAUUCCUGCAUAUGAACCCUUCAGUCUAAACUCUGCUGACUACACUUUUUUCUCGAAGGACCUAUGAGUAAGUUUUUCCUCAGUUCAGUUACAAUCUAGGCCUUUAAGUUUUUACUUAACUAAAAAUACAGGAGAACAUAGUUCCCUCAAAAAUUUAGAGGGAAGAUAUCUUGCGCAUGGCCCUUGAAUUUUUCAGAGAGCCAACAGUCUUUCGCUCAUUAAGAAUGGUAACAGGAAGCUAAGUAAUUAUCUUAGCAAUUAGCAAUGUCUUUGAAAAGCUGCAGCGGUAAUCAGACUUAAAUAAGGAGAUGGUUUAAGGUUAGAUGUUUGGCUUUGGUUCAAAUGGUCGGUCUAUCUAUGUGACAAAUUAUAAGAAUAGUAAUUUAUGAAUUAUGUUAUAUAUCAAACGUAGCAUGGUUGGAGUGUAGUAUCUCAAUUAUGUGCAAAAGAUGGUUCAAUAUAUUUUCUGUCUUUCCCUUGGCAGGAGUUCCUAAGUUUAUCUUGAUCUCGGUGCAUGAUUACAAUCUACCUCCAUUUCUACUUUCAUCUGGAUACUUCACAGGAAAGAGAAAAGCUGAAUCAGAGGUUCUCUCCAAAUAUCCUAACUCUGGUAAUACUGAACUCUUCUUUCUAAUUUUGUAGGUUUUGGAAAUUUUACAUGCCUACAUGUGAGCAGGAUAUUUGUAAAACACGCUACCCAGACCUCCUUAAUGUGUCUUUGUUUCGGAUCUUUUCCUCAGGCAUUGUGUUAAGACCUGGUUUCAUAUAUGGGAAAAGGAAGGUCGAUAGAUUUGAGAUUCCUUUGGAUCUGAUAGGAGAACCAAUGGAAAGAAUUCUACGUGCUACUGAGAGCUUUACCAAACCAUUGAGUUCUCUUCCAGCAUCCGAUCUGCUCUUGGCUCCACCUGUUAGUGUUGAUGAUGUUGCCUUUGCUGCAAUCAAUGCAAUAAGAGAUGAUGACUUCUUUGGCAUUUUUACUAUUGCACAAAUUAAGGAAGCCGCUGAGAAGGUUAGGGUGUGAAUAUGUUUACAGAAUUAGCCAGUGAUAGUUGUGCAACAGGUCUGACUAUCACAUAAAUUCUAUUUCCUCAACCUUGGUGUUGGAGGAAGGGGAUUAUGUUGUACUGCAAACAUGAAGAAAUCGUUUUGUAAAAUUGCGUGUUGAUUCAUACCUUCGUAUAGUUAGCGACUACAAUUCGAUGACUAGCUGUUUAGAUCUUGACUUUGGUCUCCGGGCUUAUGAUAUAUAUAAGUAACAAUAAGUUUGACAUGGACAGUGGCUUCUUAUGGUUUAGGGUUUCGUUCUUUCUGUUUGGAGAGAGCUCAAGUGCUCUAACUCCCUUUCACCAAAAUUUUGGUCUGUAUAGUUGCCAGAAUGCAAGUAAAAGCAUGUUAAUAGGGCCGGGGAAGGCUAUAUAGUUGCCAAUAUCCUUGCUAAAUAAAGUGUUCAAUACUCUGCAUGUGUCUGCACUUUUACUUCCCCUCCUGCGCGCUAUGGUAGUUGAAGAUGUUCUUGAUGACAUCUUGGGAAUUGCUAGACCCAGAUAAAUUUAUAGGAACCAUACUGGCCAAGUAGUUUCUUGUUCUUCUCUAUUUGCUAGGCAGUUGCCUUCAUCUCAAUAGCACAUGACAUAUAUGGCAAGAUGGUGGUGUUGUAUAAUCCUAUAUCAGCUGUAGGAUGGAUUGUUAUGAACCUCCAUCAAUCACCCUUCGAUGUUUAGAAGAGGAAGUUUUGUUCAGGGAGAUGUUCACAAGACUGCGAAAAAUUCCGAUGACCCUGAGGGCUGAAUGUUUCUUAGGUUUAGCCUCCCAUCAUUAUUAGAUUUAGCAAUUGAUCAUGGAGAUUGUCCUUGUUUGAUAUUGCCUGUAGUGUUUGGUUGUGAUAUGGUAGGACGUUGAUCUUGUGCCGUAGGUAAGAACAAAACUAUUCUCUGCACUAUAGGUUUGAUGAUUCCAUUGUGCACAAGAACCUGAACCUUGAUCCAACAACACCAUUAAACACCUCUACAUUCAUAUUUGAGUGUCAAUUAUUUUCUCCUAGUCAACUCAAAACCUAUUGAAACAGAAGUCUUCUCGUAGCUAAGAGCAUCUCCUACAGUGAACCAUAUGUUAUACCACACGACAAAAAUUCAAAUCUAUAAGCAGUAGAACUUUAAUACCCUUUUGACGUCCCAAAAAAAAACUUUAAUACUUUCGGCCGCACGAUCAAAACAAACGGCUCUGAUUUAGCGGUUCCAUUAUAACCCAGAUUAGAUCCACCGCCUCCUAAUCAGAAUUAUUGGAAAAAAACAAAAUCUGAAAUUGCUUUUUUGGUUUGGUAGGUUUAGCUUUAGCCCUCAUCUUCUCAGAAGUGUUGAAGCGUUUCUUCGCUGGCUUCAAAGUAGGCUCCUUUGAUUCUUAAUCUUUACGGCUUUUGAUUAUUUCACUGGAUCAUGAACUUCUCCUCUUAAUUUCUGCUAUGUCUGUGUUUCUUAGGUCUGCUUUAUAUGGGUUUAAUUUUUUAUUUUAUUUUUUAAUCUCCAGAUGCAUCUAAGGGCUUUGAUCUUGGUACUAGUUUGUUUAUUCUUUGUUGUUUUGAUUAUAGAAUCAUUGAUUCUUGUGUUGCAGCCAAUUCUCUUGCUAAAAUUAGAUGGCUUUGCGUUCUUGUUGUUUUUUUGGUUUUUUGUGCUUUAAGUAUUUGAGUUGGGUGAUUUUAAGCAUUCAGAAUAUAGAUCCGAUUUAACAAGUUGAUUAUGAAAAAAUAUUUGUGAAUUGUGUGAAUGAUUGCACUUUCUCACUAGCAUGAUGAAUUUUUUGAUAGACUCGAUGAUUGAAUCCGAGGAAUUCAUGAUACUCUUAAUUUUGAUGGUUUUGGCUUCAGUCUGUAUGUUGUUUUUUUUUUUAGUAAAAUUGGUACUCAUGGUCUUGCUUUCUUUGCAGGUAAUCGUAUUCAAAUUCAGCGUAUUUGGGUAGUCAAGCUCUUCUAUAGAACUCUUUAAACCAAGCUCACCUCAUAUAAUUGCCGAAUAGAAGUAGUGGUAGAAUAGAUGUGUGAGUGUUUUAUGUAAUUUUAAUUUUUAAUAUUUAUGUACUUACUUCAAUCCGAAUGUAUUACAUAGGGAUUCUUUUACUGAGGGUGUCUUUUGAUUGUUUCAGAAUCAAUACAGCUAAUUGGUAAAAGAAACAAAUAGAGGUAGUUUCUCUUGAUCAAUGUUUUUCCUUCUGCAUUUGAUUCUUUUAAGAUUCUUAUUUUCUUUAGUGGGGUUUGUUUCAGUCAUUGCAAGAAGAAUUUCCAGUUUCUGGUGACUUGCACAUAUACGUUGUUCAGAAACAUGACUUGUACAAUAUGGCCUCUAACUACAGAAUACGGUACAAAUUUGUGUGUUUUUUUUCCUUUAGUUCUGUUGUUUAUAUUUGCUUCUUUCACUUAAGAAGGGAAAGUACUUCUCCAUGCUUGUGCCUGAUUUUGACCUAACACUCGAAGUCAGAAUUUUGAGCUUCUGUGUUGUGAAAGAUGAUAUACAUAUAAAACGGGCAACUUAUCAUUACAAAUUCAGGGUGUUUGAUGUCAAAGGCAUCAUGUUUCACUGUUUCUUUUAAUCAUUGGUGGUGGUUAGAAAUUCCCAACUUUUCUUUGGCACUUUUACGCAGCAAGGUAAACAACACUUAUUAUCUUUGACCUGUAUUAUGGAACUGGACGUCUAGCAUGAGAAUAUAUAUGAUUAAGCUUUACCGUAAAUACUCUUACAUGCAUAUUUUACCACCUUGUAAAUGAACUAGAAUUAGUAUAAUAAGAGAAACCAUAUCUUCGAUGCAGGCUAUGCAAAUUUGUCUCCAUGGAACAAUUUCUCCAUUCCCGUAACUCAACUUCAGUCUUGUACAUUGUUUUUAGAGCAUCUAGGAUUUAGUCUGUAAAUAGGGCUUUUCCGUGUAGAUAAAUGGAAACAGACAGGGUUAAGGUCUUGGAUGAUGACCACCACAAAAUAGUUGUCAAUUUGAAGGGGAAAAGGGCAAAAAAUAGUGCAGCAGUUAUAGUUGGAACUAGCCGCCCAGUGUUGUCUCGACAGUCCAGCUCACCUUCAUCGUUUAACAAACUUGGCAAACGUAAGCGAUCUGAUGAAUGCAGAAAGAAGUGUAGAUCAAACUUCAGAAGCUCCGUGCUUAAAAACUAUACAAAUUUCAGCAAAAGUGGGCUUCCUCAGCGAUUUCUAUACUAUGAAUCUGGGGACUGGAUAGACUAUCCUCAUGGAGUUGUUGACUUGGUCAGGGAGCACUUUCGACAGAAAAAUGCAGUUAUAAAUGUGGAUUGGAACGGCUGCCGUUUGUUGCUAGAUAUUCUGUUUAUGAUACAGGUGGAAAUUAAAACUGGUCAAGCGAAGCAAAUUGCUUGGAUUGAUGAAGCAGGUUGUUGUUUCUUUCCGGAGAUCCUUUCCUGUCAUUUAGAAAAAGAAAAGUACUGCCAUUCUGAGUUACAGAGUGAUUCACCUUAUGUGCUGAAAGAAGCCAAAGGGCCCCAAGAGAUCACAUUGAAGCUUGAGAUUGGAAUAACGGGAUUGAGUAGCUCCAAUACAGAGGAAUGUGUUGAGGAGUCGAAUAGUCCUGCUAAGAGGAUAAAAAUUGAACAAAACUCUUUUGGUAGUCGAGAUGAUAGGGAAAAUGACUAUUGCAACCAAAUAUCAGAUGCCCAAAUGCAGGAAAUCAAUAAGGGAACUCGACAGUUCGAUGAAAACAUAUUGCCCGAGUCGCCAGUUCUGGAGCAAACAUUGGACUCUAAUUCAGUACGAGACAUGUUUAAUCAGGGCAUUGGUUCCUCUGUGAGUGCAUGUAUAGUAGAGAUUAAGCACUGCACUAAUGAUUUGAUGCAAGCAAGAGCUGAGCUGUUCCAUAAGCAGGUUGAAAUAACUAAGAAGUACCGCGGGAAUCCAAAUGUCCAAUAUGGUUGGAUGGCUGUUACUAAAGAUGCCCUAUCCAACAUCAUGCUUUAUGGGCUUGGUCAUGGUAGACCCAUGAUUAUGUCCACAUAUGGCAUUGGAGUUCACUUGACAUCUCUUAAUCAAGCCGAUAUCAGGUUUGCACAUAUAUUCUAUCUUUAAAUUCAUUUAUCAUGUUAAGAGAAUCUAGUAUAAGUAAGAUGCAGAUUUCAACUACCAUAGAAUCAUCUAUGGUGUUUAAUUUUGUUCAUUAGAUGUGGAGUAUUAGUACUGUACUUUUGUGCCCUCCCGCCCUAAAAAAGACAAUUUCUUUUUUCUGAGAUCCAGAUUUUGGUGCUGUAGUGAAGUUCUAUUUCUUGCUCUCUGUUUUGAGGAUAUAUUAUAUGUAUAUCUGUGUGUGUGUAAUUUGUAGUUUGCUUUGUCAGAGGUUUUACUACUUGUUAUCUUGACAGUGCAAGUUACUGUGAUGAUGACGAUAAUGGGGUGAGGUACAUAAUGUUAUGCCGUGUUAUCAUGGGAAAUGUCGAAUUGGUCAAUCCUGGAUCUGGACAGUGCCAUCCCAGUUCUAUACAAUAUGAUAGUGGAGUUGAUGACCUUCAAAAUCCACGCCAUCUAAUAGUUUGGAGUAUGAACAUGAACACCCAUAUUUUUCCAGAGUAUGUUGUCAGUUUCAAGACAUCUUCGAAAGCUGAAGGUGGUAUAUCUAUCCUCAUAUACUUGUUCCUUGUUUGAUUUUCUGGAGUGAUUCUUGCACUCACAGAUCUCCAUCUGCACGCCUUUUUUGUUUUUGCUCUUCAAUUGUUCUUAUUUCCAACCGUGCUCCUAGUCUCAGAAUGUUCUAUCACAAGUACCCAUCUAACAUUGCUGCCACGCUCAACUACAUGAAACUGAAUACGGUCAGUUAGAAAUGAAGGUGGGAUGAACACCUGAAAUCAAUAGGUGUUAAUAGCUAUAAUGACAAUCUGGAACUAUGUAGUGGUGCUCACUUGACAGUUGACAGUUGAUGAUCCCCAGCCAGUAAGUAUGAAUUUAGACCUAGGGUCUUUCUUCUAAUCAACCUAGAAUGAGUCUAUAGUUGCUCAGAUUAGGGAGUGGUCAUUGAUUUUUGGGUUAUUCGAACCUCUUUGAUCAAAUCACUGAGAGGAAAAAAAAAGAAAAGAAGGCGGCAUACUAUGGCAGUGUUAAGUUGGUUUCAUGUAAAGUUAAAACAUGUUAGAACACUGAAACUCAAAGAUUGACUGUUGAAAUAAGAAUAAUUGAAAGGUAGUGCAGAUGGAGAUGUGGGAAGUGUGAAAAUCACUCCUUUUAUUUCUGGAGCCAAAUUCAUUUUUGAAAAUAGUAAUUUGAAGAAAUAUGGACUUGAUUGCAUUUUUUUUUCAAUAUCCUAUUCAAGUAGCUUCUGAUAAUGCAGUCAGAAGGUUUGAAGCAGGCUGUGCAAUCUUUUUAUUUGGUCAUGCUAUCUCCAUACUUAUGAAAUAGGCUAUCCUUUCUCUUUGUACAUCUACGUAUGACUUGUCACUUGCUGGUCCAAAUCUCUGGUGGGUUUUUCACUUACUGGGGACCUCUUGGUUCAUGAAAACCUUUCUUUCGAUCAAUUUUGCUUAGAAAAUGCAAGUAUUGGACCACUAGAACUUUUUGUUGCUACUACAGGGACCAUGGUUACAGAAAGCAGAGGUCCUCUGUCUGGAAUUACAACUAGUGAUGAAUGUCGAGGCCAAUUGCAGUUCAACUGCUCCCCAAUGGAAUCAGUAAGUCCUCCAUUGCGUUGAAACUUAAGCUUAUUGUUUUCUAUUCCGCCUCAUAAUAUCAUCUUCAUCUUGUUUGCAAGAAUGUUAAACAUUGGCGUUAUUUGCAACUUUGCUUUAGUAAAUUGAUGCACAAAUAAUUUGUUGUGCCUAUCCAACAUUAAAGGACUUCUGAUGUUGGUAGUGUAGACGGCUGAAACUGCCUUAACUUCCAUUCAUGAAGCCAUAACUGUUCUGUGAUAUCUAGAAGGCAUCAAAUCCCAUAAUUAUUCUCCUUUAUUCUCUUUCUCUCUCUCUCUCNNNNNNNNNNNNNNNNNNNNCUUCUUCUCUUCUCUCUCUCUCUCUCUCUCUCUCUCUCUCUCUCUCUCUCUCUCUCUAUCUAUAUAUAUAUAUAUAUUCUGGCAAUUCUCUUUCUGGUGCGCCUUCAGACGAAACCUAAGAUCACCCAUCUUCUUGCCUUGGCUUCUCUUAAUAUUGAAGCAGAAUGUGAGGCUUACUUUGAAUCUUUCUUUAUAGACUUGAGCUAUGGCAAGAUGAUAGUUGUAUUAGGUUAUUUGGCAUUGGAUUCUACUAGUGUUAGCCAAAGGAUGUUUGCUUUGGAAUACUUUCGUGUCAGGUUCAAUGACAUGUAGAAUUUACUAGUGUUGAGUCAAAGUGUGGAAUUCUGUUGGUAUACUCUCAGUGUUUCAGUUCAUUUUUUUUGUAUAACUUAUUUAGCAAUUAUGCAUAAGGAUCUACAAGUUGUAUUCUUGAGGUUUUGCUCUCCUUUGUCACUUUUCUGAAUACUUUUUGAUACUUUCAAUGCUUUUUCUGUAGGGGAGGCGUUCUAGGCCAGCUUUAGAAUCCAAGGGAUCACAGGAAAAGCCUGUUGGAAUUGGCUCAAGCUCUUUGGCAGGUCCGAAAUCCCCAUGGAUGCCAUUUCCAGCAUUAUUUGAAGCUAUUUCAAAAGAAGUUGCUCCGAACGAUAUGAAAUUGGUUAAUGUUCACUAUGACCUAUUCAGGGUAUGUAAUUUUGGAUUCUUAGUAUUUAGAUCUUAGUGAAAAUUUCGUUUAUCAUGAUUCUUUCUCUUGUCGGUCACUUAUUAGAGCAAGAAGAUCAGCCGGGAAGAUUUUAUUCAGAAGUUAAGAGCAAUUGUUGGAGAUUCCUUGCUGAGGUCAACCAUAAUAAGCCUUCAGUGCAAGGUAAUGUCAUCUUUAAUGAUGUUAGAUACAUACUUGAUCAGUUCAUGUGGAGCAAUGUCAUGCGUUGUGUAUGUUUGUGGCUGGCCUGUGGAAAACAAGCUCUGACUUGCUUUCACAGUUAAUUUGGCACCCAUAUUUGGCUGGCUUCCCUUUGGUUGGUAUUUUUCAUGAUUUUUGCUUGUAGUUGUAUUCAAUGCUUGCCCUCAUCCCUUUGCCAGGGAGUCUUCUUCAUUCAGGAAGUUUUUUCUUGGAAUCUGUGAAUUCUUAGUUUCGUUACAUGUUUAUAAUUUAUUUAAAAUGAACAAAUUCAUAGCAACUCAUCUCUGAAAGGGAACAAUAUAGAGGUUGUCUGAUGAGUAAUUUAUAUAAAUGGAAUUUAUAUUUAUUAACUUAUGACUGUUCAUUUUGCACAGCUGCCACCAAUCUCUGCAAUCCCUAUGAAACCGCCAAAGCAGGGAGGAGAAUUUGAUGCCGCUUGAUUUGUUAAAUGGUGGUUGGAUCUCUGACUGUCGUUGGGGUCUGGCUGAUGUUUGGUAAGGUUGCUGCUCUCCUAAUGUGUCGACAUGAUGCAAACCAUAUUACCAUUUGACAGAUGGAUAUGGCUUUGUUGGAUUUUUGUCUAUUUAUGCUUUGUACUGAAACUCUGGUUUGAACUCUGGAGUGUAAAGCUGAAUUGGAUUGUAAACUGGUCACUGAUCAUUGUUAGUUCUAGUUUUCUAGCGAAUUUCGGGAAUUUUGAAAUUUCAAAUCUAGUAAAAUCCAUCUGUUUAAUGUCUGUUGGAAAAUGUCCUUUCCUUCUCAAUGAUUCUUACUGGAUCCCUUGGGAAAUUAUAUUGAAUAAUUAGUUAAAGUCUAGAGUGAUCUGAACUUAAGCCAAUAUACUGCCCUGAGAAUUCCUACAAAAAAGCAGCCUUGUAUGUGAGUGCUUAUUUGGCUGUAUGCCAAUCUGAAUUUGAACAUCAGAUUGUUGCCUGAAUUCAAUAUUUUCCUUAAUUUGACCUUUAUAGAUCGUUCGAAUAUGUUUAGUGGUAUGGGGUUAUUGGUGAAUGUGAUUGGUAGUAGGUACACAUGCUUUAGUGUAACUACUACGAUGCGCAGAUAUUGAUUUGGGGUGCAGUAUGAAUGAAACCAAUUACCUAUACAAAGCCAAAUCAUCCCUUGGUCCUAACUCCUGACCCAGAUUUGCAAAUCUUUUUGAACCAGGGAUGUGAGGAUUUGAACUCCAGCUUCGUUUACAUUUCAUUUUUUUUCGUGGUUAGUUUAUCUGUUUUAUUAGAUGAAAUUAAACAAGACAGUGCAUCUAUUUUUUUUUUUUUUUUUCUAGUAAGAUACGUCAAGUUUAUUGAUACAAAAACAUUAUCUUGAUAUUAGUCUCUAAAAAGGGAGGUGAGAAGAGAAAAACAUGGUUUAUUAUAGUGCAUAAAGCAUUUUUGCAGAAUGUUUCAUGUCAUGAUCAUUCAUUCUUCAUGAUCAUUAUGCUUGAAGUAUAAGUGGUGUAUUCCAUUAUUUCAGUUUCAUGCCCAGACUUCGAAAGUAUCAGAACCAUAUUGUUCAAAUGAUUCAAAUUAAUCGGGUUCUCGUUAAUAAACCAGAAUGAUCAGGUAGCGAGCCAAGCAUCCAAUAAGUCUGAACUCUGAAGCUGCUCGUCGAAAAAAAAAAACACAAGUCUGAAGCUUGACCGGUUCUCUAGAUUUGGCAUUUGAGAACACUGGCCACUGGGACUAAGAAUGAUCAGAUGUCAACCAUCGCACAUAGAAGACAUGCUCCAAAGUGUAAUUCAGUACAGUUUUGGAAAAGAGAAUUAGCACGUAUUGCUUGCAAACAAGGUGACAACUCACAAAUAUGCUUCGAUAAUAUAUGCAGUUGUAGCGAUACAGUUUAUGCCUACAUUUUAGAUGCAAAACUAGGGAACUCAUCAGAAAUAUUUUCAAUAAUGCAGCAGUGUCGUUAUUACUGUAAUGUUGAACUUUUCUCCCCUAACAUGGUCUAACCGUAAUUCGUUGAGGCAUUUGCACGAGCAGGACAUCCAUUUGCAAAACCCAUCAUCUAUGGUAAGUUGGUAACAUUUCUCAACACCAAGUUUUGGAGAUUAUUAUGAGAAACUAAGGUGGGUGCUCUAAGAAUUGUAUCUGUGUUGAUGAAUAGAGACCUCAAAUAUCCAGAAAAGUAGAUACAAGAUGGCAAUUCUAGCAUCACCCCUAUCUGAUAUGUGCAGUCUCAAUUGAAGCUCAAGCACUUCAACAUUACACCUUAAUGCAAUAUGGAUCCAGAGAGACCUGCAUAGAAGUUCCAAUCGAUACGAAAUCGCUGUAUCCUAUUAGCCCCAUGAAGAAUCAUGAACCUAUCUAUAGAAUUCAACAGUUUAAACGGAUCCUGCCUGUUUAUUGCGAUAUAGAAACCUCUGCAUCUUUUGGACACGCUGCCCACUUGAACGACUUGUCGAAAACUGAAGCCUGACAGUUUGUGAUGAGCCAAAUUGUUGGGUAGAUUACUAAAUCUAUCGACUACUCUUCCUACAGGCUCCUGGAGCUUGAGAACUUGCAGUUGCAAAUAACAUAGUCCGUGGUACCUGGUUUCUCUAUGUUCCUGUGGGAGAAAUUAACACCUACUAGUUUCAAAGGACAUGAGAUCAAAACUUGUAUAAAUACAUGGUGCCUAAGACCAUUUAAAUAUCUAAACUCUAUAUGCUCUAUUAUAUUUCACAUUUUAUGAGUCCAUAUUUAAGCACCUCUAAACAGGCACACAACAAGAAAACUGUAAUGAGAGGGAGGAAACUAUCAGUUGAAUCAAAUGCAAAUUGAGGAGCCAAAAAAGGACAAGAAAAUCGUAAAAUUAAUAUAAAUAAAGGGGACAUUAUGAAAAUGAAUGCAAAUUUAAGUACAGCUAACCCUUUACAGGUUUCCUGGUUGGUUAAUAGAACUACUCAAUUCCAAGAUAUCAACAAAAGUUUACACUGAAGCAGCUGCAAUUUAUCUCGACAAGAACCCAUAUUCUGAAAUUGCAAUCUCAAAUGCUUGAAUCCUUUCCCCGGUAGCAAAGCCAUUGCGAUCAUAAGACGAUAUUUCACCUAUGUUGAGAUCACUGCAGACUUGAAUCAACUUCUCGCCAACGCGUUUAGCAGCUUCAGCGGUACUACAAUUGGGAUCCUGACGGAUAGAUUUCUGCAGUGUGCUUCCAUAAAACAAACACUUGUUGUUCUGGUCAUCUACCAGCAUAGCAUACAAUUGUUUGUCUGAACAGAAGACCGAAAGCCUCGGCUUCGUGGGCGUGCCGUUGUACUUCUUCUGCAUUCUUCUGUUUCGAGUUUUUGCACUUUCAGUUCUGGCAGGCUGCCUCGCUCUCAUUACUACCGACUUCAUGGAGAAUUUUCUUAUAGUCUGCAAAACUUGAAAGUUGGAAGUUGCAGAACGACUCCCUAAAAGAGCAGAAGACAUAAACUGGAGAGCAGCAACGUUCACUAGAGCCAUACCUCCACCCUGCAAAUUGGGUAUCAUUGAAAACAAACGAAAAUCUGCGAAAAUUGCAAAGCAAGUUCAUUGAGACAUUUCAUCGAGCACCUUAUGGGUCCAGUUAUGAUGCAUUAAAACAUUCUUUGCAUAAAGCUCUACGAAAGUUGGACGCUUUGUCUGUGACCAGAAUGGUGGCAGCAGCUUACCAACAAGCACACAUCAAUCAUAAGCUUGUAGAUCACUUAUGAAUUCAGUUCAAUAAGCUAACACUUAAACGCAGUUUCACAAAGAAGAAAACUUGGGGACCAGACAAACCAACCCAAGUCCAUAUGCAAUGGAUGUAAACAAAGUGAUCAAAUUUCCAAAUUUGUUAGUUAUCUACUUUAGGGUAAUUGCUAGCAUCUAAUCUCUUUUAGGGUAGAGUGUUUGUCUAAAGAAAAAGCAUCCAUAAGUAAAUUUCAGGUUUUAUAUGCAAAAGGAGUAACACAUAGACAAGGAUAAGAUGCGGAAAGCAAGGUAUUUAAAACAGUAAUACUGAAACAAACGUGCUGCUCGUUUAUAAAGAACUCAUAGGAUCCACAAACAACCUAACAAGUAAAAACAAUCAAAACAUUCUUUUGCUCCUACCCACGUCACAGUCAUUUUAUGAUGCAAAACCACAAAAAGAAAGAAUCAAGCUUGCAGUAACUUCAAAUGUUCCAUUUCUGUUUCUUAGCUAGAUGAAAAAUCAAAGUCUACACAAAUUCCAAAACCUCUCAUUUUGAAACUCGCUGCUGAGUCAAGCUGAACAUGAGCCUACGCUUGAUGAUCCAACUUAAUGGAUUCACGUCUGUUCAAGGAAAACUCAAGGAACCCUGAAAAGCUGCACUUGAGCUGAGCAUGCAGGAAGAUACCAAAUUUGUGAAGCAGACAGAUGACAAUGCCAUAUGAGCUCUUUAAAACAGUUGGCCCAUGAUUCGAGCUCCAACUUUUGUACUGAAGAAAAGUGUCGGGAAUAUAUUUCAAAUCAUCAACUCUCUUAUUUUUCAUUAUAACUUGGCCUGAUUGCGCGGCAGUGUAGCAUCCAAAAGCCAAACUCUAAUUGUGAUGAUUGUAUAAAUCCCACUUGUAUGACAUGGCUAUACUUCUGGCAUAUAGAACUGAUAAUUUGAUGGAAGUCAUUUCUCACUACACCUUCCCAUUCCUCUAAAUGUUGUUCUACACAUGCAUUUGAAUAUGAAUGCCAACAAAAGAUAGCGAAGAUAGAUAACAAGAGUUCAGGGUCAACAUGAUUUGCAGCGUCAGUGCUGACCCUAGAGCUCACAGUAACCAAAAGAUUAGAUUCAGUUCAGAGGAAGUUGCCCACAAUGUCAGAACAUAUGAAGCUUCUUAAACCAAUGACAUUCCUGAUGGGUAUUAGGAACGAUAUAUUAGAGAUUAUCAGGUUCAUAUCAACUUUGAUAUAUCUCUAAUGAUCGAAGACCAACACUUAGUUAUUCAACCAAUAAAUCCAAGAACUCAAACUUAAGUUGCUUAGCCUUAAACAAUCAAUGGAUGAAGGAAUAAAAAUAAAAUAAAAUAAAUUUAAAUAGUCUCACAUGCAUUUCAUCAAACAGGUGGUGAGCAACAAUAUCAGUUUGUCAAAUGCAUUCUUACACAUAAUACUGUCAAGGACUGGGUCAUUGAUGGUUCAGAAUCACAAAACGUAAACAGAAACGAAGAAAAGCAAAAACCCAGAAAGCCCCAGAACUGAAAACACUACCUGGAAUCAAAAAAAGAUUGGCAAAAAAAUUUGGACCAUUUCUCGAUUUAUGCGUGUCAUCCUUGCGCAGGGGCCAUGCUAAUCUUCUCUGUAUCGUUCCAAUUUUAUCGGAUGUCCCCGAAGGGACGAGCUCUACUGUCAUGUCUUCCAAAAUAAACAGCCUUCUGUUUUCGCUUUUCUGCGAUGUGGGAUCAUAACAAAAGCACGUGGGCCUCACGUGUCGUCUCUCUCAAAGCGCAAUUGUAUGGGACUAUUGAAGGGGAUAGACAAGUAACCGUAACUUCACCAUGACCAAUGGCUUCUGAUGGAAAUCAUCCCCUUCUUUUUGUUCUUUCUGUUUGGAUUUAGGAAUCAAGAGCUUUAAAUCCCUGUCACAAAAGUUUGGUCUUAGCUGCUUGGAACUGAUCAUGAGUAAGAUUGUGUUUCGCUUCUGUAGCCUAAAACUUAACCAGUAUUGCUCUACAUAUUCAUAAGUUAGAAACAGAAUCAGACUCUGCUAGUCUUGUGUUCAAAUCUGCAACUCUUGAUCUUCACCUUCUUGGUACCCUCGUCUUGAAGUAUGGAGCAAUUUGAUACUUGCGGGUAUAAGCAUAUUCGUAACUCAUAAGGGAUGUACAUGCAUACAAGUAGCUGAAAUCCUUGCUAAGGAUUCAACACUCUUCGGGUGUCCGCACUUUCACUUCCCCUCCUGCCAAGGUAGUUGAAGCCUUGUUCUUUGGUGUAGCUAGACACAAAUAGCCGAGUAGUUGCCUUUCCUGUUCUUCUCUAUUUGAUGGGUAGGUGACUAGUUGCCUUCAUUCAAAAAAAAAAAAAAAAAAAGUUUCUUUUCUGGAUGAAAAAAUAGUGGCCGAGCGAGCUAUAGGUCUAGGCCGGAGCGAGCUUUAGGUAUGACCUUUCUCAAAAGAAUCUUUCCACAAGAUGAGGUUGACUAUUUUGCAGUCCGACUUGCUUCCAUUAGACCAGUCUUAUUAAACAAGAAUACAAUUUUUUUUUUAUAAUUCUUUUAGAUGAAUGCGAUAACUGAUAUUAAAUUAUAACUAAGAUGUAUAUAGAGUGAUUCAGAAAUAUCAUAACAAGAUACACAAAAUUAUCUAUAACAAGAAAAAACAAUAAAAGAAAACAAAACGCAUGAAUACAUCUAAAAUGAUAUAUAACCAUAGAACUGUACAUGGCCCUUCCAAUGAGGGAUCCCUAUUUUAAGCCAUUUAUAGGGAUAGGGCAUUACACCAACUUCCCGACUAUAAUUUUACAUCUCCACCGUUCAUAUCUUAGGUCUAUAUGAGUAGAUCAUCUCUACAAAAUUUCAUAUGAUUUGGUGAUCGUUAAGACUUUCAAAAGUUCAAUUUAGUUUUAAUGACCUUCAACGGUUUAGUUUGACNNNNNNNNNNNNNNNNNNNNACCUUCAACGGUUUUAGUUUGACAUAAGCUGGACCGUUCAAGAUCAUUAAAACUAAAUCAAACUUUUGAAAGCCUUAACGAUCACCAAAUCAUAUGAAAUUUUGUAGAGGUGAUCUACUCAUAUAGACCUAAGAUAUGAACGGUGGAGAUGUAAAAAUUCAAUUGGGAAGUGGUGUAAUGCCCUAUCCCUAGAAAGUGGCCAAAAAUAGGGAUCCCUCAAUGGAAGGGGGCUGUAGAACUGUAUGCCUAUUGAUGCAUUAUAUAUGUCAUGAAAGCUAGUGUAAGUGUAGGAAUAACUGUAACCAUGAUCGUUACCAGAACCAAGGAGAUACAACCAUUACGACAUUUUAUAACUACUUAGUAUUUAUAAUAAAUUUUCACAACACGUAACAUUUCACUGUCUUAUUAUAAAUAAUUCACAUGACAAACACCUGUUUUAUGUUUUAUUGACACCACUUUUAUUCCACAAUGACAUUUCUAUUUAUACUUUCACUGGUUUGUCCCCACGUCUCAAAAAUAUAAUUAAAUUUUUAUUUUGCAAUUUUUGAACACCGCCUUGUGCAACACACACCUUGGGCAACACACCAAUGCGAACCUUCCAUAAUACACUUUCACCCGCACGAUCAACUCAACGGCUCCGAUUCAGCGGUUUAUACAACUAAAAGAGAGACCCACCGCCUCCUACAAUACCCUAUGAGAAGAAUAUUGGAGAAAUCAGAAAUUGCUAAGUUGGUUCGGUAGGCUUAACUUUAGCCUCACGUUCUCAAAAGUCGAAACGUUUCUUCGCUGGCUUCAAAUCAAACUAGGUUUUCUGAGCCUCCUUUGAUUCUCAGUCUUUAGGGCUUUUGUUCAAUUUCACUGGAUCACUUCAGGUCCUUCCUUCUUUUUUCUGUAUGGACUUUUUUUUGUUGUUGAUUUUUUAGAUCCAUCUAAGGGCUCUGAUCUUGGUACUAGUUUGAUUAUUCUUUGACGUUUUGAAUUUGGAAUCACUGAUUGUUGUGUUGCAAUUAAUUAUCGUUCUGAAAUUGUAUUGCUGCAAUCAGAUUCGAAUUCAUUUUUUGUUUUUUUUGUUUUUGCUUUUAGUAUUUGACUUUGGUGAUUUUAAGGAUUCAGAAUGUAAAUCCAGUUCUAACAACUUGAUUUUAGACAAGUUAAUUAUUAUGUGAAUAAUUAUGGUUUCUGAUUUAACUGUUGAAUUUCAUGAUAGACUCGUAUAAUUGAAACUGAGAAAUUACUCUUCAUUUUAAUGGUUUUGGCUUCAGUCUGUAUGAUUUGUUAGAAUUCGUACUCAUGGUGCUGUCUUCUUUGCAGGUUUUAUAUUCAGAUUCACCGUAUUUGGGUAGUCAAACUCAUCUACAGAACUUUCAAGCUCACCUCACAAAAUUACUGAAUACAACUAGUGGUAGAAUAGAUGUGUGAGUGAUUUUAUAUUAUUUUAUAUUUUUUUAAAUUUACUUCAUAUCAGUGUAUUACAUAGAGAUUUUUCACUGAGGGUGUGUUUUGAUUGUUUCAGGAUCGAUACAGUUAAUUGGUAGGAGAAACAAAUAGAGGUAGUUUCUCUUGAUUGGUGUUUUUCUUCCUGCAUUUGAUAAUUUUUAAUUCUUAUCUUCUUUAGUGGGUUCUGUUUCAGUCAUUGCAAGAAGAAUUACCAUUUUCUGGUUACUCGCACAUAUACGUUGUUCAGAAACAUGACUUGUACGAUAUGUCCUGCUACUACAGAAUACGGUACGGUUUUGUGUGUUUCUUUUUCCUAUGGUUCUGUUGUUUAUAUUUGCUUCUUUCACUUAAGAAGGGGAAGUACUUCUAUAUUCUUGUGCCUGAUUUUGAACCGACACUCGAAGUUAGAAUAUUGAACUUCUGUGUUGUAAAAGAUGUUAUACAUAUAAAACGUGCAACUUAUCAUUAUAAAUUGCUUGGGUGUUAAAGGCAUCAUGUUUCACCUGUUUCUUUUAAUCAUUGGUGGUGGUCGGAAAUACCCAGCUUUUCUUUGCCUUUUUUAUGUAGUGAGGUCAAUAAAAGUUAUUAUCUUUGACCUGUAUUAUGGAACUGGACGUGUAGCAUGAAAAGAUAUAUGAUUAAGCUCACCAGUAAAUACUCUUACAUGCAGAUUUUACCUUCUGGUAAAUGAAUUAGAAUUAGUAUAAUGAGAGAUGCUAUAUCUUAAAUGCAGGCUAUGCAAAUUUGUCUCCAUGGAACAAUUUCUCCAUUCCCGGAACUGAAGAAAAGUAUUGUACAUUGUUUUUAGAGCAUUUAGGAUUUAGUCUGUAAAUAGGGCUUUUCCGUAUAGAUAAAUGGAAACAGACAGGGUUAAGGUCUUGGAUGAUGACCACCACAAAAUAGUUGUCAAUUUGAAGGGGAAAAGGGCAACAAAUAGUGCAGCACUUAUAGUCGGAGCUAGUCGCCCAGUGUUGUCUCGACAGUCCAGCUCACCUUCAUCGUUUAACAAACUUGGCAAGCGUAAGCGAUCUAAUGAAUGCAGAAACAAGUGUAGAUCAAACUUCAGAAGCUCCGUGCUAAAAAACUAUACAAAUUUCAGCAAAAGUGGGCUUCCUCAGCGAUUUCUAUACUAUGAAUCUGGGGACUGGAUAGACUUUCCUCAUGGAGUUGUUGACUUGGUCAGGGAGCACUUUCGACUGAAAAAUGCAGUUAUAAAUGUGGAUUGGAACGGCUGCCAUUUGUUGCUAGAUAUUCUGUUUAUGAUACAGGUGGAAAUUAAAACAGGUCUAGUAAAGCAAAUUGCUUGGAUUGAUGAAGCAGGUUCUUGUUUCUUUCCAGAAAUCCGUUCUUGUCAUUUAGAGAAAGAAAAGUACUGCCAUUCUAAGUUACAGAGUGAUUCACCUUAUGUGCUGAACGAAGCAAAUGGGACCCAGGAGAUCACUUUGAAGCUUGAGAUUGGACUAACUGGAUUGAAUAGCUCCAAUACAGAGGAAUGUGUUGAGGAGUCGAACAGUCCUGCUAAGAGGACUAAAAUUGAACAAAACCCUCUGGGUAAUCGAGACGAUAGGGAUGUAAAUGACUAUUGCAACCAAAUAUCACAUCCCAAAAUACAGGAAAUCCAUAAGGGAACUCGACAUUUUGAUGAAAACAUAAUCCCCAAGUCUCCAAUUUUGGCUGAAACACUGGACUCUAAGUCAGUACGAGACAUAUUUGAUAAGGGCAUUGGUUCCUCUGUGAGUGCAUGUAUAGUAGAGAUGAAGCAGUGCUCGAGUGAUUUGAUGCAAGCAAGAGCUGAGCUGUUCCAUAAGCAGGUUGAAAUAACAAAGAAGUACCGCGGUGAUCCUAAUGUUCAAUAUGGUUGGAUGGCUGUUACUAAAGAUGCCCUUCCUAACAUCAUGUUGUAUGGACUUGGGCAUGGCGGACCCAUGAUUAUGUCCUCAUAUGGCAUUGGAGUUCACUUGACAUCUGUUAAUUAUGGCCAUAUCAGGUUUGCACAUAUUUCCUGUCUAUCAAUUCAUUUAUCAUAUUAAGGAAUUUUAGUAGAAGUAAGAUGUUGGUAACAAAAUCAUCUAUGAUUUUUUCCUUUGUCCAUUCGAUGUAAAAGUAUUAGUACAGUACUUUGUGCCUCCUCCUCCCCCAAACAAAACUUAUUUCUUCCAAGAUCCAGAUUUUGGUGCUGUAGUGAAGCCUUUUAUGCUCUCUUUUUGAGGAUAUAUAUUCUUAUUUCUACUGUAAUUUGCUUUGUCAGAGGUUUUACUGCUUGUUUUCUUGACAGUGCAAGUAACUGUGAUGAUGACGAAAAUGGGGUGAGGUACAUAAUGUUAUGCCGUGUUAUCAUGGGAAAUGUCGAAUUGGUCAAUCCCGGAUCUGGACAGUGCCAUCCCAGUUCUAUACAAUAUGAUAGUGGAGUUGAUGACCUUCAAAAUCCACGCCAUCUUAUAGUUUGGAGUAUGAACAUGAACACCCAUAUUUUUCCGGAGUAUGUUGUCAGUUUCAAGACAUCUUUGAAUGCUGAAGGUUGUAUAUCUCUCCUCAUAUGCUAGUUCCUUGUUUGAUUUUCAGGUGUGCUUGCACACCCUGUCUCCUUUGAACGCCUUUUUUUUAACAAAUUUCUUUAUAUUUUUUUUAUGUGUUUUAUAUUUUAACUUUACUCUUCAUCUGAGAAUGUUUUAUCACAUGUACCCACCUAAAAUUGCCGCACCUCUCAAAUACUUGAAAUAGGAAUACAUUCUAUUUUCUGGAAAUAAAUGGUGGGAUUAACCCUCGAAUUCUAUUGGUGAUGGAGAAACUUGAUCAGCUGGCUCUGUGUUUAACUUAGGUCAUUUUUGGUACUUAUAGGUUUACAGAUAAUAAAAUAAUAGUAGAUGAAUUUCAUACCUCUUGGUUGGAAUAUGCUACUCCCGCAGCCAUAGGGGGUUAUAUCUGAAGAGCCCUAUCUGGAACUAUGUAGUGGUGUUCACUUGCUUGACAAUCGAUUCCCAACCAGUAAGAUCAUAAAUUUAGACCUAUGUAGUGGUCUUUCUUCUAAUCAACCUAGAUGAAUACUGUUGCUGGGAACAGGAAGUGGCCAUUGGGGUUUGGGUUUAGGGUUAUUCCAACCUUUUGUCUGAUCAAGUUUCUGAGAGAAAAGAGAACAAAUGCGUUAUGACUUAUGACUAUCCUUUUCUCUUCAUACAUCUACAUAUGCGUUAUGACUUACUGUUCCACAUCUCUGGUGUGUUUUUUUACUUUCUGGGAACCUUUUGCUUCAUGUAGACACUUUUCUUUAGAUCAUUUUUGCUUAGAAAAUAUAAGUAUUGGACCACUAGAACUUUUUGUUGCUACUACAGGGACCAUGGUUACUGAAAGCAGAGGUCAUCUGUCUGGAAUUACAACUAGUGAUGAAUGUUCAGGCCAUUUGCAGUUUAACUGCUCACCAGUGGAAUCAGUAAGCCCUCCAUCGCAUUGAAACUUCAGUUUAUUGUCUUCUAUUUCGACUAAUAAGAUCAUUGUCCUUUUGUUUGCAAGUAUGUUAGAUAUUGGUCGUCUUUGCUUUAGCUAAUUGAUGUGCAAAUAAUUUGUUGUGCCUAUCCAACUUUAAAGGAGGACUUGUAGAUAUCCCAAACUGCCUCUUAAAUUCAAUUGAUGAAGCCAUAACUGUUUGUGAUACUUUAGACACCAUCAAAUCCCAUAAUGAUUCUCCUUUAUGUUCUCAGUUUUUUUUUCUCUUUGUUUUUCCGGUAUUUUUUCUCUCUGAAAUCUAGUGCGCCUUCAGAGGUGUUCCUCUGCUUACCCAUCUGCUUGACUUUGCUUCUCCUAAUACUGAAGUAGAAUGUGGGGCUUACUUUGUUCUUGCUUAAUAGUUGUGUUAUAUUCAUUGACAUAUGGAAUUUUCUAGUUUUAGCCAAAGGAUGGUUGCCGUCGGAACACCUUUGUGUCAGGUUCAAGUCAAAGGGUGGAAUCCUGGAAUCCUUUGGAAUCCUUUGUGUCGGAACACCUUAAGCAAGCAUCCACAAGUUGUAUUCUUGAGGUGUUGGUCUCCUUUGUCACUUUUCAGAAAUACUGUCUGAUACUUUCAAUUCUUUUUCUGUAGGGGAGGCAUUGUAGGCCAGCUUUAGAAUCUGAGAAAUCACAGGAAAAGCCUGUUGGAAUUGGCUCAAGCUCUUUGGCAGCUCCAAAAUCCCCAUGGAUGCCGUUUGCAGCGUUAUUUGAAGCUAUUUCAAAAGAAGUUACUCCCAAAGAUAUGACGUUGGUUAAUGCUCACUAUGACCAAUUCAGGGUAUGUAAUUUUGAAUUCUUAGUAUUUAAAUGUUGGAGAUAAUUUCGUGUAUCAUGAUUCUUUCUCGUGGUAACUUUAUUAGAGCAAGAAGAUCAGCCGGGAAGAUUUUAUUCAGAAAUUAAGAGCACUUGUUGGAGAUGCCUUGUUGAGGUCAACCAUAAUGAGCCUUCAGUGCAAGGUAAUGUCAUGCAUAUUAGCAUUUACUGGUGAUAGAUAGCAUGAAUAUUUUAAUGUAGAUCAAUGUUGUGCAUUGUGUAUGUUUGUGGCUGGUGAUUUUAAUUAUUAUUAUUAUUUUUUUUAAAAAAAGAUAGGCCGUACACGUAAAAUCGCUAUAGAGGUUUUAUGAUGAAUAAUUUGUAUUUAUUGAAGUUUAUAGUUAUCAACUUAUGACUGGUCAUUUUUACAGCUACCACCAAGAUCUGCAUUCCCUAUGAAACUGCCAAAGCAGGAAGAAUAAGUUGAUGCUGCUUAAUGUUAACUGUUGUGGUCUGGCUGAUGUUUGGUAAGGUUGCUGCUCCCCUAAUGUGUCGACAUGAUGUGAACCAUAUUACCAUUUGACAAGUGGAAAUGGCUAUGUUCUUAAAGUAGUUUGUCGUAUAAAUUUUGAACUGAUCUAUGCUUUGUACUGAAACUCUGGUUUGAACUCUGAAGUGUGAACUCUGAAGGAAUCAUGGAAUUUCAAAUCUAGUAAAAUCCAUUUGUUUAAUAUCUGUUGGAUAUUGUACCUUUCCAAUUCAAUGACUUUGGCUGGAUCUCAUGGUAAAGUAUGUUGAACAACUAGUAAAAAUGUUUGGUAAGCUGAAAUUUAAGCCAACAUGCGCCCGCUCUGUGAAUUUCCACAAACUAGCAGCCUUGUAUGAUUAUGAGUACCUAUUUUGGCUGUAUAGCAUCUAAAUUUGAACAUCAAAUAGUCAGACUGUCUGCUCCUAUUCUAGAAGGAAAAGGUUGACCCUUUCCUACUUCCGCUAUUUUCGGUAAUUUUGACGUGCGUUAAUCUUCAGUAUCAGCAUUUGAAUAUGAAUAUGUUUAAUUAUAGUUAAUCUUUAAUAUCAGCAUUUGGAUUUAGUUAACUGUCCCCAAAUACCACGUGUGUAGAUGGAUGUGAUAUUUAGUGGUAUAGGGAUUACAGUGAAUAUGAUUAGAUUUUUCGUACGUCAAACAGACUAGGGACACAAGCUUUCAGUAUCCAUGGCGAUAUUUCUGGCGAUUCCCUGAUAUUCAAUCUAGUGUAUGAAAUUUGAGACUAUAUAAAAUAUUUGCAGCGCAGUGUGAAGUAAACCAGUUACAUUCAUAAUAAAUGCAAUGAUACGAACUUGACAUUACAUUUUAUUUUUGGUCGUCUAUUUGUUCCAAGAGACGGAAAGGAAUUUUUUUUUGUGCAUAUAUCAACUGAGAUAAAAGCUGGCAAGUGGGAGAGCUUCUUGGAGUGAUGUGUUUUCUUGGGUGCCUGCUCUACAAGCUGGUAAACCUAUGAGUUUGGUGAUAGCUGUGAAUGAAGUAUCUGUGGUCAUCUGCAAGUAUUUGGGAUUCUGAGAAACGACAGAGAUUGUGGAGGAUGAGGAAGUUGACUAGGGAUGGCAAGUUUUCGGUAGAGAGCUGGGAUAACAGUUCAGAUGUUCUAAGAAUAUGCUUCAUAUUAUAAUCAUGUUAAAAUACUUGAAAUUUUGGUUUUGUUGUCCAGUUUUUCAAUUUGAUGCCCAAACUUCAAAAGUAUUUGAAUCAUACAGUUCGUUAACAAACCAGAAUGAUCAGGUACUGAAGGUUUCUGCUAGACAACAUGCUAUUAACAGAAAUAUGAUGCGUACUGGCAUUUGAGAACACACAGAGACCAAGACUGAUCAGUUAUCUAGUUGAACCAUCGCACAGAAAAGACCUGCCGCAAUUGUAAGUAAUUCAGCUCAAUCCUGGAAAGGAGAAUUAGCAAUAUAUGCUUGCAAACUAGGUGAUUUUCAAGUUCCUAAUGACAACUGAUAUGUUGAAGCAGGGUGGUGGGCGUGACAGGAUGGAAAAGUUCAUUCGUUUUUGGAAGGCACGAACCGAGGGAAGUCAGUCAAGUGAGAAUAGAGCUAGCUUUGUUUGGAGUAAUAAUAUACGCUUACAACAAUGGUAGUUCACAAUAUAUGUUUGCACUUGAGCUACAAAACUAUAGAACUCAUCAAAAAUUCAUGGAAGAAUUUGGAUCAAAAACUCUGAUGUAACGCAGUAUUGUUAUUAGUGAGAUCUACCUGGAGAUGCAUCAUCUCCAGCUGAAGGAUCCCACCCAGGAGGCUUGAUGUUUGGCCAGUCACCUCGGCAUCCCAAGCGUAUGUAGAGGCUCUUCUUACCUUCAUAAUACACCAAAACGAAAGGAGGUUAUAGGCAUUAUACAGAAUUAUAGUCCCUACUCCUUAAUUGACGAAGUUGCCACCCUUUCAGGUUUACUUUACUUUGGAGAAGAAACAAAAAUAGAACUAGGAAAAUGGGAAGCAAAAGCUUGUGAUGUACCUGGAAGCUUCUUGUCUGACAGAACUAACUGUUUAAGAGCACUCAAGCAUGCCUGCGCAACAGUUUUAACGUGAUCUGCAUCCCAACCCUGUAGCUUGACAACAACGUCUGCAUUUGAGUAAGCUACUCCACCAUCUUGGAUAUGACUCCUGGCCUCUUCCUUUGCAGAACCUUCAUCUGUAUAUAUAGAGAUGUUUCAAGAAACAUGCUGCGAGAAAUUAAUUGCAGACAAUGACAUCCAAAGUUACAGACUACAAUGGAUGUGGGUGAUGUAACGCUUCAGCAUGAUUCACAAUGGGGAGUGCAAAUUAAUUUUGUGGAUCACAUCUUAUGGAUUUUUUUUUUGUCACUGGCAUGAUGAAGCUAAUGACUUGUGGUUUUAUCACUUUAUGGUGCCUAAUGAACCUAAAAAACAAUUUACAAAUGAUUGACAGCCACUGGAAGCUGUAGGAGUUUCUUAUACAUAAGAAGGCAAGCAAAGCAAUGAAGGAAAGAUCAAAAUGGUACCUGUAGCAUCAGUUUGUGACAGCCAGAUAGUAAAUCCUGCGUAAAGAUGGUGCCAUUUAUGAGCUCUUCCAGCAGCUCCGUGCUGGCCUCCUAAUGUCGCAAUGACUGCCCUAGCAUGACUGUAAAGACCAACAUAGCCUGUUAAAAAGUAUUCAUUGUACACAACCCUCCACCCUACAAAGGGAGACAGAAAAAGAAAUCUAUUCAGAUUUGAGAGAUAGUACCUACUUAAACUCUGUAAUAUAGCACUUUCUGCUUCCACUACAGAUUCAGAACCUUCAGCAAGCAGCCCUGGAAUUGGUUAAACUUGUUAGUUAUGAUGGAACGAUUGGUUAUUGUACAGUAUCCUACCUAUCUACAGGGUUAUUACUAGCAACUAGAUCUUUCUUAGGGUAGUGUGUUUGUCCAAAGAGAAUCAUCCAUAAGUAAAUUUCAGCUUGGAUAUACAAAAGGAGUAACAAUUUAAAUCAAGAUGCUGAAACAUCUCUGCCUCUUUGCAGAACAAAAGCAAUUUUGCUGCUCGUUUAUAAAGAACUCCUAGCAUACAGUAACAACCUAAAAACAAAUCAAGACAUUAAUUUGUAAAACCCACGUACAGUCAUUUUAUGAUGCAAAACCACAAAAAAUAAAUCAACCAUUCAGUAACUUUAAAUGUUUCAUUUAUGUUUCUUCUUUAGAUGAAAAAUCAAAGUUUAGACACAUUCCAUAUGCAUCAUAGGCAUCUAGCCCAUUAUUGGUAAUCUGAAAACUUCCUAUUUGUUCAGAUUUGUGUACUUCAUUACUCCUCAAUCUGUCCUGAACAUUGAACACUGACAACUAAGUUACUUAGGGCACACCCCAGGAAUAAGUAUGAUGGUGAUACUGACUGCUAGUUCAACUUUCAACAAUGGCAUGUCAACCAAAAGAAGCACAGCAAGUUGAGGUCUAGUAUCCAUCUAAAUACUCACAUGAGUCAACACUCUGCUUGGCAUAUGCUUCCAGCAACUCCUUUGUAGUGAGUGGCGUAUAUCUGAAAUCAGGUCAACCAAAGAAACCUAUUAAGAACCAGAAGACACAGAAGAACCAAGAAUUACUUAUAAGUUUUAAGAUGAAGGCAUGCAUCACCUUGCAGAUCUCACUUCCUAUUAUAAACAGUCACCAUCAUGAGCUAAGGUUACUAAGUUGCUACUUACUAAGAGAUGUAACUAGAAAAGGGGAGAAAAUCCAGCAAAAUUUAUAUAUGACAUCUUGGAUGGUUGAAUAUCAACAAUUAGAUGUGAUCUCUUCUCAAUAUUAGUUUUGAAUGUAAAGCAUUACCCCAGACCAACUGCAAGUUCUUGAGCCACUUUCUGGUUAAUUUCAGUUGAAUCCCCAACAAUGUAAAUUGAUGUUCCUUUCAAAAGUUGCAUAGAUCCCGCAGUUAAAGACUCCCAUGACUCGACAAUGUCAGGCCAUUUUAAAUCUGGAUCAUGCUUCUUCAAGUUUAUCACUAGCUGAUCUUCAUCUAUAUACCUGCUCAAAACAAGAAUGAUUCAUCUAAACACAGAUCUAAUCUGGUUAUAGAAUUUCAUGUGAUUUAGUUUCACAAACCAUAUUGUUUCAGCAGGCUUUAUUUUAUCAAACAGUUGAUUAGUUUCCAUAAGUGUGACAAAGGACCCAGAGUGCUGUACUUUUAUUGUUAAAGACGAGCCAUUUGCAUCCACAAAAAUGUCUCUGGAGCUUGUGAUGUUUCGUCCCCUGAGCUGUAAUCUCAAUUCCACCUCAGUAGAACCAUCAAGAAACUGCAUUGAUAUUUCACAUAAAUAGUAUAUAUGAGACAAAACAAAGUACAACUGUUGUAGGACAACAAAACAGAAGCCAUUUUUAGAGAAAAACAAGUUCCAAAAGGAUGAAUUUUGCUUCAUUAGUUAUCAGAGUUUAUCAACAUAUGUUCAAAUGAAGUUGGAUUCUUCUUGUCAAGCACACAAAUACAUGUAACUUGAUCAUUUACAAUAAUAAAAAGGACCAUAUAUGGAUAAAAUACUUGACAGUGCAGCCUAAAUUAUAUACUCUAGUGAAUUUUUUGCAGGGAAUACUCAGUAGCAGACAAGAAGACUGGAAGCGUAAGCAGAUGAUCGCAUGUUAUAUAUCUAAACUUCGACCAGUUUUAUUUGUUGGCUUAACAAUCAAUAAUUGGUUCACCAAGAUUACGUCCAAGGAGAUCAUAAACACAUUGAAUAGGAGUUAAAAUGCAUGCAUAUGUAAGCUUUCACAUCUCGAUCAUUUGGAUCUCUUCGAAGCCCCCAACAGCCCCAUCAAGUUAUUUUGAGUAUCAUUUGGUUCUAGCUUUGAAAUACAUCAUAAGAACCUGACAAGUAGGACUGCCAGGUGUGUUUUAUAUAAAAUACAUUUUCAAUUCCAAAGAUAAAAGGGUUGGUUUGAUACUUUGCAAACUGACUAAACUCAGAUAUGAUCUAGAGCUUCUAGCAAGACUUGCCACAGUUUAAGUGUUUUAAUUGCAAUAAAAGCAUUUGGGUAUUUCCCAACUAUCAUACUGGUGAGAGUAAUUUGCAGGGACUCAAGUACCAUAUCCCAUAUAUAUUCAGCUGUAACUAGUUAAGAAAAGCACAAGUAAGCAAAAGUGUGAGAUGGAAAUACCUCGUAGUCCUUGAGGGUAACGGGGGCGGUGGGGAAGCUUUGGGAGGAGAAGACACGAGGGAGGGGGGUCUUUAAACGGCAGCAGCCAACACGAGAUGGAGUUGUUGGUGGGAGGGAAAGGUAAUUGGUGAUUGCCCAUUUGGGUCUUGAGAGGUUUUGGAGGGAAGAGGGUUGCAAAUAAUUGUUGAUUAAAGCAGUGGAAGUGGUGGUGGUAGCGGCCAUUUCUGUUUGAAAAAUUGAAAUGGGGGAGACUUGGAUAAGAGGAAGAUGAGGACUCCAAGCAACUGAACCGUUGCAUGGAAAAUAGAAGGAAAUAUGGCCGACGACACAUCUGUCGGCAGUGUUUUUGGGAAAUAAUGUGGUCGGAUUGACCAUGUUUUACUUUUUCAUUGGGACCUCUAAAUUUGCUCACUUUACCUCAUCAUAUUUUGAAUUAUUAAAUGACAUAUAUAUCAUCUUACAUAAUGACUAUUAAGGACAAUAAUUACACAAAAAUAAAUAUAAUAUUUAUUCUUUUUAAAUUUUCCAAUUCAAUAACAAUGAAUUGCCUGCUUUUAUUAUUUUUCUUAUUGAUUGUCAUUUUCUAAUUUUACUCCAUAAUUAUUAUAGCAUUUAUAUAUAUAUUAUAACACAUACCUUGUUUUUUUUAAGAUAAAAGUACUCUUCAUGAUUUGAAUUAACUUUGCUCUGAAAUUAUGUCAUUGAAAUUUGAAAUUCUUUCUUACAAUUUGAUAAAAAAAAAUGAAGGUCUAGUGACAUUUCUAAAAUUUUAAUUAAUAAAUAAUAAAAAUAAUAAAAGUGAGGUUAGAAUUCUAGCUCUUCUAGAGUGGUAUCUCACUGAUGGCUCUGGCCCCCCCAGAAGGGGGCCUUAUGCAAAAAUAAAAAAUCAAGAAAUGGAGGUCGGGAAUAGAUGUUUGCGUGAAAAAAAAUAAAUAAAGAAUGGAUGUUCGCAUGCAAAAAAAUAAAAAAGAAUAGGAGGUCUAGUGAAUGAAUAAGUGGUGCAAUGAGUAAUAUAUUGAAAUAUAUGUGAAUUACAUAAACAAGGUUAUUAUAGGAAUUUAAAUGGAGGUCUAGUGAACAAAUGUUUGUAUUUAAAAGUAAAAUAGAGGUGUAGAGAGAAUGAGAGGUAUAUUAAGCAAAUUUAGAGGUCUCAAUAGCCGCACUCUUUUUUUUUCCUUUCUUUGGCUAUUGUUUGCUUUUGAUGCCUAAAACUGCAAUUCUUGAGAGGAAUCGAUACUUGGGCUUUAGUACAACCGCUACACACACUGGUUGUGUAUAUAUAUACUCUCUUUUAGCUCUGAAUCUUUGAUUGUCCUUCGUUUAGGAUCUAUUUUUGGAAAUGAAAGGAUUUCAUUAAGGGACAAAGCUCAUACCAGCCCUAACUAGGGUCUGAUCCGAUUUCGUACAUGAAACUAAGAGCAACUCUAAUGAAGUGGUUAUUUUACCUAUGUCAAAUUUAAAUUUAACUUCUGACAACUUCCCCUCCAAUUAAAAUUUCAAAUAAAUUUAUUUGUUAUUUCUUUUCUUUUAUUGAAGUAGUAUUUUAUCUUAUCUUUCUUCUCUCCUAGAACUCUUCUGGUUCGUCUCUUCUCCACUUCUCAAGCCACUAGACCUCUUCUUUCCCAGACAAAGUCUUUCUCCACUACCAGAACUAAUUCAUGCCAAACAAACUCUUUAGUUCUCCCAGUCGUCCUCCAUAAUUGAAUUCUCUAUUUUCUGAUAUUUCUUUCCAUGAACUCUUCCUCUCCAAUUUCUUCUCCUUUCAAAAAAGUCAUCCCUUCGUCUAUCUUCCUCUCUUUUAUUUCCUCCAUCUCUGCCCAGAUCUUCUUCUUAUCUUCUGUAAAAAUCUUCAUGCCCAUAUUCAAAUAUUAGGCAACCCACGAAAAUUAGAAGUCAAGAACAACAUAUUCAAGCAGAUCGGCACAUGAGAGGUUUUGGGUAUGUGUAAGAAGAAAGAGAGAAGGCAAAAGAGAAGAGAAGAGAGUUGAUCAAACAAUCAAGAAAAACAAUUUGACAACUUCUUCCCAGCCUUUGCGCCAGGUAGAGUCAUUCAGGAUAAUAUCCUCAUAGCCCAUGAACAGUUCUCUGAUUUCCAGAAGAAGAACAGCAUAAAUGGCUCUAUGGCCGUUAAGUUAGACCUAGAGAAAGCUUAUGAUUUCUUAGACUGGCACUACAUAAAACUUUGUCUUGAUAAGUUUGGUUUUCAUAGAAAUUGGAUUAAUUUAAUUCUACAGUGCAUUAGCUCAGCUUCUUUUUCCAUUAUUAUUAAUGGAAGGCCUGAAGGCUGGUUUAAACCUUCUAAAGGCAUAAGACAAGGUGAUCCCCUAUCACCUUACAUCUUUAUUCUUUGUAUGGAGCCUUUAAUCAGAAACCUUAAUCAUUUAGCUAAAACCUCGAAAACCAAUGUUGGUUUGCUUUCUUCUCCAUGUGGGUUUAGAAUUUCUAAUCUAGUUUUUGCUGAUGACUGCCUUAUCUUUGCUAAGGCAACUAAUAAGGCUGCAAAACAUAUUUUGGAUAGUCUAAAAGCUUUUGCCAAAGCCAAUGGACAAAAAAUAAACUGUCAUAAAUCCUCCAUCUACUUCUCUCCUAAAAUCUCAAGCUCUAUCAAAGUAAAUAUCUCCAAUAUUCUUGGUAUUUAGCAAAAGCAAACAAUAGGCAAGUAUCUAGGAAUACAUAAUGUUGUUUUCUGGAAGGAUCCCUUAAAUGCUAAAGAGCUUCUUUCCAAAAUCAGUAAUAAACUUGCUGGUUGGAAGGGAGGAACUUUAUCAAGAGCAAGAACUAGGAAGACUCACCCUGAUUAAAACCAAUCUGGCUGGAAUGCUAAACCAUGUUAUGUCUGUUUUCAAGUGUAAUAAAAAGACCACUAGUGCUAUAGACAGAGAAGCUAGGAACUUCUUCUGGAGUUCUAGUGCAAAAACUCCCCCUGUGGCAUGGGAAAAAAUUUGUUCUCCAAAGAGUGUAGGAGGUCUAGGAGUUAGACCUACUGCAUUCUAUAAUAAUGCUGCUAUAGCAAAGUUAGCUUGGAAAAUCAUUACUGAUCUAAGUAAUUGGUGGGUUCAGAUUAUGAAAAGAAAAUAUCUGAGAAAAACUAAUUUCUUUCAAGCGAAGAAGAAGUCUAGCUCUUCUUUUGCUUGGAAAGGAAUUAUUGAUAGUAGAGAUUUGAUAAAUAAGGGCAUGAGAUGGACAGUGGGUAAUGGGAAAUCCAUCAAGUUUUGGACUUUUCAUUGGAUUUUCCCCUUUCCAUUGGCUAAUCUCAUUCCUAAUAGACAAAGAGACUCUAUUAACUAGGAGGAAAAUGUAAGUGAUUUUAUCACUAAUCAUGCCUAGAAUAAAGCAAAGCUGCUCCAAGUCCUUGACUGGGAGAUUGUGAAACAAAUUAUAGGUAUUCCUAUACCCUCAAAUAAUCAAGAAGACAAGUUUAUUUGGGUACCUGCUGCAAACGGUAGGUUCUCAAUUAAAACGGCAGCUUGGUUGCAAUGUAACAACAUGGAGAAACAUUCUCAAACUAAUAUGCUAAAUAGAAUGUGGAAGCUAAAUAUUCCUCCUAAAAUAAAAAUCUUUUGCUGGUUGCUUUUUAGAGGUAGACUAAAGACAAAGGAUAGACUUGCAAGAUUUACUUAUUUAAAUGAUAACACUUGUGUUUUGUGCAAUUCAGAUAAUGAGACGACCGAACAUCUUUUUGGUACUUGUUCUUUUGCUUCUGAGGUUUGGAGACUAUCAAACCUUUAUUACCUCUUUAAUAACACCUCUGAUUUUCUUGAUAAUAUGAAAACUUCCUUUUCAAAGAAGAACUAUGAUAAAGAUGUUUUUGCAAAAGUCUUAACCCUUUGCUGGCAAAUCUGGAAAGCCAGGAAUGAUUUUUAUCUUUCAGGAAUAUCAAUACAAGACCGCAAACUGUGGUCUCUGUGGCUACAACCAUUCGAAACAGUUACAAUUUAUAUAAUCAAGCUUCUCUUGGAGGUGGUCCUUAACAACCCCCUGAAGUCAUCACUUGGCUUCCCCCUCCAAACAGGACUGUGAAGAUAAAUUUUGAUGGUUCAGUUUCAAGCAAUUAUGCUGCUUCAGGAGCCAUCAUCGGGGACUCAAAGGGCAAUCCGAUUCUUGCAAGCACAAGGAAUUUGGGGAGCACGUUGGUCCUUGUUACGGAAGCCACUGCUUCAAGGGAUAGUCUCCUCAGUGCGAAAGAGAAAGGGUUUACUGAUGUUGUUGUGGAAUGGGACUCUAAACUGGUGAUCGAUGUUGUGACUCAGAAAAUCAACCCCCCUUGGAGAAUCCAUCAAAUUGUGGAUGAUAUUAGGAAAAUUGCAGAGAGUUUCAGCUCAAUCUCAUUUCAUCAUGUCUACAAAAAAGCAAACUUUGUGGCGGAUGCAGUUGCUAGCUAUAGACAUCAAAACUCCUCCGGUAGAGAUUGGGAGGACAACUUUCCUAGAAGAGUUGUUCAUUGUAUUAGAUUUGAUUCCGUAGGAACGGGAUGCCUUAGAGGCAACUCCCUGUAGUUUGUAUGUUCUUGUUUUCUUAUCAAAAAAAAAAACACUUCUUCCCAAACGGUCAAGUUUGACAAUGUGAAGAGAGUUGUCAAAUCCACAUCGGAUUUGACACAACCGUUGGAGUGAAUUUUCCGGCCAUUUCUUUCUGUUGAGCCUCCACCCUGUCAUUUGACAGGUUCGUUGGAGUUGCUCUAAGUGGAUUAGUUCGAAACUACUUCUCGACAGAAAUAACAUGAGCAAACAUUACCACAAACUAAAAUACAACUAAAAACAUUAAGGGCCACCGAACAAGCCCAAAGCAACAAAAAAAAAAAAAAACCUAAGCUGCUUCUAGCUAUCAUGCGCUGACGCAGAUUCGCCGACGAGUCACUGGAAGUAGAAACCAAGAAAUUCCAUGUCGUAUAUAGCCGACGACAAAUAGAUCUCAAAGCACAAAUCAAAGGUAACCCAAAAAUCCAAGCAGCGUCUUUUCCAUCCAAUAGACCCAAACCAAGAGAGUGGCGUGACUGCGGAAGGAGGACCGAGAACAAGAGCUGAGAACCAUAACUAUAGAGAAUCGGGGGUGGUGAACCCAUGCGUGAGCACCCAUAUUCAGAAAGAUAAGUGCUUUGCAUUUUAUCGUUGCAACCACCAAAGCUUUCAUGGAUUUUGGAACUGAAAAAUGAAGAACUGACAUGGGAUUGGGUGAACUCAUAUGCGGAAUGAUAUGAGAUCGAUUGCCUUAUAUAACUAAAGAGAAGGAAUGAUAAGGAACAAGUUCCUCCCAAUCUGAACAAGGUUAGAAAAUUGCUGGACAUAGCUAGAAUAUUGCUGGACAUUAGCCAAAGAAAUCCACAAAAGGGAAAACCACCACAAAGGUGAGAGAACAAUAAGCUGCUGAAAAUAAUGAAAAAGGGCCUCCCCCAACCCAUAGCCUUGCAUCUAGAUCCAUAAAGGACCAAGAAUGGGGCAGAAGGUAAUGGGAGAAAGACAUUUUUUCAUAUCUACUUUCUCUCUCUACAGGUUAGAGAGAGAGGCUGCGAUAGAAAAGUAACAUUUAGGUGUCUGUUAAGAAAUGAUAGUAUAAGAAUUUUAUUCGUUUAAGAUCUAUUAGUGACGAGGAUACAUUCUUACACUUUUUCUAUUGAUCGUAUUUUAAGUGAGAGUGUUUAAUAUGGUAUGAUGAAAAGAAUCACUCGGAUUCCCAAUGAAAUAACAUGUAUAUGCUAUCAACGUGCAAUGACCUUGAUUACUGACUACGACGGAUUUUCUGAUAUCAUGGUUGUCCUUUUAAAUUUUGGGUGGAUAUGGGUGGAAAUUGAUGGAGUUCCAGCGGCUCUGAUGACCGAGAUAUUACAAAUCUGCAAUAUAUAUACUACUGAUUCUAUUCAAUUUCAAUCUGAAACAACACAGUAUGAUAAACACAAAUACAAAUAAGAGAAAAGGUUAGAGAAUCUGGCCUGUGAGAAUCCAAAGAAGUAUGCCCUGUGAGAAUCCAAAAGAGGCACGAUGUCGCUGUCCUAAGGCGAUAGACGCCUCCCCUCGUGUAGGUAUUGGCGGUCGUCUAAGCACUCCAAGAUACAACCCUUAAACCUCACAAGAAGUCUAAUCCGCUUCACACGCUCACGGUAGACGGGGAUGUCAAGUUUUUAUCAAUUGCCCAGAAUAGAGAGUAUGAAUUGGUGUAGAUAGAGAGUCAGUAGAAGGAAGAGGAAGAAGAACAGAGAAAGAAGAGAUGUCGAUCUCUUGUCUGAAGAAGAGUCCAAUCUUAUAAAGACUCUUUUUACCUGUUCAAAAGAACAUGACUCCUUGAAAACCAAAACAGAUGACUUUUGACACUUAAAAGAAACAGAUAAUAAUAAUAAUAAUAAUAAUAAUAAUAAUAAUAAUAAUAAUAAUAAUAAUAAUAAUAAUAGUUUUGGAUCUUUAAAAUAUAAUAAAAAACCAACAAUCCCCCACAAGAUUCAAAACUUUCAGAACUUAAAAAAAAAUAUGGGAAGAUUGAUAAAAAGAAUUUCUGGGCAACUUUAUAUCAUGUAAUAGGUGCAGGUGUCUUCCGGACUUGAACGUACACUUAGUGUAAACAAAUUUCAUUUGAAGGAAUCGUAGAGAACUAUGUCUUGAUCUAGACCCCUUGUAGCCAAAUUACACAUUGUCACACACACAAUAUUGAUACAUACACUUUGACGCGGGUAGCGCUAUUUAUAGCCUUGCGCUUAUCUUGAUUAUCAUGAGAGUUACUAGAGAGAAGCCCAUCUCUCAUAGCUGCGGCCUCACAACUACUCUCACUUAGGUGAGUUUCUCCAAGAGUACAUGUGACUUGUACCCUGCGGGAGUAUGCCCGCCUCAAAUCUCAUUCAAGGUAAAACCUUUCCUCUAUUUCACAUAUCAUCAGUACUAAUGUCAUAGGGAUGAGCAGAAUAUAUAUAUAAAUACAUAUAUGUAUAUUGUACUGGAAUUUAAGUCACGCAAUAUGGAUUGUUUGUACCCAUUGAACCUCCUUCAUGGGAUCUCCAAUCACAGAGGUUGGGUUGCUUCCCUAGGUGACUUCCUUAUGGGCUUAAACCCACCCCCCUCGACAAAUCUAGGACAACACCCCUAGAUAAACCUUUGGUCAAUUGAUCAGCAAUAUUCAUUUCAGAUUUCACAAAGUCUAAAGAUACAACUUCUUUAUUUAACAAUUUUCUCACUGAUUUAUAUCUAACAUGGAUAUGUCUGUUCAUCUUUCUAUUUGAAUGUUUUUGCUUUACCAACUCUAUCACAGCUUUGUUGUCACAGUGGAUAGAAAAAGCUGGAAUAGGCUUUCUAAUCAAGGGUAUUUCAAGCAAAAAAUCUUUUAUCCAUUCAGCCUCAGUACAUGCAAUAUCUAGUGCUACAAGUUCAGAUUCCGUAGUACUUCUAGUAAUUAUAGUUUGUUUCUUAGAACCCCAAGAUAUGGCAGCCCCUCCUAACAAGAAAACAUAUCCAGAAGUUGAUUUUACAUCAGAACUAUCAGAAAUCCAAUUUGCAUCACUAUACCCUUCUACUACAGAAGGAAAUCUUUUAUAGCAAAGAAAAUAGUUUAAAGUACCACUCAGAUAUUUAAAGACUCUUUCUAAAGCAGUCCAAUGAUCAUGACUUAGGUUAUGAGUAUAUCUACUAAGUCUACAGACAGCAUAGCAUAUAUCAGGUCUACUCUUAUUUGCUAUAUACAUCAAAGAACCAAUCAUUUGUGAGUAUUUCAAUUGAGACACAGGUUCUCCCAAAUGUUUCUUUAAAACAAAGUUAGGAUCAUAUGGUGUUGAAACAUAAUUGCAAGAAUGAUAAUUAUAUUUCUUUAGCAUCUUUUCAAUUGCACUAACUUGAUUUAAAGUAAAGCCAUCAGAAGUCUUCUCUAGUUUCAUUCCUAGGAUUAUGUUAGCUUCACCUAAAUCUUUCAUAUCAAAUUUCUUUGAUAAGUAGUUUUUCACAUCUUUCACAAUCUCUAAACUUGUUCCAAACAGCAAAAUGUCAUCAACAUAUAGACACAAUAUAACACACUGCAUGUGCAUCACAUUCUUUAUAGUAAACACAUUUAUCAUACUCAUUGAUCUUAAAAUCAUAAUCUAGAAUGACUUUAUCAAACUUUUCAUGCCAUUGUUUUGGAGCUUGUUUAAGACCAUAUAGGGAUUUAAUUAAUUUGCAGACUUUAUGUUCUUGACCUUUAACUAUAAAUCCCUCAGGUUGCUCCAUAUAUAUUUCCUCAUCUAAAUCUCCAUUCAAAAAUGCAGUUUUAACAUCCAUUUGAUGAAUGACUAAAUCAUGUAUAGAUGCCAAAGCUAUAAGAGUUCUAAUAGUAGUGAUACUAGAGACACGUGAGUAAGUAUCAAAGUAAUCUAUACCUUUCUUUUGAGUAAAUCCUUUUGCUACUAAUCUAGCCUUAUAUUUAUCUAUGCUACCAUCAGGUUUCAACUUUUUCCUAAAGACCCAUUUGCAACCAAUAGGUCUAGUUCCAGGAGGUAAGUUGGUUAACUCCCAUGUGUGAUUUUGUAGAAUAGACUCAACCUCACUGUUUAUGGCUUCUUUCCAAAAUGGAGCAUCUGAAGAAGCCAUAGCUUCUUUAUAUGUUGCUGGAUCUCCCUCAAUAUGAAAUACUACAAAGUCCUCACCAAAAUUCUUUUCUUUCCUCAUUCUCUUAGAUCGUCUAAUUUCUUCUAGAGAUUCUGUUUCUUCAACUGCAGGAUUGCUAGAACUAGCAGUAUCUUUACUAGCAUUAGAGAUAACUCUAUUUACUGUUUGAUUUUGAAUUCUAGACUUAAAAGGAAAGAUAUCUUCAAAGUAAGUUGCAUCCCUGCAUUCUUUUAUGGUGUUAUUGGAAAUUUCUUCAAUUUCAGAAUUUAUAACUAAAAAUUUAUUUGCAGUACUAUGGUGAGCAUAACCUAAGAACACCGCAUCUACAGUUUUUGGUCCAAUUUUCUUUCUUUUAGGAUCAGGAAUUAGGACCUUGGCUAGACACCCCCACACUUUCAAGAUAUGAAGAUUUGGAGUUCUCUUCUUCCAAAUUUCAUAAGGAGUUUCAUCAUUGUCUUUAACAAUGACUCUAUUUAAAAUAAAACAAGCUGUUAGUAAUGCUUCCCCCCACCAUUUAUCAGGUAAACCAGAACUCAAAAGCAUUGCAUUUACCAUAUCUAAUAAAGUUCUAUUUUUCCUUUUAGCAACUCCAUUACAUUGUGGAGAAUAGGGUGGUGUUACUUCAUGUAUUAUUCCAUGCUCUUCACAAAAAUCAUUAAGAUCAUUGGAAGUGUAUUCACCACCCCUAUCAGACCUCAAUCUCUUAAUUUUCUUUUCUAACUGAUUCUCUACUUCAGUUUUAUAAACUUUGAACUUGUCGAAUACUUCAUCCUUUGUCUUAAUCAAAUAGACAUAACAAUAUUUAGAGCAAUCAUCAAUGAAGGUAACAAAAUAUUUAUUUCCAGCUCUAGUAGGUGACCUAUUAGAAUCACAAACAUCACUAUGUAUAAGCUCUAGGACCUGGGUUGUUCUAACAACAGACUUAAAAGGUUUCUUGGCUUGCUUGGCUUGGACACAAAUUUCACAUUUGUGUUUUAGGUCCAAGUUUGAUUUAGGAACUAGGUUCAGUUCCAUCAUUUUCUUAAUUUUCAUCAUAUUAACAUGACCUAAUCUUCCAUGCCAAACAUUACAAGUUUCAAGAUUAAAAACUUGAGUAGAAACAACAUCUUGAUAUAAAUUUAAUUUAAACAAUCCUUCACAAACAAAACCUUUACCAAUAAAUACAUUAUUUCUGGUUAUUACAACCUUGUUUGAUUCUAAUACAACUCUAUAACCUUGUUCCACUAAAGCAAACCACAAACUAAAUUCUUAAUGGCUGUGGGUAUGUGUCGCACAUUCUUUAAGCUUAAGAUUUUUCCAGAUGCCAUCUUCAAGUCUAUGUCUCCAAUUCCAUAUACUUGUGCGACUGAAUUCAUGUUGAAACCAGUUACACGUCCUCCACUCGAUUUCUGGUAAGUUUUAAAAGAAUCAUGGUCAAGACACACAUGUAUGUUAGUUCCAGAAUCAAACCACCAAGUUUUACUUUCAUAAGUAAAAUUGACUGAAGGUUCAUACUUGAAUAAUGGUUGAGAGGACUCUUGCUCCACUAUCAUAUUUACUUGAGCUUUUGGACCAUUAUUUGCUUGAGACUUGAUCUCCUCAGUCUUUUUGUAGAAGCAAUUCUUUGCCAUAUGAUUGGUCCUCCCACAAACAAAGCAAGACAUCUUCUCUCUCCCUUGAUCCUUAGACUUCUGGAAUUGUUUGUUAUGGUUGACUCUAUUGUUCUUAAAGUUCAUUCCCCUAGGCUGAAAGUUAUUUCUCCCAUUUUUAUUGUGGAAUCUAGUCUUGUUUUGAUUAUGGUUUCUCUUUCCCACAACUAAAUUCACAACAGGGGUACUCUCAGUUUUUCCCUUUUGAUCUACCCUUUGUUUCUCUUCUAUUCUAAGGGAAUUCAUAGCUUGACGGAGGGUGAACUCUCCUUGUUUAUGCCUAAGAGACUUAGCAUAUUCAUUCCAAGAUGGAGGCAAUUUAUCAAUAAGGCAAGACACUUUAAAGUCCUCACUGAACUUGGUUCCUUUCUUUUCUAUACCUCUUAAAAGUUCUUGGUACUCAUGGAUUUGGUCUCCUACAGAUUUGGUUUCAACCAUCUUAUAACUAUUAAAGUUAGAGACAGUAAACCUAUCAACUCCAGCAUCUACAAUUCCAUAUUCAGCCUCUAAUGCAUCCCAAAGUUCUUUGGCUGUGGAUGUUGUAGAAUGAUACACAUCGUAAAGAUGGUCAGACAAGGCACUUAAAAUUCUAUUAUAGCAAUGAUACUCUAUAUCCUCUUGGCUAAACCAAGAAGAUGAUGGUUUGUUUGGAUCAUGCCCUUCAAUGGCAGACAUAAAUCCAAGAACAGACAGCCAAUAUUUCAACUGUUUUUGCCAUCUACGAAAAUGGUGUCCACUAAAUUUUCCAGGUUUGACACUAAGAGCUUCUUGAUCUAAGUUUGUCAUUUUAAAUGCUAGAACAAGAGAGAGAUUAGAUAUAUAUUACUAGCACACUGUGAGAACACACACAAAAAUGUCAAAACCAGAAACCAAAUGCAUAGAUGCAAAGCCUAUAUUUAUAUGCUACAAAUAACUAAUCAACCUGAGGUAAUUGCGAACAAAUCAAUAGGCUUUACUUUGCUGCAGAAUUUCAAGUAUAGAUAUAGGUAUACUACACUAAUGUACCAAAUCGCCACCAAUGUCAAAUCCGUUUUAAUAUUUCUAACUAUAUAUCAUACAAGUACAGUAGACUAUUCAACUAUAUAUACCAAUUCUCAGAAUCACAAAUCAACAAUCAAAACAAACCCCUUUUCUAUAUCGAUCAAAAUAGAACCAAGUAAAGUAAACAUCUAUCGCUUUAGAUUAUUACAAAUCUGCAAUAUAUAUACUACUGAUUCUAUUCAAUUUCAAUCUGAAACAACACAGUAUGAUAAACACAAAUACAAAUAAGAGAAAAGGUUAGAGAAUCUGGCCUGUGAGAAUCCAAAGUAUGCCCUGUGAGAAUCCAAAAGAGGCACGAUGUCGCUGUCCUAAAGCGAUAGACGCCUCCCCUCGUGUAGGUAUUGGCGGUCGUCUAAGCACUCCAAGAUACAACCCUUAAACCUCACAGGAAGUCUAAUCCGCUUCACACGCUCACGGUAGACGGGGAUGUCAAGUUUUUAUCAAUUGCCCAGAAUAGAGAGUAUGAAUUGGUGUAGAUAGAGAGUCAGUAGAAGGAAGAAGAAGAAGAACAGAGAAAGAAGAGAUGUCGAUCUCUUGUCUGAAGAAGAGUCCAAUCUUAUAAAGACUCUUCUUACCUGUUCAAAAGAAUAUGACUCCUUGAAAACCAAAACAGAUGACUUUUGACACUUAAAAGAAAACAGAUAAUAAUAAUAAUAAUAAUAAUAAUAGUUUUGGAUCUUUAAAAUAUAAUAAAAAACCAACAACAACGACCAGACUACUCGGGGAAACCAUAGGCACCGUGCUGCAGGUCGAGAACCAGGGUUUGAACAAAGGAGUGGCUAGGGUUCGCCUCAUUCUUCCCCUCAAUAGCCCUGUCAUAUAUGAAAGGAGGAUUAGGGUUUCCCCUAAAGAUGUUCUAUCUAUUGGUCAAGUAUAGGUACAAAAGAUUAUUGGGACGUCGUUGUCCAAUUUGUUGGACGAUCAACCAUGGUGGAAGACCUUGCGCACGGGAAGCUGAAGAUGCAGCCAUCCAACCAUCGACCCCAGCUGCGCCUCUUGCCCCGGCUUCAAUGGUGUUCAAAGCUAACAACUCAUAGGCUUUGGUCCCACCCUCUCCUAUGCUACGUACCUUCACUCUCUCCUAUUUUUAGAAAAGAAAAGAGAUCUGUGCAGAUUAAGGUAGUCCCAGAAUUCCCAUUCCCGGUGAAAAUUGCAAGCAUAAGGCGUGUGAGGGAAGAGGAGGACUUGGAAGCAGACAAGCGAACCAAACAUAGUUUGGCAGUGAGUGAUUCCGUUCCAACUUGAAUGACUCAAUGCAAAUGAAGUUUAUUCAUUUACCUAUAAAAAAAACCAGCUACAUCUGAACACAUGCUUUCCUCACUCACUGACUCACCUUUUUCUUUCUCUUUCAUUUGUGUUUGUAUUCUGUUUUGAGGGUCGUCUAUAUUAUGAUUAAUCUGAAAGUUCAUCAACUGUUUUCAAAAAAGUUCAUCAACAUAAGUAAUAGAUUCAUUACAAAGUGAUAAUUUAGUCCUCAUCAAUACCCAACAUAAAAUUCAAGAUAACCAUAAGUAAUAACCAUAAAAUUCAACAUGACCAUCGUCAACAUAAGUAAUAAUAAGCUCAUCAACUUAACCAUAAAAUUCAACAUAAGUAAUAACAAUACGUUCAUUACAAUACCCAAAAUAAAAUUUAAAUAUCUCUAGCAAAAUAGAGGUUUUUUUUGUAUGCUUAACCUGAUAUUAUUUGAUGUGAAAAUAUUAUAGGCUUUUGUAUACAUGAGCUACUAAUUUGACUUUUAUAAUUAUCUUUGGUUUUGCAGCUUCAUUGGAAACCAUGUCGUCUAGGGUGUGCAUAUACACAACCACAGUGCAGCUGGCCUCCAUGGUGUGCAUAAAAACCACCACAAAGCAGCUAGUGGUGGACUAAUAGCAGUGAUUGAAGUAAUAGGAAUUGGUUUGGAGAUUUUUGUGAUUUGUGUUAUUACAUUUAAGGUCAUUGACUGCGCUGAGUUGGGAAGGAACAGGGCCGGGUCCAACCGACCACGGGGCCUCAUAAUCCACCACAUAAAAAAAAUUCCAAUAAGCUGAUUAUCAAGUAAAAGAAAUACUUAAUCGAUUGUAAAAGAUAAAUAUAGACAAGAAAAGAAGGAAAAUUUCUUGAAACCACACCGAUUAGCAAAGCCUCAUAGAUGGGAAAGAGAUCAUUCUAUGAAGAUGACCCUAUCAAAACCCGAAACAAAAAUUUCUGAAGUUGGUCCAGACUUUUUGUUCUCAUUGAAAAGAGCAAAAAUAUAGACGUAAAGGUUAGGCUUCAAAGGUGCACCUUCCUUGGCCAUUUGCCUCUUCAACAAGUUCCUAUUGUAUAUAGCAGCAUUCUCUAAACAUGCACCAAGUUCAUUAUCAUCCCCUUUUGAUGACCACCCUGUCUCCCCAACCUUAACAUCUAUAUCAUCAAACCCCAAUGCCUUAAUGACAUAAAUGAUAGCAUCUACUUGAGCAUACAACAACUGUCAUAGCGCAAAUUGCUACUAGGGUCAGUCACUUCAGCCGAUGAACUGUCAUUACUGAAAAGCACAGUCUAGACGAAUUUCUUUCGAGUUGCCCUUGUACGCAAAGUAAGGAUAUGCAUUGAUCCAAACGGUGCCUUUAUGGUUGACAAGAACUAUAACACUUGUGACAUUACAACGAAGACAUCACUCUUGAAACUACCCCCAUAAGGUGGAUAAGACUCUUCCAUCACCCCAUAAUAGAAAAAGGUGAUGACACCUUGAUGUGUGAAUCAAGACCUAACUAAGAUAGUGCACUUUGAAUACUGGACAUGGCCGAUACAAGGCUAGCUAGCAAAUCCGCUGCAUCAAGCUUGUUCCCUAUCAUAAUGUCUGUGAUUUUUGUUACCGGAAGGUAAGGCUUGAUGUGUGUAGUGACCCGCUGAAGGGCUGCUUAAUUGGCUUAGCAUAGUGUUUUCCACUAUCACAAUGAGCUAAACAUCUAAAUUUGUGAAUGUAGUUAGUAUCUUUGGAUUGUGAAUACAGUUCAUCUUGCUUUUGUGAUGUUGUUGGACCUUAAGAGACUCACAACUUGUUGUGGUGGUAGCAAAUUGUCACCGAGUUCCGCUAUAGUCGAUACCAAGCGCUGAAACUCCUUGUAACAAACAGAUCAGCGAACACAGAAGUUGGUUCAGUUUUAGAGGUAAAGAAAAAGGACUUUAGAGAGAGAUGAAGAUAAGCUUUGGACUCUCUUAUUGGAAUUAGAUUGAGGGGUUUAACACAAAAACUGAAUAUUUUGUUUCANNNNNNNNNNNNNNNNNNNNNNNNNNNNNNNNNNNNNNNNNNNNNNNNNNNNNNNNNNNNNNNNNNNNNNNNNNNNNNNNNNNNNNNNNNNNNNNNNNNNNNNNNNNNNNCACUAGAAACUAGCUACUUAGAACAGGGCAGCAUUGCAGGAAAAAAAAAAGAAAGAAGAAGAUAUAUUAAAAUGAGGCUUCUGAAUCAUCAUCACUCACCACUUAAGUUAGCCCAGGCAUUGGUAGAGGCAACGUACUCGUGUUGGACACUUGAUUGUCCUCUCUUUCCACGUCGUCAUCACCGGGAGCUCAUGUUAGAUCAUCGUCUAUAGAGUUUGCGGCCAGAGGUUCUGCUACUGGAAUCAGUUGUCGGCGAAGUAGAGACUUUGACCGUAUCAAAACUACGGUGAACUUUCUCAUCCAUGGAAGCUUCAAUUGCAAAAUGGACAUUUAUGAUGAUUUCACAUUCACUAUUCUAUAAUAAUAUGUCUCUUAAUUGGUUAUAGUUCUAUGAUACAGUGAGUCAUUAAGUUACUUUUGUUAGCCAAGAAGACUAAUGGUUUGAUGUUAUGGUUUUUUUUUUUUUUAAAGGAUUUGAUGUUAUAUUUUGAUAGGUAAUUCAUAUGCUCAAAUUAAUUUAGGUUUUCAAAUGAAAAAGAAAAAAAAACUUACGCGUUCUUUUUUCCGAUGGCAUUACCAAGUUAAUUCUAAGUCGUACCCUGACUUAAGAUUUGUUAGACUAUGUACAUCUAGUUCCUGUAAAAUGGUUCAGAAAAGCGAUGAGAAACAAAUCUUAAUAAACCUAUGAAUUAGGGCUGGGCAUGGGACGGGAUAGAGCUAAUGCCACGGCCCGUCUCGGACAUUGAAAUCGGGACGAGACGGGACAUGACGGGUUUUGCAUUUUUUAGAUUUCAUCCCACCCGGGUCCUAUCUCGGUCAGGACGGGAUAAUAUGGGACGGGACAGGCCUAGUCCCGGAUAAAAAAAGUUGAAAAUAAACUUAUAAGUAGAAGAAAGUGUUCCAUAUUUUUAUAAUGUUCUCUACUCUAAAAAGUAUUAACAAGUACUUGUAACAUAUUUAUAAGUACAACACGGUGUAAUAAGAGAGUUUAUACUGCUUACUUUCUCUAAACAUGUCAUCAGUAAUAGGGUGCAAGAAGAGAGUCUACAACAAUCAACGAAUUAAAGUAUUAAACAUCAUUGUUAUUGAAUUGAGGAUAGCCUAGUAACUUAAAGAAACAAAGAGCUAAGAUCAAAAUACUUAAAUAAAAUGCUAAAAUCACAUCAUAAUCAAUAAAAAUUCAAUCAUUAAAAUAGUCGAGAUAGGACGGGACAGGCCUAAACGAGACUUGAAUUAUCUGUCUUGUAUCUCAUCCCGUUGUAUAUGGAUGGGGCUGGACGGGACGGACCUGACGUUUUGAGAUUUAAAUCUUGUCCCGUCCCAGUAUCGAAACGGGUUCGGGAUUACGGGAUUUUACGCCCACCCCUACUGUGAAUGACCAGUUUAGGUAAUUUGUUGCUUUCUUUUGGCUCUUGUUCUAGUGGAACAAUCUUGUCAUAUGUUUUUACAUGUUAGAGCGCAGUUGGGUACAAAAUACUUUAAGAGGAGACAAAUCCAUUCUAGCCAUGGGUAGAGUACAAUCCACUUUAGUCACAGGUCGAGUAUAAGCUAAAAGGGUUUGGAGUUUAAUCUCUCCGUGAACAAAAAUCUUGAAAUAGUGUAAUAGAAUCUUUUGUAUGACAUAUUGCUCUGUUGCACAAUGUGGUCCUUAGAAUCUUUUAUGUACAUCUAUGACUUAACUUGACUGCUUCAAUGUUUCAUUGAAUCAUUGUUGUCUUGACAUAAUUAGUGUCAAGAUUAUGGGUCUGAAUUUAGUGCUUGUUCGGUUUUUCGUUUAAUUCUGAAAUGACUACUAAUCUAUGUAUUUUUAAAUGGUUGGUCUUCUCGCAGGCCCUUUGAUCACGAUUUUGUGUGGGUAUAGCUAUUCUCCUACGGUGCAUCGACAAUUAAAGCAAUCAUCCCUUUUACCGUGGUCAUUGCUCUAUUUUACCACAUUUGCAUAACUUUCGUCAUGCUAACAUAGGGCCCACUUGGUAGGAAUCAUAUUAGAUAUUUCCACAUUCUUGCAACAAUCGUGGGUACCUCAAAUGUAUUAAUAUCUUACUCACCACUUGUCACCCACCGAUCGAUUUAAUUUCAUGCCAUCAACACAAUAAUUUUUUUUUUUUUAAAUAUUCAAAUAAAACCAAAAACCACCGCUUAUUCAAUGGAUAGAGAAGAUGACUGACUGGAAGGGAAAUCUAAACAUGAUUUUGCUUAAGACUUUGGACUCGAUUUUGUUGGGGAUUAUGAACUUGAAUUGCCACAUGGAGACUGACAUGUGAAACCCUUGUUAGACGACGACCUAAGUUUGAUCGCCAGCAUCAAAGAGAGUCGGCGCCUACAAGACGGUUGGAAUGGGUGUUAGAGCCUCCACAAUAGUCAUAGAGAUGGCGUUGAAGCCUCCAUGAUGGCCGGAGAGUGUCAGUAGCGUUUCGACAGCCAAAGAGAGUGUCGAAGCCUCUUUAACGACGGUGAGUGUUGGAGUAACCUCGAUGGCCUCAACAUAGCUCGAAAGCUGCAUAUCUGAAAAAACAGCGUGAGACGGACCAGAAGCGCAUGAGGUCCUGUCGGAAGUGGUCGAAGCACAUCCAGUAAAGGAUUCAUCAUAUCCAUCAAAUUUCAAAAGAAACAGAAGAGGAUCAGGUAGAGCUUUGAAUAAUGACAUUUUAUAAUCACUAUCAGAAGAAAGGUUUUAGCCGAUGAAAAUAAAAAAAUCAGGCCGACGAAUUAUUUUUUCGUCGGCUAAUUUAAAAUUUUCGUCGGCUAUGGUCAACUUUAGUCGACAAAAUUAAAAUUUCGUCGUCUAAAUAAUUUUUUUCGUCAGCUAUAGUCUGUGAACUUUAGCCAACGAAAUUUUUAAAAGUUUAACCGACGAAAAAUAUAAUUUCAUCGGCUAAAGUGCCUUAAUUUCGUCGGCUAAAGUGCCUUAUAUUUGCAGAUCUGAACAACAACUCAUCUGGGAAAAAAAACUAUACGUAGAACCUUCAAACGCAAAAAAGUCGUGAAAUAAGAUAUGACCAGAAUGGUGAAAUACAUCUAUGGUUGAAAAAUCAUGGUAUUCCGGUAAAGUCUCAGUGCCGAUAAUUGCGGUCAAUGCAAUUUACCCUUAUUAUUCACUAUGCUGCAGAUUUGGUUUUUGGUGUCCGAUUGACUAUUGUGAUACCUUUCCGGAAGCGUAACAGCCCUAUGAGUCAAACACAUCGCUAUUGCUAUGACGUAUGGGCCUUUUUGGCCAUCCGAGUCCGUUUAGGGCUUCAAAAUGCAGUUUUCUUAUUUCCAAUUAGAGUUGACCGUUUCGAUCGAGCCCUUAAUGUUGUCGAAUCCAGUUGAAUUUUUUACCAUAGACAUCUUUCGUCAUAAUGAUCAUAUCUGACGGUCAAAUUUUAGUUUGUAAAUUUUAGUCAUUGGAAUCGCAACGUGUCUACUAUUUACCAUUAUUAUUCCCUAUGGGGAGUGGGGAGCCCUAUCGUCGGAAGAUAAAUGUCUCAAAAUUUUUAUAUAGGCGGUUGCGUCUCAUCUACGUGAAAGUUUUUUCGUGUAGAAGGUUUGNNNNNNNNNNNNNNNNNNNNNNNNNNNNNNNNNNNNNNNNNNNNNNNNNNNNNNNNNNNNNNNNNNNNNNNNNNNNNNNNNNNNNNNNNNNNNNNNNNNNNNNNNNNNNNNNNNNNNNNNNNNNNNNNNNNNNNNNNNNNNNNNNNNNNNNNNNNNNNNNNNNNNNNNNNNNNNNNNNNNNNNNNNNNNNNNNNNNNNNNNNNNNNNNNNNNNNNNNNNNNNNNNNNNNNNNNNNNNNNNNNNNNNNNNNNNNNNNNNNNNNNNNNNNNNNNNNNNNNNNNNNNNNNNNNNNNNNNNNNNNNNNNNNNNNNNNNNNNNNNNNNNNNNNNNNNNNNNNNNNNNNNNNNNNNNNNNNNNNNNNNNNNNNNNNNNNNNNNNNNNNNNNNNNNNNNNNNNNNNNNNNNNNNNNNNNNNNNNNNNNNNNNNNNNNNNNNNNNNNNNNNNNNNNNNNNNNNNNNNNNNNNNNNNNNNNNNNNNNNNNNNNNNNNNNNNNNNNNNNNNNNNNNNNNNNNNNNNNNNNNNNNNNNNNNNNNNNNNNNNNNNNNNNNNNNNNNNNNNNNNNNNNNNNNNNNNNNNNNNNNNNNNNNNNNNNNNNNNNNNNNNNNNNNNNNNNNNNNNNNNNNNNNNNNNNNNNNNNNNNNNNNNNNNNNNNNNNNNNNNNNNNNNNNNNNNNNNNNNNNNNNNNNNNNNNNNNNNNNNNNNNNNNNNNNNNNNNNNNNNNNNNNNNNNNNNNNNNNNNNNNNNNNNNNNNNNNNNNNNNNNNNNNNNNNNNNNNNNNNNNNNNNNNNNNNNNNNNNNNNNNNNNNNNNNNNNNNNNNNNNNNNNNNNNNNNNNNNNNNNNNNNNNNNNNNNNNNNNNNNNNNNNNNNNNNNNNNNNNNNNNNNNNNNNNNNNNNNNNNNNNNNNNNNNNNNNNNNNNNNNNNNNNNNNNNNNNNNNNNNNNNNNNNNNNNNNNNNUAUAGUCUGGGAAAAAAAAUUUAUUACAGACUUUAGCCGACGAAUAUCUUAAUUGUUUCGUCGGCUAAAGUCUGGAAAAAAAACCGCGACAUGUUUUCGUCGGCUAAACUGUGGGACUAUAGCCGAAAAAAAAAAAAAAUUUCGUCGGCUAAAGUCAUCGCCGACGACCUUUUCCCGACAAAAUCUUAGCCGACGAAAUUAAGCUAACAAGCCGACGAAAAUUUUUCGUCGGCUAAAGUGCUUGUCCUGGUAGUGAAUAUUUGGAUUUUGGUGUCUCUCCGAUGUCUUUUUUAAUGAUGGAUUGCCUCCAAAUUUUGUCUACCUUUGUCUUAGUAUAUGAUUAGCACUUAUAAAAUAAAAGCCAAUUAGAUUAUGAACCAUUAGAGACAAAUAUCAACCCUAAGCAUGUCAUUUAGUUUUUAAACAAAUAAAAACAAUUACGGACAUACGAAAACUCCUCAAGAUAGAAUAUUUUUAAAGACUGUUUAAUCAUUGUGUCACAAGGCUUUGUCUUUAAAGCUUGCUUUUGAUGUAUGAUGCUUCUAAAUGUACCCAACAAACUUCUAAGUAUACCCAGUAUUUCAAUUUUUGUCCCAUUUUUUCAUGUAUUGCCCCUAUGUCUAUUUGCACCCAACAUCUUCAGAAAAUCAUACCCAACACUUUUCUAUCUUCCAUUACCAAAUUUUUGAACAGUACCAUGAUCAAGAGUAAACAAUAGUCUGUUAAGGAUGAGCAUUUCUUUUGGUCAAAUUCUCCUUAAUCAACUUAACUCAUAAUCAAAUUAUCUAUAAAUUUUUGUUGUGCUCUCUUAUUCAGUUGUUCGAUGUUUCUAUGGAAGAGGAGGUUCAUGUACCCUUACCUCGUCUGAUCCAUAUGAAGAUGUCCUUCACCACGUCAAUUUCCUUCCAUCUAAUGGUUUUGGCAGCCAAUGCCUUUCAAAAACAAUUGUGAAGACUUCACAAUUUAUUACAAAAACAGGUUUGCUUGUGUUUACUAGUCUUAUUGUGGGAAAUAUACAAUUGUUUUUGAUAUCAGAAGAAUGAAAAAGAAGAAUGAGGAGGGGGCAAAACAAGUUUGCUUGUGUUACUAGUCUUAGUGUGGGAAGGAUACAAUCGUUGUUGAUAUCAGAUGGAAGAAAAAAAACGAUGAGGGACAAGGGAGAAGUUAAAGCUAGAUUCAAAUAAGGGUAAAAUUGGAAAGAAAACUACUACUUGGUACAUUUAGAAGUUUGUUGGGUACAUUUAAUAACACAUUUUGGUGUAGUACCUAACUAGCUGACGCUUUGUUUUCUUUUUUAGGCUUACUUGGGUCCACAUAGUUAGUGUUUGUGAGUUAUGACUUAACUCGGUCGGUUUCCUAACUCACUGGUACGAAUAAAUCGGUCCAACGGCUCCCUAUUGCUAAUUUAUCUUUUAUACUCCUGGUUUCAAUUUUAGUUUAAAUUUAAUAGAACUUUUUGAGAAUGGUGUUAUGGUUGUAUUUGGUCUUCCAAUCUCAGGAAUUUAUGGUAUGUUUGGAUGUGAAAUAUUGAGCUACCAUGCUUUUGGUCUCUCUAUUUUGAUGAAAAUCUGAGCAUGUGAAUAAAGAAGUAAUAGAUACUCUAGCAUAUUUUUUUGUUGAUUUCUUCUUUGGUCUGCUUUUUGUUGGUUUCGAAUGACUCGAAGUUUUGGUUUUACUAUGCAAUGUUCAUUUUUCUUCUUUGUGCCUUUUGGAUAAUAGUCUUCCUAAACUUAGCAAAUCUUUGCUACAAAUUUUUCAUCUAUAUAUGUCGCUUUAGCUUUUCCCUCUCUCUACGCUCAUCCUACAAAUGGUAAUGUCUAACUUUUCUUUGUUCUAUUCAAAAUUUGAUGAACAAAUUGUUAAUGAAAAAAGUUAACGAAAUCAUCCUUGGUAUCCUUUUAUACAUUAUACUCUCAAUUUAUGUUAGAAAAGUCUCUUCAAAAUUCGUCAUAGGCCUCCUUUUAUAUAGGGGCGGCCUUUUGUUAUUUGAAGCUAAGGAACCAAACCUUUGUGUCGAAACCAAGCGAAAGAAGGUAUAGUCCUAAAAUAAAUAUGAAAACUUCUCUGCCAUUUGGAUCAGUCAAGUGAUGGAGGUUACUUUAAGCUCUAAAAAUUCUAGAGGUUAUGUGGCAUGCUUCGUAUAUCUUAUAAGUUAAGGUUAAUAUUGAUGGUGUAGCUACUCUUGGUCAAGCAGGUUUGUGUGGCAAAUUCAUGAUCAUUUAGGUUUUGUGCUUGGUUGUUUUUCAGGGGCUUUUAGGUUGGUCUAUGCAUUAGAGGCUAAAUUUCAAGUAGGUAUGAUGUUAUUCAUAUUGCAGCCCAUACAUGUUUGCACUCCCUUUGGAUUAAAAGUUGGUUAUUCACUAUCUAUCCUCUCAUCAUAGGGAUAUGUCAUGGUGAUACUCUACUGUUUCAUUCAAUUGCCAAGUGACGUUUGCAUCUAUGUUGGUGUAUGGGUCAUCAUUCCUAAAACCCCACGGGUACUUGCUCGGCCCAUAAAAAAACUCAUCUCGACCCUACCCAUUGAGCAUGAGGCAGGUUAGGGCGGAGGGUUCAAAACUCUGGCUUGACCCUAUAAAGCCUCCUGAAAGCACAUUCAGUUUUAACUUUAAUAUUUUCUUUAAUAGAGUCAUUAGUUGAAUAUGUGAACUAAUUAUCAAGAUCAUAGUUUCCUUCAUUUUGUAAUAUAGUUCAAUCAUUAAAAUAUUAUUAAUUAUUUUUUUAUAAUUGUAUCUUAAAAAAUGCAUUUACAAUUAUGGGCUCAACCCUGUGCACAUCUAAAAAGCUCGGCCCAAAAAACACCCUAUAAAGCCCUGGGCAUAUGGGUGGCCUUGAGGCAUAAAUGUCUUGUCCUAAAAUAUGAAAAAUUGGCUUAAGGCUUGGCCCUGCCCAUUUGACGACCCCUAUGUUGGUGAAAGUUUCACAUGUCUAUCAUGAAGGUAAGUGGCUGAAAUUUUACCUAAUUUUUUGUGCAAAUCAUGUGGGUGUGCAUUAGUGGUACUUUUUCCCUCCUGGUGCUCUUGUGGCAUAUAACCGAGAUCCAGCAAGCCUUCAUAACUGUAGAUUUGCAUAGUAUAUCGAAUUUGGUUGGAUUGAGUUGAGUUUAGUCACUGCUCUUGAGUUAUUCUUUUAUCUGUCCUUAAUAGUACUCAGUUUCCUCUUCAUUAAAGACUGUGUUUUAUUAUCUUUAAAGGUAGACGUUCUUAAAUAUAAGUUUUAGAAUAGUUGUUGUUUAUGUAGAGUUCUGGGGUCCUUCCCUCAAGUACCUACAUAAAUAAAACACGUCAGAUGUCGCAACUGGAGUGGAUCAGUCUUCGACUCUCCAAUGCUUAAGUCAGCGAAGUGUCGCUACUUGUACUGUAUGAGAAUUAGGUGAAUAGUGAACUUACAUAUUUAGGAAGGUUGAGUCUGUCUUAUAGACUUGUCUUGGGAGUUGUGCCAUAGCCAUUCGAUGUGGAAUUUAGGCUCUGGGCAAGUUCGCUGCUUCCUAUAGGCGGGCCCAUGGCCACCACUAGGCUGCACCGACAGGCAUGAGGAGGGACCAGCCUCUCUAUUUUGGGUAACAGAUGUGUCGUCGGUAGCGUCAACAGAGCUCGGGGCUAUCUCUAGUGACCAGAAUAUAGAGUAUUCUCGGUGCGAUUUUAUAUAUAUGGAGAUAUAAACAAGUCCCCAAGUCCCAAGUCAAAGAGUACUCUUGGGUGGGGAGUUUGUCUGACCGUACCGAAAGUAUGUCUCGUGGCAAAAUCUGGAGAUUGUGGUUAAUCUCAGUCCCCAAGUCCACUCGCGACUAGGUUUGUGGUUGCACGGACUCGGGACCGAGGUAGUGGUUUCCAGUCUUUAAAUUCGCACAUACGUCAUAAAUGGCCAGUUUAUGAGAGGCAUGUGGAGUUUUUAAUGAUGUGUAGGGUUUGUAACGGUUUGAUGGAGUUAUGGUUUCUUGGUUUAUAUGCGCAUGUAAAAGACGUGGGGGCGUCUUUAAUAUGUGGUAUGAGACGUGGCUUACGUGGAGCGCAUCUGAUCAUUUUGUUAUUUCACGUUGAAAGGCUGGGAUUGAGAUGAGUUUCUAUAAAUAGGGAAAAAUUAGGGAAAGGAAGUAGUUCUGAAUUUGAAAGUUUCAAGCGAUAGAGAGAGUUGCAUUAGUGUUGAGAGCGAAAUCGAACCUGGGAAACGUGCAAUUUCAUCGCCAAUCAAUGGGUUGUGAGUCAUCUGUUGUUUGCAAUCAGCGUCAUUGUCAUUACACAUAUCCAUUGUCACAUCCCGACCCUUAUAUUUUUACCUUAUUUACUAGCGUGUUUAUAAUAAGAAUUUUACCGUCUCGAUCAUUGAGUAAAUAGUUUAAUUGGUCCCUAGAGGGGUUUCGGGGACGAUUAUGUGCGGAGGAUUAUUCGUAUGAGGAAAAUACGACGACGGUAAAAAUAGUAAAUUUUAGCUAGUAAAAGGUAAUUUUUAUUCGGGUAUUAUUUUUCGGGGUGUUUUUAUUUUGGAAGUUUGGGUUAAAAAGGGGUGUUGGGUCGGCUGGGCCGAGCCCAACCCAUUUCUUUCUUCUUUCUCUUCUCCCUCUCUCCCGAUUCUCUCUCCUCCCACCCGAUUUUCUUCUCUCUACACCCAGCAGACUUCCGGCCGUCCUCCCGCCGCCGUCCGACCUCCGUUCGCCGCCGUCCGACCUCCGUUCGCCGCCGGACCGGUCCCGUUCGGUCGGUCUCCCUCCCAGCUUCCAUUCUAGGCCGGUAGCAGCCCCCCUAGCGCCGCCGUGAGUGAGCGGUGCCGCCCGUAAGGUCCGACUGUCCAAACCUUCCCUUCACCGGAACUUCCUCCUCCGGCCACCAAUCCGGGCAAGCUUGGUAUGGUUUUGUAGCCCUCCAACCCAGCAACCUUGCCCUAAAAGGACUCACUCCCUCUUGAGCUAGGUAAGGAGAAAUUUGAGGUGGAAGUUUUAUGGUGUUUUUGAUGUGUUUAGUCGAUUGCCCUAGUUAGGCUUGGAAUUGGUGUUUGUGCUAGUUAUGAAAGUUGUAGAGCUUGAUGAGAGGAAGAUGCUGUUAAAAUUUCAUAGGUUUUGGAGGUCGCCGGAAUUGACCUCCGGCCGCCGCUGCCGGCGGAGCCGCCGGCGGCGCCGCCGCCGGUUGGGAGAUUUUAAUGUUGUUAAAUUUGGAUUAUUAAGGGGAGUUUAUUGAAGUGAGUUAUGGAAUUUUUGGAUGAGUUUUGGAUAGGUUUAUGAAUUUCCGAAGUUUGGUAUUUUUGGCGGUUAAUUAAUGUAGAAUCCGGCCGUAGGAUUUAAGUCGUAUUUUGGAGAGGUUGUAUUUACGACUUUUGAGUAUGAUAUUUAAGUUCGGAUCGUUCCGAUGUAAGAAUAUCGAAGUUAGGCAAUGAUGAGCGUAAUUAUGGCUCUCGGGUAAUUUUGCCUAUUUUGAUUAAAUAUUGGAUUAUUGGAUGGGAAAUUAAUAUUUUAUUUGGAACAGGACGUGAGGAGGCUCGAGCAGACGAGACCCCAGAUCGACAGCAGGCUUAGGCCUAAUUUGUGAGUGGACGUUUAUUUUAAAUAAAUGCAUGCUAAAGUUCACGAUUGAAUAAUUAAUGUCGUGGAGUAUUUUGACGUCAUUUUAAUUUUUGACGAUUUUUAUUUCUCUUGGAGAGAUACCGAAAAUGGGAUUUUCGGUGGAUAUAAAUAUGUAUUUAUGAGAGAGUAUGUAUAGAAAAUGCUAGCUAGCCAUAUGUGUCUGUCCACCUUAAUGGCGUAGCAUAUAGCCNNNNNNNNNNNNNNNNNNNNUUAGCUCUGAAUACUUUAGAAUUUUUGUAUAUUAUGGGAUGUUCAGAAGUGUUAAAUUAAGAGUGUAAUAUGAAAUCUUUCGAGUUAGGGUUGUCCAUCUGCAAGGGAGAUUUUCUUAAUCUUUUCAGUAAAUUUUCCUUGGAGGUGGUCCCCGCACGACUUACUCUGGGUUUCAGGGUGAAAUUCGGGGUGAGUCGUGUCAGUUGGUAUCAGAGCCACUCUGCCGUGUGGUGCGAGUGUGCCGACGAGGGCGUCGGACUCCCAAGGGGGUGGAUUGUAAUAUCCCACAUCGGCCAAACGGAGAGGGGUUAUGUGCUGUAUAUGUACAUGCCCACCACCAACUUAAUACGAGGCCUUUUGGUGGCUCAGCGGCUUCGGAGGGGAUGGGUACUCCGAAGUUAAGCAUGUCGAUGCGAGAGCAAUCCCAGGAUGGGUGACCUACUGGGAAGCUGCUCCUGAGCUGCCGGAAACAAAACCGUGAGGGCCGGUGGGCCCAAAGCGGACAAUAUCGUGUUACGGCGGAGCGGGUCCCGGGAUGUGACAUCCAUGACCAGAAAAAAAAGGUAUGAAAUUGUCCAUUUCUCUGUUGUUGUUUUUCCUUUUCAAUGGGGGGUUUUCAAUGAGUUUUUUGUUUGCUUCUUGAAUUUGGUUGCUUUUCUAGGAUUUUAGUAAUGUACGUGGGAUGAUUUUGGGUUUGUUUUUUAGAGGAGUGACUUGGAAGGGGAGAGAGACUGACUUUUGUGAGUGUAGUUGAUGGCAGAUUCGUGUGGGUGUCCAGUGAGGAAAUGGUGGAAGAUCCUGAUUCGGACACCCUGCACCGGAGAGAGGAGUUGAAUGUGGCGAUGGAGGAUAGGUAUCACCCUAAAUGGGGAUGGCUCUCCCGAGGAUGCUAGCUCUCACGUAUCCUCAUCUGAUCCACUAUUGCAUGAAGUAGAGAAUUUUUCUAUGGCUAACUUGGAGGGAUUGCGAGAGUGUCUACCUAACUGACCCAAGUAGAAACACCCCGCCCCCCUUCUCCCCCGGGGGAAGAGCAUGACAUAGGAAGAGCUCGUGAUCUUAAGGAGAAUUAGGGAAUAGCCUCACAGGUUGAGUUGCGGCCCCUCGAAGAGGGUAUAAGCUUAUGGAACCCCCUGAGGGUUGCAUGCUGAUGUAUGAGUAUCAGUUGCGGUGACCUUGAAGUCGCGGGGGAAGUUCUAAAAAAUUGUGGAGGGCUUGCCAACUUCAAUGUAUGAGGGCGCUGGCAGCAAAAGUGCUUCUUGGUGGGCGGACAGUGGCAAGAGCUUCACUGUCACCUUUUUCUGGUUCUUGGGACCUUUAAGAAAAUAGGCACUAACCCGUGAUGUUGUUGUAUGUGUCUUUUUUAUUGUGUUGUGUUAUUGCCAACUCUUGGGUUUGUGUAGUGGCACAAGAAUAUAGUUUAACCGAAUUGAUGGAGCAUCGGAUCAAGCGUGUCUUGUGGACUUUUGGGGAGGCACACGUUAGGAGUUCAUACCAGAUUUGCCAGUUGGGGGUGUAUAACCAGUUUGGCUAUUGCUCUGUGUCCCUCUCUUGUUUUCCUUUUUUCUUUUUCUUUUUUGAGGUGCUGACAUACAUGUGUUUGUUUUGUAGUGACAAUUCCCCAGGAAAGUGGUGGCCGGAAGAAUGUAGGUCCUUAUGACAAGGCAAUUGACGAAAACGUUCUCACGAGACUUCGCGAGGAGGAGAACCUUGAGUGUCAAUAUGACAUUAACUUGGAGUCUGGAGCUAGGCUUGAGGUAGAUUUGGGACUUGGGAGAGGACGACUUUGUGAGAUUGAACCUCUAGGACGAGGAGUUGAGGACUAUACCUGCCUAGCUCUCUGUCAGAGUCGCGACAGCGAGAGGGAUGUCAGGGGAACAAGAGGAUGAGGAAGCAACGAAGACUGAAGAGAUGGGGCAAGAUGUGAGGCAGGACUAGAUUGGAGGCCAGGAUGGGGAACAAGAUAUUGACCAGGUGAUAGUGAAGGCCAAGGCCGAUGAGGAAGAGUUUAGGGAGCCAUGGGUUGGUGAGCAACAUGGGGGUAACGGGCUAGGGGUUCAUCUUGACUGUGAAUAUGUACGUGGUUCAUUAAGCGGGUCAUGAGUCUCGGGUCCCGACGUUGUUAUUAUUGGGAGCACAUGUGACAGCCAAAAGAGGAAGGAGCGGACUGUGGAUCCCACCAAGGAUUGGUAGUCAAAGAGUUUGCGGAAGGAUGAGGGGGCAUUCACGUUCCACCAGUUCGGGUAACCUAGCUGGCAGAAUUCCAGGGGUCCCGUUACUUAGGCAGAAUUCUAAAGUCUUUGUCCUUUAAGCGACUGAGGAGACCUACUUUUCGACGCUCUGAUGCUUAAGCCAGCGAGGUGUCGCUACUUGUAUUGUACAAGAGUUAGGCGAAUAGUAAAUUUCCUGUUUGGGAAGGUUAUGUCUAUCUUAUAGACUUGUCUUGGGAGUUGUGUGUCAGUCCUUCGAUGUGGGACUGAGGCUCUAGGCAUGCAGGUUACCUGGUUCCAUGAGGAGGUCCGGCCUCCAUAGUCUGGGUACCAGAGGUGCCGCAGGUGGCGUCGGUCGAGAUCGGGGCUAUCAUCUGUGACCGGAAUAUAGAAGCAUUCUCGGUGCCGUUUUAUAUAUAUGGAGAUAUAAACAGUUGUAAUUUUCAGUGUUACUUUGGGAGUUCUUGAUUUAUGUCCCCUUCUUUCUUCUUGUAUUUUGCUUUUUAAUUAUGAUUAAUGAGAUAGGGAAACUGGGUGUGAGGGUACGCUUCUGAGUGUAGUGGUCAUCUCUCUAUUAUAAAGAACGUAGACGUCUCACACCAUGACUCCUAGUUAAUGUGAUGCUUGUAAUACCCUGGAAAUUCGAUAUUAGUUACUAAUAUUAAUUGGGAAUUUUCGACUUAGAAGUUAAUGUGUUUUUGAGGUUUAAAAGAAGGGCGGAAGUGUUCAGACGCAUAAUUUACCCGAAAGGGUUCCUUUUUCUUUAAGGGUCAUAGAGUUGACAUUUUAUUUGUUGGGUUUCUCGAGAAACUUUCUUCACGAAAGUUGUAGAGCACGACGAUAUGAGUUCGUAGACAUGUGGCACGCGUUAAUCGGAGUUCGUACGAGAAAGUUAUGGUCAACGGAAGUUCCUACCUUUUUUGGAAGUUGUCUUUAAAUAGAAAAGAAAAAAUCAGAAAACUCAAACCAACCAAAUCAGAAAAUCCCUAUCUCUCUUCUCCUCCCAACCUCCUUUAGUUUUUCAGCCAUAUCUUGGCCAUCCGAGCUCGGAUUUGGGCAAAUGAUGUACCGUUGGAAAGCUCUCUUGAUUCUCUACAAGUCUGUGGUGGUUUGGUAGCAAGAUUCGAGCAACUAGAGGUGCAGCAAGGCCGGGAAGCAGCUGUGGCGCCGUUUUGGGUUCUUUGUCGGAACUCCUAAUUCCGGUCACCUUCGGCGACAACUCUUGGAGGCUUUUGAAGCUUGUGAGAUGUGUAUCAAUCCCUCCAAGCCUCUUGAACCGACUUGAAGUGUGGACUGUGAAUUGAGGAUUUGAAAUUCUAGGGUUCAAUCACCCAUUUUACUUAAGAGGUAAGUUCCACCUUCUAUAGUUAAAAUUGGACUUUGUGAUAGUUGAGACUAUUGUAGGGCUUGUUGAGAUGAAGAGUUUGGUGUAUGAACCAUGACCCAAUUCGUGGGUUGUCGGUGGUGCGUGGGGCGUGGGGCUCACUCGCCGUCGCCUGUGGCGGCGCGUGGCAGCGUGUGUAGUUUUGGUUGUUGUGGUUAGCUAGCUCAUAUUGUUGUAAGCUUGUUGAGAUGUGGAAUUUCUAGGUUUUGAGCAAGGAUUGCAUGCUAGAACUUUAUGUUUAAUCUUAGACUUGUGAGAGGUUUUGAGUUUAGUACUUGAGGAUUAAAGGCAGUGUAUUGGGUCGUUAAGUUCAAUGACCUUAGAAGGUUAUCCUCCUUUGGACUAAGGUUUAGUUUAAGGGUGUUUUAAUUUCCUUUAUUACAAUGGUUACUAAGGUUAUUAAUGGUGUUAUUUAGGUUAUUUGUGAAGUUGAUUUUGAGCUAGGCCUUGUAUUUUUGUGAAGACGCAGCGGGAUUUUAGGUGAGUAACAUCUCACCAAGGUCCACUUUAGGACCAAUUAUUUAUAAUGAUUAUGAUGAUGAUUUUGAUGAUGAUAAUGAUAAUAAUGAUUUUGAUGAUGAUUAUGAUGAUGAUUUUUUUGAUGAUGAUGAUGAUAAUAAUGAUUUUGAUGAUGAUGAUGAUGAUGAUGAUUAUAAUUUAAAAAUUAUGUUUUUGGUUGUUUUAAAAUAUAUGAGGUUGAUCGCCAACGGCUCAUAGGUAAGAGAAAACAAGUUUUCCUAUUUAAAUGAUUAUUUUUAAGGUUCUUGUGACCAUAAUAUUUUUGGUUCUAUUGAUGUGAUUAUUAGUACCUUGGUGGUGAUUGUGUGUCUUAGUUAUGAAUGUGUGCCUUAGUGUUGAUUGUGUGAAUUCGUUGUGGAAUUGUGCCUUAGUAGUGAUUGUCUGUCUUAGUUGUGAAUGUGUGCAUUGGUGGUAAUUGUGGGUCUUAGUUGUGAAUGUGUGCUUUAGUGGUGAUUGUGUUCAUUUUUUGUGGAAUGGUGUCUUAGUGGUGAUUGUGUGCAUUCGUUAUGGAAUGGUAUCUUAGUGGUGAUUGUGUGCAUUAGAUUAGGAGCCUUCGUGGUGGACCGGGAACCAAGCCUUGACCGGGUGAUUGGUUACGGUCAGUAUAAAGCUCUAGUCUGUCUGUCUGUACUUCAUGGGGGAUGACUAAGUGUUGACGAACCCAUGAGUACGCGUUUGUUUGGUUACUUAUGGGGGAUGACUAAGUGUUGACGAACUCAUAAGUAAGAGUAGAGAAAUGAUUAUGUGUUUUCAUUUAAAUUCCUUGCUUUAAGCAUCUCCUGAACUAUGCUUAUCCGCAAGAGAUUCUUUAAUCUUAAUUGUGUGAUUUUAAUAGAAUUCCUGAACUACACUUUUUGCAUGAUUCAUUUAUGAUUUUGAUUGAUUGUGAAUUGUUGUGUUUCUUAUUUCUCUCUUUGAAUUCUCUUACUUUUAGGCGAUUCCUGAACUAAGUUGUUAAUGCAGGAAUUUGCAGUUUUAUCUUAUAUGAUGUUGGAAUUGUUGAGUUAUUAUUUUGGGAGUUAAUCAUACGAGCUUUUUAGCUUACCGGGUUUGUUGUUUACAACCCGGUGCACAAAUUCAUGGUGUAGGGGUUAGACCCGCAGGUGAUGAUCAGCAGGGUUGAGGCAGUGGCUUAGGAGCUGGGUUUUAGACGAUGUACAUUUAUUUGUAUAUUAUGGCAGUACGUUGUUUCUAAGCUCGUGUGAGCGACUUUAUUAUUACUAGACUUUUGAAGUUGAUAUAUUUAAGGAGAUAUAAUGUUUAACUCGGUUGAUGAGUUUGUUGACAUUUACAUUCCAGUAUUUGAUUUUAGUUUGGAAGUUGUUGAGUAGGUUUUGGGAUAUUAAGAUUUUGAGUUAUAUGAUGCCCAAAUUUUUAAAAAUUUAUCAUUCGAAAAUUGGGGUGUGACAAUGCUAAUAUUGCCUCUCUUCUUCUUUUUUAAAGUAAUCAUCAUAUAUAUAAUCGAAAGCCAAAAUGGCGAGAGUACAAUAAUCAUCAUUAGGAUCACAAUAAUGACAUUACAUUAGACAUUUAGCUUACCUAUUUAUGAGCUUAGCAUAAUGGGAUGCUAAUAUUGCCUAAUUCUCUAUUUUAGUUAUUAAAAACAAAACAAAGACAAAAAAGAAUGGGUUUAUAUAGGGCCUCCUAAUAUAAGAACAUAUAUACUAUUCCCAAAAUGGUUUAGGCAGGAAUACAAAAACCCAACCCAAAUCGUAAGCAACUAAAGCACCAACUGAAGUUCAAAGAGGCCAGUAUCUGGCUGCCAAGAACUUCCUUUCGAUUCCCUAGUGUUUUAACAAUUUCUUAGUCAGAUCGUAAUAAUCCAUGUAUUUUACAUAGGAUUCUCAUUCUCUUGUUCUGUUAUAUAAGUAGCAUAUGCAUCAUGGAUAUUCAUGCAUGGUGCAUCUUCAAUUUAGUCAAUGGUACGUGGUCCAGAAGUGCUUGCUCGUUCUGGUGACCCUAUACGCUCUCCUCUACUCAACUCUCCUUUUGCUUUGUGGUCUCUCUCUCGGCCUCUGAAACCUGCAGAGAUAAAAUGUUUCAGCAUACGUCGCAUCAUGGAUUGAAAAGCAAGUAAUUAUGAAUGAAUGAUUCAAUUCAGACUUUGGAGAUAAAAAGAUAAAAUAAACUCCGAGUCAGUAGUAGUGUUACUGUCAAAGGCUCAAAGCAAACCACCACAGAGAGGAUUAGGGCAGCUUUCCUGACAACUCCACCAGAUCAUCGCCCCUGGAUUUCCGAGAAUAUUACAUUGCAAUAUCACAUCCCACCUUAUACGACUCUACCUCUUGUCAACUUCAUUGACAUGCUCUACAUAAUUUCGAACGGCUACUUUUGCUUCGACUUGGAACAUUGUCAUUGUAUUGUCCUAUUUUCAUAUAUUGUCCUUCAUCAGCAGCUUCUUUUACGCAUUUGCCCUACUACCCUGGUUAAUAAGCAGUUUAUGAAGCAACUGUAAGUAAAAAUCACAGAUCAUAUCAGUAGCAGCCGAAGGAAAAACUAACAGAAACGAGAACAUGGAAGCUGAAGACGAAACUCGAUAUCAUCAGAUCAGUGGCAUGUCGACAUAAGUCGAGUGACUGAGAAAUGAAUGGUAAUAAAGCCAGGAGACUUUAAUUGUAAAGGAUAUGCAAAACAAAGAAAAACUGUUUAAGAACAAUGUUGGGAUGCAAAAAUGAAAUAGAAAGGUAACAAUCGGUAUUCGGUAACAUAUACACAUGAACAUCAUUUGAACGAUCCAGAUUCCGCAAUUCUUCUGCAUUUUGACAGAUUACAGCUUAUAGUUAAUAGUUAACUCAUGAAGCUGUUUUGCAAGAGCAAUAUUCUACCGAUCGAAAGGUCCUUUUCGAGAUCACUUCCUGAAACACCCAAAACACAUUAUAAUUUCUCUAAACCAAAGAUACAACAAUACAUCUGUGAAGAAAAUGAAUAAAUGAUUGGCAUGCAUUAUUGUUGAUUGUGACAUCAAUACUUUUCAUAUUAUUCUAAAGUGAUUAUAAACACAGAGCCACAGAGGAGUCUUUUUUUUUUCGAUGAAACCACAGAGGGACUCUAGAGGGAGUUUGUUGGACAGACUUACGGCCCAGAGUUUUUGGGGUCCAUUUUUAGUUAAAACUACUUAUGCCCAUUUCUUACUUUCACAUUAUAGUAGUCGAUCCUCUUCAGUAGUCCUCAAGUUACUAAGCACCUUCAUCUCAUACUAUACUUCCUAUCACUUUACCUUAUAAAUUUUACGACAUGGCAUGGGUUCAAAUCGCCCCAUAAAGCCAACUUUAUUCUUUACCAUAUAGCAAAGUAAAUCUUUUUCUCAACUCGUUUAUAAUCAAUACCACACAAUAAUUUAUUACUCUACCGCAUGGUAUGUUCAACAUACAAAACUAGUUAUAUCACGAGUUAAACAGCUAGCUUAACAUGGUCAAAACAAGUUAGAGAGGGUUUGUUAUCCAUUCCAUCCUACUUACCAUCCCUUAACACGGUUGCUUGUUUCCUCUUCCAUGUUCUCUAGCUCUUUUUAUCAACAUUAAUAUGCUCACUCUUAUUUGAUUUUGUGAGGAAAGGAAAUCACUCCCCUAUAUCCUUUAUCUGAUAAACCAGCUCCCACAUAGGGACUGCACCUUGGAGACUCUAAGGUGCUUUAUACAUAUGGACUUUUGAUCAGCUACGUACUUACCUCUCCGCUCGUGUUUUUACUCAUUUAUUCAUAAAAGUAAGUUGUCCAGAAAAUUCGUGUAUAAUUGAAGCUAGCUAGUAGUGGUACUACCUUAUUCAAUACAUGAAAUUUAUGACGAUAGUAACUAGUUACCUAUCUAGUUCUGAAGAAUGAGCUUCAAUUCAUUUGACUAUACACAUAUACAUGAUAGACCAGGGUUGAAGUAGACUCUUGAUCAUUUCAAAUCAUACCUGUCCUUCACUUUGAUGCAUGUCCAUCACACAUCACAAGUCGUAUUUUGUGAAACAAAACAAACUCACAAUGGGUAUCUUUCAUUAUUUUGCCAAAGCAACCUCUACAUGGUACCAAGAUUGAAGAAUCGAGGGUAAUUCCCAAAACUAAAAAUAAAAAUAAAAAACGAUAUAUACCUAGACAUUUCCAAAUGAAAUUAAAAGCUUUUGGAUUGUUCUCUUUAGGUGCCCUAAUAAUGCAGCCAUUGUAUCUUUCAUAUUUCCAUGUCGACGAGCUCUGAUUGAGAAUCGAGGGAAGAGAGUUUUGUCUCUAUUUUUCAGUGAUAUUUUUUUAAAAAACUUUUUUCAUAAAAUGAUAAAGAAGAAAAGGAAUUAGGGCAAGAGUAGCCCGCCUUGAAAGCCGGGCAGACAAAGACGGGACUGCAAUGAAUAAGAGGGGGGAAGGGAAGGAAGGGUCGCUAUCACAUCCGGGUUGCCCGAGCUGCCCGUAAAUUAUGAGAGAAGAUGUGAAAGGACAAAGCUGCCAUUUUACUUUUGCUCUAAUAAAACGACAGUGCGCUCAGCGAGGCGUCAAUCAUAAAGCAAUAGAUUGCAAAAUGAUUUCGCCUCCCUCCCUCCUCCUCGGCCCACGCGCCUCCGUCUCUCUCUCUCUCUCUCUUUCUCUCUCCAAAUCCUAUUGGCUCUCGCUGACACACGCUCUGUCACUUUGACCGUAUCCCUUCGCGGACCACCCAUGACACGUCACGUCCGUCGACACGUGCGACGGAUAAUUAUUUUCGUUUUCUGGUCAUGUUUUUUGUUUUAAUUAUAAAAUAAAAAUUAAAGAGAGAGAGAAAAUAAAUAAUAGGGAUUCUGGGUGUGUCCGGGAAAAGGAAUGAUAGGGUGGUUUCCUGAGUUUCCUGUUCUAUUGGCUCCCGCGGGAAUCUCGCCUCAUUAUGCGUUGUGUUGUAUAAACUUGUAAGCAUCUGUGUAAUGAAUAGGAAUGGAUGAAUGAAUUAUAUGAAUGGUUUGUGCUUCUUCUUUGUUCUGUCCUUGUUGUUGGUUUCUUUGUUUUGUUCUUAGACCACUUUCAUUUGUCAAAAUAUCCUUUUACAUGCAUGUGACAUAUGGUACCACUUCUCAUUGAGGAUACAUGUUCUUUUCCACCCAAUUAUUGAAAUUUAUCUAUUUUUGUUCGUGUUUUAUUUCCAAGAUGGAUGAAAAUGUUAUUGCUAAAAAGAGAUCGAACUUGUUGAUGGAGGCAUUAGCUAUGCCUUAUCCCAUAUAUUGGUGGUUGAUGGAGCCGGAUUGGCUUUCCUCUAUUUUAGUUCUUGAAGCUAGUAGUUGAGUAUUGUAGUUUGGAGUGUGGUACUCUUCCUCCCUCUGUGGGGGUUUAACGAGGCCACUCUUAUACUCUUUUGAUAUAGUUUUUCCAUCAUGAAUGAAAUUUCAUUUUGAUUAUAAAAAAAAAAAAAAAGAAAGAGAUCGAACUUGUUUAUGAGAAUCAAAAUUAAAAACGAAUUUUGGAAAAGGGGGUAAAUGGCAAAAAAGAAACACAAUAAAAAGUAAAUGACCACAUGAAAGUAAAGGGACAUUUUUGGUUUUUUUUUCCUCUAUUAGGAGUGAGAUAAGUCACCUAAGUUAGGUUAGUAAGUUAGUAUCACCCACCCGGUCAGUCUUCGAACCGGGGUCUAGGAGAGUAUCUUAACAAAGUCAAACUAAUCUCCCGUCGCAUGCGCACGUACCUGAAGACCCUUUAAACCUACUAGGCACAAAUUGGUCAAAGUUGAGAUUCAAACUCUAGACAUGGGAUUUCAAAUUGAGCAGCUCGAUCGACCAACUUUACCACGAUUAAAUUUUUCGGUUUAAUCAGCUCCUCUAAUGUUAUUUCUGAAAAACCAAGCUUAAAGUAAAUAGUCAUUUGUCGGUUUCAAUAAGCCAUUUAUUUUCUUGUCAUAAAGAAACCCUACAAAACCAGAUUGCCUUCGUCACAACAGUGCUAUAAUUAAUAAAGAAAACAGAAGCAAUUGAAAAACAGUAAGCAAAUGAAAACACAAAUGCUUUAAAAAUGAAAGAUUGAAACUUAUGAUUAACAUAUAGUACUCGAUCUAACUAUUUUUUGGUGAAUGGUCAAGGUUUAUAACAAAAAUGAAAGAAUGCAGGUUAUAAUUAAUGGUGAAGUGAGAUUGAGAGUAAUCAGAGUAUAGCUAGGACAGUGAUUAGUCAAGUAUUAUCAACUGCCCUAUUUGAGCUUAGGUUUGUUGCAUAAAAACUUGACCCAGCUGUCACCGGGCACAGACGAGUUACUGCAACUUUUUCAUGCAAACAAAUAAGGCUAGCUCCUCUUCUCUUUCUUCUUCGAUCUUCUUCCUCCUCGAGCUACUCAAAUUAAGACAGACCUCUCUCUCUCUCUCUCUGGCCAAUUUAGACAAACGAUUGAGGGUGAAAACAAUGCCCGUCAAGAAAUGGGGGGAGGGUCAUCGAUCUCUCUCACAGGUCACUCUCAGGCAAAUGCCAAAUGGACCCGGCCGGCCCCGUCGGGUACCCUAGCUAGGUCUUUGGCACUAAAUAAGCAGAUCGAGGAGGAGGAGAGGCAGUGGAAGCAGCAGCAGCAGCAGUAGGCAGGCAGGCAGAUCUGACGGCUGACAGGUUGCCCAGAGGCGUCGUUAUCGACGGGACAAGAUGGCGACACGUAGAAAGUCGUAGACCAAGGAUGAAUAAUGAUAGUGUAAUGAUGAAUAAAUAAUUUGACAUUCUGCAUUGUGUCGUAUUUUGCGUUGUUUGUCGUCGAUGACAGUACCCUUACUGCAGUGACUGUAAAGAUCAUCGAUUUAUUACGUUAACACUGGAGCACCAACAGUACGGACGACGAUCCAUGCAUCCUUCCCUAUGAACACAGAACACUACUGUGGAUCGAUGGACCUUGCAAGGAGUUGAAUGAUAUGAAUGAAAUGGGGUUGUGUACGUAGCUCAAGGCUUGUAGCUUCAGAAUCUGUCUAACCCUAGCCUUGAAUUAUUUCUCGAUCUCCACUGCAACACACUAUUCCUCGCUUUCGAUUUGUACCCAUUCUCUUUUAUAUUUAUAAUUGUCCUCACUCCUCCUCAGUCCCGGCCAGACUGAUCACAAGGACCACCCACCAUGUAUUCAUUUCAUAUCUUUUCUAGCUUCGUCUUUCGGUACUGCUUUUUUCAAUGCAUCGAUCGAUCAUUCAAUUCCAACCCCAGAAAACGAAGACGAGUGUCCGUCUUUGAUUCAGAUUAAUUUAGCUCAUCGUCUUGCUCGAUCAGCUACUACUUUUAUGCUCCAUAUUUUACCGUAUCACGUCCUUUUGUGCAACACUUAUCAAUAUUAAUUCCAACACGUACUUCAAAAGAUCAUACCAUUUUCUUUUAGUUGAAAGAGGGAGUACGUAUGGCCACACUACUAAAUGGUAUUUGCUCACCUAAAUCUAUACAUAUGUUCUAAAAGAAAAUGGCUCUAGUGCUCUUGUGAAAUCCUUGCGACAUCAGCUACCUCCCUAGCAAUGCUUGUCAUCGACCUAAUGUUCUUAGUGUCUAUGACCGAUUUGACGUUAAUUUUCUCCUAGUGGCAUGACCAGUAUCAUCCAUGUUUAGCCGAGCAAGUAUAACACCUUCAAGGGGAAGUGUGUCGCAACACGCGAGAUUAGAGGCUUCUUGUCCUUGACUUGGAAAUGGCUUCACUAGCUCAUGGUGCGUGUAGAGAUCUCAAGUAUGACAUAUCUCCAAUCGAAGCCAAUAUCCACAUUCUAAUCGUGCCAAAUUUAAUUUCUAUACAUCAUUAUUUUUCUAAUUAAGCAAACCAAAUAUCCAAUGGUAUCGAGAAUUUUGGUUUGUUUAUUAAAGCUUCGAUCAGCAGGCUGCAAGAUAUGAUAAUAAGAACUAGUAUCUUAAGAACUAUCAAUAUAAUUGCUGACGCUAAUGGACCCAUUACUACUGUGAUCCAUCAUGCAAUAAUCUUGCAUCUUUAGCAUAGGACAGUUUCCAAAGAAUUGUCAUAUCCCAAUAUAACCUGACUACAGAACAAAAUCACUGAUCGAUAGGAACUUGAUUAUCUAUCUUAACUCUCCAUUAUAUUGUCUCCUUAAUAUAAUCUCUCUCUCUCUCNNNNNNNNNNNNNNNNNNNNCUCUCUCUCUCUCUCUCUCUCUCUCUCUCUCUCUCUCUCUCUCUCUCUCUCUCUCUCUCUCUCUCUCUCUCUCUCUCUUUAUUGUUGAUCUUCUUCACAUCUGUCACAGUAUGAGGAAUUUGGGUAGCACUACAUUGCGCUUGUUAAUUGCACGAACUAGUAUGGCUAUGUCGCCGCUUGAGUAAUUGGGAGGGGGGUGUAUAUUUUUAGUCACAACUUUGCACAUACCAUUACUUUCAAGUCAUGUAGCACUUAGUUUUUGGUGAAAUCAAGUCAGAUAGAACUCUCUAACUUUUCAUUUCUACAUUUUCCAGCUUUUCUUUCAGUACGUACCAUAGUCUCUAAGGCAAAUUAUUGAAUUUUAGGAGUUGGCUAAUUUUGAUAAAAAUGUAGCAAUUCAAGUUGGCUAAUUUUGAAAAUAUAAGGUAGCAAAUUGGCAGAAAUAAUAAUUAGGAUAACAAAUUGGUUAAUUAUGAAAAGUUAUGGUAGCAAAUUGACUAAAAUGAAAGUUAAGAUAACAAAUUGUCACUAAGGUAAAAUAUAUGGUAGCAAUUUGGCUAAAAAGCCUUCUUAUUUUUUUUGGGUGAAAGUUUUAAAUAAUUUAUGUGUGUAUGCCAAGUUUUUACUGCUGGGUGAAUCCUAUGGUGGUGAGGUGACUGAGGGUUCAGUGAUUGAGUAGAUCGGCCCUUCUUUGGUUGACAGUUCUCCUGGCGAGACCCCCUCUGCUUCUGGGUUGUCAUUAGUAUGUAGGUUUACCUAAAUGAUUGGUUACUAGCUGGGUUUCAUUAUGAGGUCUGCAACAUAGAGAACUGUCUAGUUUUUUGGGUUGUUUUUGCAUAGUUCUUUUCUAACGUAGACUAUGAGGGCGAAUCGUGGUUAUAUUGUUUUCCUACUAUCACCAAUAAAAUUUGAAUGACAUCCAUAUCUCAAAAAUAAACUUCUAAUUGUUGUCCCAUAUUAAACUAAAUUUGAAUUACAUAGAUAAUUAUGCUAAAUACUAUUAUAUUCAUAUAAUUUCGACUAAAGGAAAUAUUUUUAACCACCAUGUGGUAAAAGUUGGUCGAUUGCCUAGUAUGGAACCCUCGUGUCUAGAGAUCGAGUCUCAACUCUCACCAGCUUAAGGCCAGCAAGUUUGACUCGUUUGAGGGGCCUUUGAAUUCGUGCGUUUGUGGCUGGAGAUUAGUUUGGUUUUGCUGAGAUACUCUUAUAGACCUCGGUCUGGACACGGUGGGUGUGUCAUUAACUUACUAACGUAACCAAUAUGGAUUGGUACCUCACUCGCAAUAAAAAAACAAAAUAUACUUUUACUGUCAUCUAAAAAGCUAAGAGAACAACAAUGAUACGCAAGCAUGAAAGAUUUUCUUUUUCUCUUCUGGUAUAUACACAUAACUCCAAAGAUAGAAUUAGAUUUCAAUGAUACAUAAGCAUGAAAUGUUUUCUAUUUUCUCUUAUGGCAUAUAACUCCAUGUCUCCAAAGAUACACUUAGAUGGAUUUUAAACUUCUUUUAGUAAUUAGUUAUAGUUAAGAACAUCUUCUCUUUUUUCAAUGUACAAAGUCAUUGGAGCUAUAUAUGGCAAAAGAAAAGUGUCUACGGAAAUUUCCUUUUCCAUAUAUCCUCCCUUUGAGUUUGCAUUUUUCAUGUCUUUAUCUCUUGCUCUUUAGAUAAGUUUAUAUCCUCAAUUCCCCUUUGUGCAUAUAGAAAGUGAAAACCAUGUGAUAAGAGAUAGAGAACAUUGCAAGCUAGAACUCGAGUGGUAAAAAUAUAAAUAUAUUUCAUAAAAUGUAAAGUGCUCCAUACAAUUACCAAGGAUCACUUCAUACUUUUAAGAUAGUUAAAGGUCUCAUCUCUCCCUCUUUCUCAUGCAUUUCUCUCUCUUGAGUGCAAAAAAAGAACAUACAAAAUCAAUUAGAUUUCGAAUUCAUAUAUUUACGUAGACUAGCUAGGAUGGAAUAAUAUAAUCUCUUGAUUGGCAUCUCACAAGAGGUUAAUAGGAAUUGAAGGACAUGCUUUUCUUUCUUUUUUCCUCCAUGCAUCCCUUUUUUCCUUUGUUGCUUUCUGUCUUUCUUGUCUCCUUGUCUUUCUUUAGCUCUCCUUUUACUUUUCUUUUCCUUUUCUUUUCUUUCUUUCUUUUUUUUGAUAUCCCUGAUUUUUCCCAGCUAGAAGGGUACCCAAUUCUCUUCACUCCCAGCUCCCAUUCAGAGACACAAAUCGAUCAUCUGUAAUUAAUUAGUGAAAUUAAAAACCAAUUAAUCUGAUGACUUAAUCGAUCAUCAAUUAACUAAUUAACUUGGCCUCUCCCCAGAGUGAACUCCAAAUUAGGCUUCACGGGGCUUGUCCCUGAAUGGUUUGUCGAAGAGCUUACAUCUGAUAUUCUCUCGUAGCUGUUUCUUAAGCCUUUGGGAUCCAUCAUGUCCUUCUGAAACAAACACAUGCAUUUUUAUCAGUUUCAAAGAAUCUAUGCAGAAACCCAACAAACUGAACAAAAUGAAAACAGAGCUGAAGAAGAAGAAGAAGAACAAGUAGCGUAAGAAGUGUGUGAAACUCUGAGGAUGGGAAUCAAAAGGACAUUUUGACUCGCAGGGGUUUCAGGGAAUAAGUGAAUAUUUAUCAAAUGAAAGAGAAACUCUGAAACAGUACCCACUAGAAAGCCUGCAAAACUGUGCUACUUCCAAAAAAUUAUUCCCUAUUCAUGCCCAUCUUUUAUUUCUUUCAUAUAAAUUUAAUUGUUUUACUGGGGACUUCAUGUGAUAUGCAUUUGACUAUCUACUUAUAGAACUCGAUAAAUAUAUGUAUAUAUAUCACGUUCUACAAUGCAUAUACAAUAAAGGGUCAACCUAUGAGCUUGGUGAGUCAAAUGGGUUAGGUUUUAGGUUUUUUGAGUCAAGCUAGCUCGGGUUAGGUUUCCUUUAUAAUUAGUUUUAUUAUAUAUCGAUCUUGUGUAUAAAAGGGAAAUUCCAACGAUGGACUCUUUCAAAGUAAAAGCUUUUUACGUAACAAAGAUGGACUCUUUUAAAUUUCACCAGGGGUAAGUGAAAAUGAAAGAACUAACCCUUCAAUUUCUAGAGGGAGCCAGCUUUUGAAAAGCUUUCCCUUUUCCUUGUAUCUCUCGGUAAUGUGCACGACUGAUGAAGAAAGAUGAAAACAGAAUGACCUUUAUUUGGGUUUUUAGUGAAAGGAGUUACCUUUUACUUUGUUCAUUUAUUCCCAUGACAUGCACAUAUAUAACAAUGCAAUAUAUAAAAAGUGAGAGACUGAUAUAGCUAGCUAGCUUACUUAGCAAGAACUAACUUUCAAAUUGCUCAAGGUUACUUUAGGAAUAGUACCUCAUGAUCAAGAAGAGAUGGCAUAUUUCCAGCAGAAUCAUCCUUUGGUUUAUUUCCAUGCAACCAAGCUUCUCUGCUACAAAACCAACAGAUUGAGAGAACAAUUCUUUUCUAUCAGUGGAAGCCAUGCAAAUAUGGUGAAGCAAAAGCAAGUACUGAUAAAAAGAAAAUAAAGCAAUCUUUUAGUACUACUCAAUGUCUUUGGGUUUUGUUUAUGUAUAAUCUUGUGCCAUGCACUAUACAAUUUGUGGUGAUUGAAAUAAAGUUGAAGCCUUUGCCCAACCCCCAUGUGAUGGUAGCAACAGAAUACAAGGAAUAAGUUUUCAAACUUCAAAGGGCAUAUAGCUUUGGCACACUCACAGAUUAUUUCUCUCUACUAAUUAAAAUGGGUCCAUCAUAUAAGGUUUAUCUUUCACACUAAGUUUUCCAAUUGCAGACCCCACAAAAUCCAAAGGAAAGAGAUGUAUAUAUCUCCAUCUUUGAGGUGGAUUUUGUCCAGUGUUGGAAUGCAAUGUAGCUAAGAAGGAGGGUGUGUUUGUUUGUGGGAGUGGGUUUCUUUUUACUCCCUUUUCACCCACUUCUUGAAGAGAUUAUAAUUACCCCAUCAUCAUGGAGGAGUUUCUGUGUUCUGUGUUUGUGGACAGAGAGAGAACAAAGCAGACUGCUGCACAUAGUGAAAUCUCAUCAUUCCUCUCUUGUUCUUUUUGUGAUUUCUUGCAUGCAACUAUUUUGUUCAUAUGUCUAGAGACAGUGAUAGAGAUAGGCAUGCAUGUUUAUUUUGCAAAGGAAGCUAACAACUAGACACCACAUGCAAGUACUUAGACAAAAUUUAUGAUUGAUUGAUAAUAGAAGCGCACAUAUCAGUAUUGAUUCAAAAUAGAACAUCCCAAUUUGUAAUACAAUGAAGUUCAAAGCAAUUUGGAUUUUGGAGUAUUUUUUUUUUUUAUUAUUAUUAUUUGCGGAGGUUUACUUUAAAACUGGUGAUCGACUUUGUGUAAACGAUGUUAAUCACCAAAUUACAAUGCCUAUAGACCUAAGUUCCACAAUCUUAUUUUUACUCCAUUUAGUGGAAGGGGCCUCUAAAAUCAAAUAUGUCAUUUGUGUUGAGAACAUCAAACUUAACCACAUUUUGAGCAUAAUAAUCUGACAAGAUUUUGAAUACGAUUUCAGUAAAAUAAACAGUGGUGCUAGCCAGGAGUGUAUAAUACCUUGAAGAAUUGCUCCAUAGGCCACCAUAGUACUCCUUAUCUUGAGCAUUAUUCGGUCUUCCCUGCUCAGAAGAUCUUGUUGGGUUCUGACUAAUAUUGUCGAACAUUAUAUCUUCAGUGGUAUCCCCAGAUGAUGCAUUUUCAUAUAGUUCAGAUUGUCCUGUAUACACGUCCAAAGAAUAUUAACAUUUCCGUCUUGUCUUGCCAAUUCAAUCACAUUGUAAACAAAUUUACAGAACAGUUCAGGCACUGGAAAAUAUUAACCUGAAGUUGCCGCUGCUUUAUCGGUAGUUUUCACCGUCCGGUACAUCUGCAAUAAUGGAAGAAUCAUUAUUAAAAUAACGAACUAAUAUUAUCAUAGUUGUAAGAACAAGUUGUUGUUUCCUUUUCUUGUAGACAUGUCGGUCUGAUACACAGUUCAAGUACAGACAGAAACAUUUAUGCAUGCAUGUGAACGAUGAUGGUGCACGCAGGCAUACAUGCAUGUAUGUGUUUAUGCAUGUGAGUCAAGUUAACCAUGGUUAAAUUCGAAGGAUACUACACACAAAUAACCUAACCCAACCCAGGUAUCCAUACAACCUGAUAUCUGAGGAGGAACAUAGAUAGAGAGAGAUAUCAUUGAGAAAUGAUGGUGUUUUCUGUACUUUUCCCUCCUUUGUUUUUUCCUCUCAUCUUUCUUUGAGUAUUAUUAUUAUUAUAUUAGCAUAACAGAGAUCGAUCGGCUUGGCUUGCUCCUCCUCCUCCUGCGACUUGUUUUGAAUUCUUUUCUCCUCUCCUUGGGCUUUGUCUUACUCGAUUUCUGAAACCAAAACAUACUAGUCUUCUCCUUCUCUCUCUUUGUUUCUCUCUGCUCUGCUGCUACUGCUAAGCUAGGAUGAAAGAUAAGAUAGAUAGAGAGAGAAAGAGAGAAAGAGAGAGAGAGGCAUUGUAUUUUUUUUUCUUUCUUUUAGUUUGGUGGUUCAUUCUUCCAAGCAAAAAGCUGUUUAUUAGCUUUCAGAAACAGAAGAAGCAGAAACAGCAGGAAGACAGAAAACCAUCAGAUCUAGCUAUAGAAGAAAAACAAAUGCUGAGGAUUAUUCAGAGAAAGAAGCCAUUGGAAUUUGGAACGUUUAUAUAUACGUAAUAUAUAACACGCAUAUAUUUUAGAUUUUUUGGUAAUGCAGACCUGCAAAUUAGCUCAUUUUUAAGUUUAGCUACCCUCCAUUAUUAAACCAAGCAUAAGUACAACCUCAGCUUCAACAAGCAAAAUGAAUAAGAAUAAACACAGGAUUAAAUGAGUUAAUCAACCACUUAAUAGAGAUUGAUAAGAAGUGAUGAUGAAGAGUAACUAGCUCACCUGCAGAUGAGAUUUAACAUGAGCCAAGGUGAGAUCCUUCACAUCCAUGAGCUCAAGAACUGACUUUGGCGUAGCCCCUAAUAUAUACAAGUAUAUCAGAUAAGUAGAAAAAGAAAAGAAUAUAUGGUGGAAAAGAUCAUAAGUCAACUUGUUUUCCAUUUUCAAUGAAGCUCAUGACUACUGGGUGUAAGUUGAUAUAAUUAAGAAAAACGAGUUAGCUGAAUCCAUGAGUGAGCGACUGAGUACUUACUUUCAUGGCCACCCAACAGCUCAACGGCGUGAACGAAGCGAGCGUGUAGAGUGGUAGUCCAGCGCAUCCGAGGGGCUCUCAUGCUACGUUUGGCCGGAAAACGGGACAAGAACCUCGACCGGAGAAAUGGGUUACUAGAGGGUGAGGUUAAUGUACUGUUGGAUGAGGAUAGAGAAGUAGUGGUAGUGUCGACCAAAUUUAGAUUAGGCUUAAUAUUUUGUGAAGAAAAUGGGAACAAAUUAGGGGGAGGAUGAUGGUGAUGAAGAUGAGGAUUUGGAGGAGGAGGGUUUUGGUACACUGGAAUUCCUCUUAUGGGUCUAAGGAAUCCGAGCUCAGGGCCUAGGAACCCUCCUUGCUGUUCUUGCUGGUGCUGCUGUUGCUCGAAUACCCUUUGGUGAUGAUGAAGUUGGUGUUGAGGGUUUAGGAACUGGUUUUGCUGAAAGGCAUGGAAAAGGAGACCGUUAGUGUUACCAUUAUGGCCAUUUUGGAGGCCGAAGUGGUUUUGGUGAUGGAAAUGGUUGAUUCUGUUGGAGUUGGAGUAUUGAUCAUGAGAGAGGCGGGUCGGAUUCGAUAGCGAGAGGUCGGAGAAGGUGUCGGAGGAUAUGGAUGAGUUUCUGGAGUCUAAGGCUCUUUUCCAGAACCCCAAAUCCACCUCGGCCGCCUCUUCUUCUUCUGCAGCACUUCUCCUCCAACUACCUGACGAUGUGGGUUUGGUGUUUGGAGGGCUAAUUUGCAGAGACAAAUCUGGCUGUGCAGGGAACAGCUCCAUCUAAAGCUUCUUGGAUUGAUUCUCUCUACAACCAAAACAAAGCCCUCGUUUUCUCUUCUCUUUUAGGUCCUUCGUCUCGUUUAGCUAGCUUCUCUGUUAACUGGAAGUAGUAGUGUUUGGUGAUCUGAGCUGAUGGGGAGGGGUUAGGGAUUCUCAGGUGUUAGCUAGAUUUGUGGGUGUCUUUUGGAGAUGGGUUUUGAUCAAAUGGUGGGAGUAGUUGCAGAGAUUGGAGAUGGNNNNNNNNNNNNNNNNNNNNNNNNNNNNNNNNNNNNNNNNNNNNNNNNNNNNNNNNNNNNNNNNNNNNNNNNNNNNNNNNNNNNNNNNNNNNNNNNNNNNNNNNNNNNNNNNNNNNNNNNNNNNNNNNNNNNNNNNNNNNNNNNNNNNNNNNNNNNNNNNNNNNNNNNNNNNNNNNNNNNNNNNNNNNNNNNNNNNNNNNNNNNNNNNNNNNNNNNNNNNNNNNNNNNNNNNNNNNNNNNNNNNNNNNNNNNNNNNNNNNNNNNNNNNNNNNNNNNNNNNNNNNNNNNNNNNNNNNNNNNNNNNNNNNNNNNNNNNNNUUCUUCCUCUUUUUCUUUUUUACCAAAAUACUAUAUACUAAUUUGUAAAAUAGAUUUUACAUUGAUUUGUGGUCUUAUGUGUGAUUUUCUAUGUAUAAAAAGUGUGCUUUUUCUUUAGAGGAGAAAGGAAAAAGAGAGCUGCAAAAAAUUUGAUUGAAAAAUGAGCUUUAACGUGUGCUUAUAUAUUCCCAUCUAACAACUCAACCUUUUUCUAACCCACACAAGCAAACAGUCUUUGAACUCAUGGUCCCUUUCCUAUACAAACCCUAAAUUGAACGGUUUUCCUUUUCCAUACCUGGAAAUCUCCAAACCGGCCGAAAAUUCUUUGUUAUCGAAUCCAACAUUAGUUAAGAUGCAAACAAUUCUAACAAAUCUCUAGACUGUCUAUAUCAAAUACGUAUCUCAAAAGUAAUCAAAAUCGUAACACUACAUACCCAAAAUCUUGUCUCUAAAGUUUACACUGCUUAAUUGCUCAUGAGUCAUCAUAAUCAUAGUAAUGAUGAAGCUUUAGUUUCCAGAAAUGGGAUCAUUCUUGUUGAUCGAUUUAACUUCAAAGAGUUUAAGCAAAACCCAACAUUCCCAAUCAAUUUAGAAGAAGAAAUAAAUUCUUCUAGGGUACAUGGUUGUGGGCAGUUAGUUUGUAGGUGGUGUAGGGCAUGGUUCCUUUCCAAGUUCCAUAUAUGAGAGGGGCAGUGGGAAAGUCCAAUUUAAUUACCAUCUCCAUCUGUGGAAGAAAGAGAAGGGUAAUUACGUCUUUCACAGUAGUCCCCACGACCCACGUGUAGGUGAGCCAUGGAGACAAAAUGUUUGUGUUAGCAGGGGCUUGGGGCAGAAGCAAAGAGGGGUAAAAGUAAAAGCUAUGCAUGAGUGGGUUGGGAGACAGAUAGAGUCCCAAAUUUACCACACCUUGUGUGACAUUCUUUGACACCAAACCACAGGGGUAUGUCUGGCGUACAACUACACCCAAAGUUCAUUUACCAAUGUACUUUCUAACCAAAAUGUAUGUUCUUUUCCCUUCCCAAUCUACGUACUUGAGAUUCUUCUUUUUAUAUGUUUUAACUAUCAAACUGUUAAUUAACUACUGCCAAUUAUGAGUUUAUCAAUUCUUUUUAUAGGUCGAAGUUAAUUAGAAAUCCCAUAUUCUCUAAAUAAUGAAUAAUUAAUUAAUUAAUUAAAAAACACACUUUGUUUUCAUGGAGAGCUUCUAAUGAUGACUGAGUGAGGAUUUUCAGAUAAACAGUGAGACCAGAGUUUAUUUUAAACUUUAAUUGAUAUUUUUAAAUUGCAUCGUGUUCACGUGUUAUCCAACCGAUCAUUCAAAAGUCAUCAUUUGACCCUCUAUGGAAGCUCUCUCUCUUGUUUCCAUCAACUACACUCGUACUGCUAGCUUGUCUCAUAUCUUGCAAGAAAUUUCAUUCAACUUAAAUUGCAUAAAGCUUACGUACGGCAUUAUCUUGUUUUUAGUUAAGGAAAAUUUUAAGAACAGUACAUGAAAAAUUGUUCACUCCUAAUUUUGGUGUGUCAAGUUUCAAAACAAUCAUAACGGUACAUGAACUUGUAAUCUCAACCGAAAAUAUGUUCAUACCAUUUCAUUCUCCGUUAUCUAACAUGUUUUUAAGCUUUGAGGGGAAAAUCCGUCACUUCUUAAUUUAGCAAUAAUAUAUUAUUAAAAUCAAUAAUUAAAUUAAUAAUUCAUAAGGAGAGGGAAAUAAGAAAGGAAAAAGGUUUGUUUUCUCUCUUUUUCGUCCCCGUUCAAACCCAACAUACACAAAAAUGGUGAUCGAGGUAGGAAUGCAAGAGGAAGUUGGAAGAUGAUUUGAUUUGGUAAAGUUAUGGAAGAAAGGGUUUGAAUUUAUAUCGGUGGGUAUUGAUAAGUAAGGUAACUUAGAGCGAGAAAACUAUGUCGUAGUUUUACUUGGAUUUGGAUUGGGACGAGCAGCAAAGUCUUUUUUUUUUUGGUGGAUAAGAGCCUUUCAUUAAAACCAAACUCAGCAACUUACAAAUACAACGAAUAGUAAGCAAAUAAACCAGGUAAGGGGAAAGCAACAAAGUUUUUAAGAAUAGGUUUGAGUUUAUAAGAUUAAAAAAGUAUAUAAAUAGAAAAAAAGAAAAAGAAAACAUAAUAUAAAGAAAGAGAGAAUGGAGAAAACUCGAAACCACCCUUUGAAAAAUAAGAAAUUACAUAUAGUUAACGGUGUUAUUGACGGCAUGUGCUAAAACUGUCCCGACUUUUAAACGUCAUGUACCAUUUUGAUUGUUUUGAAACUUGAAACACCAAAAUUGAGAAUGGACCGUUUGUCAUGUACUGUUCUUAAAAUUUUCUCUUUUAGUUAUUAUAUAUCUUGUUUGUACGUAUGGAUGAUCAAGGAUGAUAUAAAAAUGACAUAUAUAUAUAUCUACUGAAUCACAAAUUUUGUUUGAAUUAAUUAUAAUUUCAGACUAAAAAUUUAGUUUGGGUAAUAUAUAAUAUAUAUAUAACCCUUCUCGGCUGCGGACGUUCGCACCAAUUGUUUUGGUGCGGAUUUCCAUUUUUGCACCACUUUUCGAUCGAAUUUCCUCAUCUCCACCGUCUAGUAUCUAGAUAAUAUUGUGUAGAUCAUCUCUGCAAAAUUUCAGCCAAUUUGGUGAUCGUUAAUGCCCUCAAAAUUGUGUUUUUCUGGUAUAAACAUAAACCGGACAUAAUUCAGUCCGUCCAUUUGUUUUUCGAGUUUAAGGGCCUUAACGAUUACCCAAUUGGCUGAAAUUUUGCAGAGAUGAUCUACACAAUAUUAUCUAGAUACUAGACGGUGGAGAUGAGGAAAUUACAAUCGAAAAGUGGUGCAAAAAGUUUUAGGUGCGGACGUCCGCAGCUGAGAAAAAUACGUAUAUAUAUAUAUAUAUAGAUGGGUUACAAUUAAGAAAAUAGUGUUCCUCAUACAUAUAUUGGUCCCAAAUGCUAUGUGAUUAAUAACAUGAUAAAACAUCUAGUGUAGCUGGACGUACGUACCUUCGUAGCCAGGGAAACAAACGUUAAACAGUACUAUCGAAAGGUAUACGUGCAUAUAAUUAUAAUUAGAGAUCGAUCGAGCUAGCUAUAUAUAUAGUACCUAGCUAUCAUAUCAUGAUCAACUUGAUUCAACCCUGCCGGGGAUUUUAUCAAAUCAAAUGGGGACAUUGUAUACCGUUAAUUCAGAGACCAUAAAUUGUUGUUCAAGAGAAACAGAUCAUACAUUUCUUUGGUACAUAACAUAAAUAGUGACAAUUUCAACUACGUACCACCUACGUACAUAUAAUGAGGAAACGAAAUAAUCUCAAAGUGUCAAUAGAGGUUUGUAUGUGUUAGUAAUUAGGGUUCGGCCAUUGAGUUAGAGUUUACGUCCAUACAUAUGUUGAAUAAUUAUUCCUCAUCUAAGACCUCUUUUUGUCGGUUAACUAGGCCACUUAUGAAUUAAUCAAAUCUAAUUGUUUGAAUGAGCUUAGGUGUUUCCCAAAACAAAGCAAAAGUUGGCAUAACCUUUUGACUUUAUUCCUUGAUUAGGAUGUCUAAUUAUAUGCAUGGCAUGCAUAUAUAUAAUUUUGUGAAUUAAGGGUACGGUCUUACUAUAGGGUUCUUAAAAUGGUGCAAUAAGAAAUUUGCAUAUAUAUAGCGGGACACCGCUUUGAAAUUAAAAUCUGGUGCUCCUCAUUUCGUUCAUUUUUAGGUCACAUUUUCAUAUCUCCACCUUCAGUGUCUAAAACAUAGUGUGUAGAUCAUUCCUACAAAGUUUCAUCUAAUUUGGAGAUUCUUUGGGUACCUAAUUUAGACACACUAUGUUCUAAACACUGAACGGUAGAGAUGUGAAAAUGUGACCUGAAAGUAAGCGGAGCACAACAUUUUAAUUUCAAAACGGUGUCCUGCUCUGGAAGGGAACUGUGUGUGUGUGUGUGUGUAUAUAUAUAUAGGAGUUAGUGAGUAACCAUAAAUAUAAGUUUAUAACAAUUAUCUUUUCCUUUUGUCGAUUUGAAAUAUUUAUCCAUUAUCAUCGGAUAUAUACAAUGAACACAGUUAUAUAUUCAAUAGUAAUUGUUGAGUACGACUGUCGAUCCAUCUUGAUUAAUUUACGCUAUUUACGACUAGAGAGAGGAUUUAGAUUAGAGAAGAGAAGCUCUUUUCUUUUUGCCAACACGGUUAAUUAGAAACUUGAGUUCAGAGAUGAGCAGCUCUUUUCUAUUUGUAUUAAAUUUUUGUAACUCGUUAAAAAAAUUGUUCUCGAUGUAAUGAGUCAAGUAACAAGUCAAGGGCUGGUUGUUGGAUAUAAGGUUGAAAAACCUUACAAUGAUAUAGCUAGUUCCAACUCUUGUGAGAAACAAAGGUAUAAUUUUUCCCUUUUCUUUUUCCUCUUUUUAUGAAAAAAGUAGAAUCAUUUAUCUUGGGCAUAUUGAAAGAUGAUGCAAAGCUUUUAAGACCUUUAUAAAUUAAAACAUCGGUAUAUGUUACCUUUGUUAAUGUUGUAACUUUGUUUCUGGUUAAGUCACCCAUCCAUGGCUGGCUCCAUACAAAUUAGGGUCCCCCACCCCUUUGUCAUUAAUUAAAACUUUCAAAAUUUCUUCUUUUCAAUUGGACGAGUGUACUCCUUUCCCUAACAGACUGUCAAAACUCUCAACCAACCAACACAUUCAUAAACCAUGACCCAUAAAGCCCAAUAAGGAUGGGGGUCCAUAGCCAUAGUUAUUAAUGAAUCUAGAAAUAGAAGAAAAAUGACAUUCAAUUUAUGUAGGAGAUAACCUAAAACAGUCCAUGCAUUAUGUGAUUUUAAUUUAUAUUCUUUUAAAAGAAAGCGCCAUUUUAUUCAAAAAAUGACUAAACUUGUACAAAGUAAAGCAAAUCACCCUCCCAAUUGAUAUAUAACAACAAAGUUUAUUCACUAUUGAUUUGGGCUUUCAAGUUACCUAGCUAGCUAGCUAGGAGCUAGCUUCCAGAGAGAGAGAGAGAGAGAGAGAGAGAGAGAGAGAGAGAGAGAGAGAGAGAGAGAGAGAGAGAGAGAGAGAGAGAAGAGAGAGAGAGAGAGAGNNNNNNNNNNNNNNNNNNNNGAGAGAGAGAGAGAGCUUUCUCCGUAUUUUGUGCAUUUUUUGUUUCCGUUCUAAAUUGUCAAUUAUAUGAUAACAUAAGUAAAAUAUCAUCUAAUCUAUUGACAUAAGUACUGUCUCCUAGUUGUUAGGGGAAAGUCGUAAGUUUUACUCAUGAAAGACCAAUUGUUGUACAUCAAUGAUAAUGCAUGUAUAAUACGUAUAAUUACAUAAUUUAGAGUAGCCGAAGCAACAAAAUGCCGUGUCCAUACGACUUAACGGGAACUAAAUACUUAGCAAACUAAAUAAUUAACAACCAUCAAGGGACUGAAAUUAAUAACUAAAGACUAGGUGAUCGACAAUAUACCCUCGAUCCUAAUGUAACAAUCUUACCCCAACCUCCUCAGUACCACCACCGCCUUAUAUGAUCAAAGGGCUCAAGCCACCAAAAUACCCUCAACGUUUAGUCAUCGGUCACCUUGGUUCUAGUUAAAGGGAACUGAAUCAAUUAACCACGUACCUUGUUCUCAUACUAAUUAACGAGUAAGGGUGGAUACUUCUACUAAUUCAAUUGGAUACAAAUCCAAAUCACUCUCCCAAUUAACGACUCAAUGUAAGAAACCAAAAGUGAAAUAGAAAAAUGGAUGUGUUGCUAUACACACACACAAAGGACUGAAAGGAGUCUCUACUAAAUUUUUUUUUUUUNUUUUUUUUUUUUGUUUGGGGGAUAAUUAUUCUAGAAUUUCAUUUGAUAUAUUAUUGCUAGUUGGUACAAUUGAAUGAAUCAUCCAAAUAAAUUUCUUGUUUCAUCGGUUUACUGGCCAAGUUUUUCUGAACAGCUCCCCAAAUUAGUGUUUGAUCCGGUCAUGAAUACAUAUUCUCAAAUAUAUAUGGGAAUAAUACAUUGCCUUCCCUGUAAUUUUUUUCUUUUUUUGAGGGACCUCUUGUGCUUCCUUGAAAGUUGAGUUGGCUUAGACACUCUACACUAUUCAGCAUAAUAUAUAUUGAACCAAACUAUCUCAAGGUUAGUCGAUAGUCGAUCAUUAGAACGACAAAGAAACCCUACCUUGAGAUCAACAACAACCAAGGAAAAUAUAUGUAAAUUAAGCACAAGGAUUUUGGUGGGAAAUUUACAUCGAAGCUUGAAGGCUCGUACUUCGAAUUCUCAAGUCAAACGAAGUACUGUCUCCAACCUAAACUUCCUAAGUUUUGUAAUGAAGUAGUAUAUAAUGUAUAGAAGAAGAUCGAAUUUGUUUUGGGGUUGGGGCAUGCAAUAGUACUUAACUAUCAUAAUAUAUAUAUAAUGAAUUGGUUUUUCCUAGGGUUUCUGACAGACAGUAUUGGAAGCAAUGUACUAAUUAACUAAACACACAUAAUAAUUUAUUAAUUUGUUUGUGUUAAUUAAUUUAACAAAACUCAGAGGAACAUUGUUGCGGCGACCAACACGGAACAGCAUAUAUAGAAGACUGACAAUUUAUCUUUGUGAGCCAAUCGAUGAUCGUAUCAUUAACUAAUUAAGAUCAAUGCAUGGGGGAUUAUUAUUUUGAUUUUGAUUACUUAACAAGUGAUUAAUUUGAGGGUUUUGGAUCGAUCAGUUAAUGUCAACCUUCCUCGGAAAUUGAGAUUAGGGUUUUCAUGUUUUGAGGAAUUUUUAUAGGUAGAUUUAUAUUGUGGAAGCAUCUAUGUGAUCAAUACCGAGAAUUUUCUGGUUAUAUUAUUAGUAUUUGUGUUUCAGCUUUCCACGCACUUUUGGCCAUAUCAAAGAGAAGAGGUCAAGGAGCUUGGAAUAUCUUACAUUAACAUUAGCACCUUCUCAUUACAAAUUAAGGAUUUGUUUACAUAUAUAUGGGAGCUAGCUAGGGAGUUUUGAUAUUCAUCGAUCGCGAUGUCCUCUUUCCUCGUUAGAAAAAUGAUCGAGGUUCAAUAUUGUAUUGCAUUAGAAAAUGUUAUUGAUUCUCCGUUUUACCUUAUAAUGAGGGCUCAAUCGGACAACCUCGAGCACACGUACGUGAAGAAGCCAAUUUUUGCGAUAUUGUUUUUCUCUUUUCUCUUCAACAUUAUGCAUGUCUUGGAAGAGAAUUGCAUGCGUCUUCUCUUUUUCAAUCCUUUCUGAUUUUUAUCGGUUCUUUUAGCACAAGUUAAUUGGUGUGCCACACUUCCUGAACGGAAUCCAUUGUUGUAUUUGAUUUUUUUCCAGUGAUUUUCAUUUCAAUUUACUAAAAUCCACUUAUAUUAAUUUAGCGUCUCAAAUACGUACCGGAAGCGAGUAUGAAGAAGUUACGCACAUUAAUUGUAAUUUCUUUUUAGUAAAUCAGUGGGAUAUAUUGUGCGCGUUUUGACCAAACAUGAAGGACUUCUCCAGGAAAUGUUGCUCCGAUCGAAUCAGUCAUAAGUCAUAACCACUCUAAAACAAGUGUAUACAAAUUAAGUAAGAAGGACAUCCAGCUGCAUCCACAAAAUUUGACUUAAUAAGAGGGCAAGUUAAGAAAGAUCACGUGAUGAUGAUAAUGUGAAUUUGAUUGUGAUCGAUACUACUUUUCCAUCAAAUGAUUAUUGAUAUAUAUAAUUGCCUCCCUCCAAUGUACGUAUCACUUUCUCUCAAAUCUCAACUACGUACGUACAUGUUGUCAUACAUAUGCUCCAUCGUUAGAAUAUAGGUAACAACAUUAGCGGUUGAAAUCCAAGGAGGCUAAACAAAUUUAACUAAAUCUUAGUGUUUCUUUUGAUUUGUUUACAUAUAUAAUUAUGAGUUUGUGUUUUUGUGAAUCUUGUCUGCUCCGAUUGUGAUUUCUCUAAAAUUACUUGUUUGUUUAUUAUUGCGUAUGGAUAACUAAAUAAUUUCGCUAUUUGAUUAGAUUCUUUUUGUAUGAUCUUUAAAUGGUACUCGUUCAGAACAUAUUUUGAUAAUGACAUGAUCGAAUAAAGUGAAGAUUUGUUUAGGGUUGUGAAAUCCACACACUCUAAAUUGAAAUCUACACAUUUUUUUUGUCUUUUAGUGAUUUAAACUUUGUCUUUUUAUGAAUAAGUUAAACCAAAAAAAAAAAAUAGUGUGUGGAUUUCAAUUGUUUAUUGUAACUAAAAUGAACAAAGAAGUUUCGAUUCCCGCAUAACGAGGAACAUAGUUGUGAAUCUCUAACAUUGCACGCUGAUAUGUGUUUCAAAAAUAUAAUCUCAAUAUGCAUUUUCAAAAAUAUAAUCAAAUUAUCUAUAUAUACCGAAAAAUUAACAUGAACACCACAUUAAAAGUUUAUGCGUGAUAGAAUAUUCCACAUAUACAGUGAUAGACUGAGAUAGAUCGACCAGUUUCAAGUGAUUCGAGCUAGUCUCUAUAGCAUAGAUCUAGUUACAGAAAGUUUAAAACUAAUUAAUGCAUAAUCUACAUCAGCUGCAUUAGUAAGAUUUUGAUUUUGAGUUCAUGAACAUUACAAAGUGAAAACAAUGAUUUCCAAAGUACAUAAAGAAUAUAUGGUCUGUUGAUUACUAGGUACUUGUGUGCACGCAAGUUAUUGCUCUUUCACCAUAGCUUCAGAGCUUCUUAUGUAUGCCGUCCGUCCAACAGAGAAUAUAUCAUAUACUUUGGUUCAUGAUACUUUCAGAGAGUCAUUGUCUGACUGCAUCAUUCAUGAUACUUUCACCUUCGAGUCUUCAACCCCAGAUUCCACAUUGUCCUUGUCAAUCUUAUUUUCAACCCCAAUAUAAUCUACCAUUUAACGUUUCUACAAAUUUAGUUUAGCUAGUUCGGUUAAACUAACACAACUAUAUACAUAUUCAACUUUUUUGUUUAAGGUUAGGUGUAUCGAUCAUAACAAAUUAAGAGCAGUGUUGAAAAUCGAAGUCUCGGAACUAUAUGUACUAUUUAGAUCUGCCUUUAAUGAUUCUUUUUUGCAUUUUCCUGCUUCCAUCGAUCCUAAAAUUACCGGUUUAUACUUGAACUCCAGUUUCAAUUUUAGGUGCUUCUAUAAAGAAAAGUUACGUACAGAACAUAAAAAAAUGAAUAGCUAAUUAACGGGUACGUUCAACAUUAAAAAUUUGACGUAGAACAAAAGAGGAUGGACAAGCUAGGCUCACCAAUUUCACUUGUCUGAUUGAUUUCCCACGAGCUAGGAUGUAUAUAUUAUGGUGUAUGUUAAGUAAAAUGUGUGUACGUAUUUGUUUGUGGGUUCUUGAUGAGGACUUGUUUUGGAUUUCUUUUGUUGCUUUCGAUCACAUAUAUAUUUGUGAUCAUUGGUCAUUCUCUUUCUAUUAGAUGGAUUAAUUUCCUUCACAAUCCCUCGCUCCCCUAUCUGUCCAUCCCUCACCACUCUCUUCUUCUUUUGUUUUCUUUACAAAUAUAUAGAAAAUUUCAUCAACUAAAAAACAAACACAAAUAGAUAGACUGGUAUGAUUCUCUCUUUACCCUACUUUGGUUCCACGGUUUCACUUUGUAGAUGAUGACUAGUUUUGAUAAUGAAAUCUAUUUUCUUUGUCGACUAAUAAGCAAGUAUAUAUACUGCACUUCCUCAUGAUACAAUAAUUAACCUCAGCAUGCAGUAGACCAACCUAGCUAGUACAUAAUCUUUAUGUUUGUUUGACGUACAAGAAAACAUUACCACCUUAUAAUUUUCCCAUAGGUUUAAUUUUUGAUAAAGUAUAAUAUACACAAUCAUGUUUUCGUCUUAUUUGAAUAAAGAUCAUAAGCGAUACACUCAUUCACAACUGCACUAAAUAAUAGGUUUAUAAAAGUUUUGCCAGCAUGAUUGUAACAGUAGUUGGUAAAUUUUAUUUGGUCAAGAAGAUCGUCUUUGCUGCAUGCAUGAUUGAAUGUUCAAGCUGGAAGCAUCUAUCUCCAGGAUUAAUUAGAUAUGCAUGUCCCUAUUCAUAUAUCACAUCCAUCUUUUUUUUGCAUAUGUAAUUCAGUCCUUUCUUUAAUUCCACCCAUUGCCAAAACCAACUGAUCAAAAACUAAAGUUCCACAUAUAAUUAUUUUCUGUCAAGUCUUUAAAGAUGUAAUUCUCACUUUCUCAGCAUUCUUCCGACAAAGUACAACAUUCUUGACCAUAAUAUGGAUUAAAAUCAAAAGUGUAUAUUAGUGGAAGAUUUGGACAAUAUUCCUGAAAUAUAUGCAUGACCUUGAAUUACCUUAAAAUAGAUAAUAGGAUGCAAUAUGAAACAUGAUACACGGCCAGGAGGUUAGUUAUGCAAUAUGAAACAAAAUAUACUCGAGAAAAUGAUAGAGCACAUCUAAAAAGAGAGAACAUCUCCAUUCAAACCCAACAUGCAUAACGUACUACAAGACUUAAAGUAGCAAAUGCUUCUUCCUUUUCUUUUCUUUUUUUCUACAUGAGUCCCAUCUAUACAUUAGCCUAGCAAUUAUAGGGUAAGAGGCAUAGCAUUCUGUUUAUUAUAUAUAGUAGACCUAAUUCGAAUUAACAUAAAAAAGAGGAAACAUUAUGAAUCUUUUCCAACGACUUAGAGCAAAGGGGAAAAUAGAUAAGUGCCCUACAAAUCUCUUUAGAACUAGUGAGUGAAAGACAUGCAUAUCUAGGAUUUUGACAGGAACCCAUAUUCACAUAUAUAUGCUUUAGUAUUGUUCUACAAUCUACAUGCAUAUUUUCCUAGCCUUGUUUCACUUUCACUUUCCACCAUUCCACACACUUAUUCUCCUCCAAUAAAAUGGGCCUUCGAAACUUUUGAGGCAUCCAAUCAAAUUAAUUUUGAUAGGGAGUGCAGUGGAGGUUUCCCACCUAAUAGGAAUUAUGUAAUUUGGCUUCAACGAAACCCUAAACCUUACAGAUAAACGAAUGAAUAAAGAACAUGAGAAGGAAAUCUGUGUUAAAAUGGAAUCUGGUCCUGACCAAAAAUAAUUGUGACCUAAUAACGAGCAUGCUUGGUUUUAGCAUCUGCAUGCACUACUGUGUCACCAAAUACACCACAAAAGCCCAAGUCUAGAAUUAAACUAGAGGGAUAAACAAUGUUGAUAACUUGAUAUUUCAGAUAAGCAAUGUUGUGCAUGCGAAGGAACUAAGUGAAUGUAAAGCAAGAAAUCCACAACAGCAAGAUUGUUUAUCAGGAAAUUUAACAUUUAGGACAAAAAACUAGAGCUCGAGUCCAUGAAAUAUGGUUAGCCUAUGAAGGAAAAAAGAUCGUAUAAGAGAAAUCGACUGCAUGCAAUUAAUCCACAGCUCAAUCACUACGAUCUCAUCGUCUAAAGUGACAAUAUAUAUCUUCUGCAACUACUUCAAUCUUAAAGUGAGAAACAAGAACGAUAACGUUGAUUGCGAAACAAUGCAAGGAUGUAUAGAUCGAUUAUAGAGAUUCGUACAGAAGGUAGAUUGCUAAUUAAGGCUUAACAAAAUUCUCUUAAUUCUAAUAUAAUUAAGCGAAGCUAUUAACGAAUGUGAAUUUAAAGGCUGAUUAGCAUCUUAAGGAAAGAAGGCGAAGAAUAAAAACUUAGAAUGCAUGUAGCUGUUGUGAGAGAUUGCGAAACUAGCCCGCAAAAAUUGAAUGAAUCAGCCAAAAAAGUUUCAACGCAUGCAUCUUCCAAAUCUAAUGUGCAUAAUGAAGCUUAGAAUGAUAGACAAGAUGUUGCACUCGCCACCUAGGUAGUAAAACACCCGAUUAUUGCUGGUUAGUUAACGAAGCUAGCUUAUUUUUCAUAGUGAGAACAGUUCUGGUAGCAAGAGUUCACCUAGCCUAGCUCCUGGAUCACAGUGCGCAGUAUCGAUCUACCAUGUCGAGCAAAUAAACCCUAAAUACUAGCAGCAAAACCAAAAACAGAGUUCAUUCUAGACAUGGUAUAGUUGACUAGCAUUACGGGAAAAGAAAAAAAAAAUGCACGAGCUACUAGCUAGUAGUAUUGAGUAACAUCACACUACCAAUUGAACGGCUAGCAAGCUAGUGUGUUUUUCUUUUACAUGUCUGAGAUGUCCAUUCUUGAUAUCGAUCAUAGCCGGAAGAUCAAGAUCUGGUGGCGACGACGACAAAUGUGCCGGCGUUGAGGCAUGCAGCUGGUAGUAUAAGCAUGUACAACAUGGGUGGGUGGUUUUGCUGGUGUGACCUCAAAACACACUGCAUAUACAACACGGAUAUCUUUUGACACAAAUGUUGUAUCGCCUAUAAGACCCUUAGGCGACAGAAGACUGUUUUCAUUUUGUGUCGCCUGUAUUGAGAUAAGGCAACACGGUAUAUAUGUCGCCUGAUAGUUUAAACAACGACAUGCUAGAAGGUGACGUAUCUUUAUUUUGCCUUGAGGCGACACAGCUCUAUAACUGCGAGUGAGAGAGAAAUACGUCUUACAACAACAUAUAGGUGUAGGUUAAUUUGUUUAAAGAUGACAUUUAAAAAUCAUGUGAAAAUGUUACAGGCGACAUAUACUUGGUGAAUUAGAAUUUAAACUUUUCCAUGCUACAUUUAUGUAUCGCUGGAUGAACCCACACGACAUACUAUUGAUGCUGUUUCUGGUCUAGACAUAGUACGACGACACAUAUGCAUUGGGUGAAUGAUCUUCAGGCAACGUAUAUUUUUUCUUUUUUCAUUUGGUCUCUUUAAAACAAUAGGUAUCUAUCAUCUGAUAUGUUUUAAGCUUUCACUACGUACGUGAUAUCUUUUUGGCUUUCAACAUUUUCAGGCGACAUUUGUCUAUUGUAUGAAUGAGUUUGAGCUACAUAUAAGUGAUGUAUUUUUUUGAUUUAAACUCUCCACUUAGGUUGCCGGUUGUUCUUUAUGGCCUCACAUUUCUGGCAUCUUAACUUAGUAAAGACAAUAUAUAUUGUUAUGUUUGUGUUGCCAGUUGUUGCUUUAUGGCCACACAUUUCUGGUAUCUUAACUUAGUAAAGACAAUAGAUAUUGUUAUGUUUGUAUCCAUCCUCUGUAGCUGAAAUCACAUAUAUUGGUAGUCAUGGCUUGUUUGAAACUACACAAUUGCUAUAUUGAAACAUCCUGAUAAUUUAAGUUUAAAAACACCAUCCAUAAAUAAAAUAAACAUUCAUAACUAAAAUAAGCAUUUAAUAUCCAAAUUGAUAACAUAGACUUUCAAUUCACCAUAUAUAAACCGUACACAAACCUAGCUAGGCCAUAAGAGAUUAACAAAAAGCACCAUCAUUAUGUUCAACUGCCUCAUAUGCAGUCCAACAUGGUAACACAGCAAAAAGAACUACAUAAUUUGGGCAAACAUACAGUACACAUCAAAAUAUGACUGCAAAUCAAAUGCUGGCAUAAAUCUAUAGGCAAGCUGAUGGAUGCUUUGUAUCGAACUACAUAAUCUGGGCAAACAUACAGUACACAUCAAAAUAUGACUGUAAAUCAAAUGCUGGCAUAAAUCUAUAGGCAAACUGAUGGAUGCUUUGUAUCUCCAAAACAGUACUAAAUGAAACCAUACACUAGCUUGCUAGUUAUUUGUAAACUUAAGAACAUACUUUGCCCACUCUUGCCGAAUAACAUCAACAUUCUCCAUGGUGUAAUAUGCAUCUCCCCUUGUCAACCAUUGCAAGGACGACAAAAAACAUAACAGAUUGAACCAACUGUUUGAGUUAUAUAGCUCACAAACUGAUGAAUGCAAGAAAUUAGUUUUUUAGACCAGUCUUGGUUUUUGUCCAGCACUAUUUCCCUCAUGUAAAGAAUAAUGAAAUAUCCACAAGUCUUGUCACCAAGCUGCUCCGGAAUGCCUGAAGCAAAUAAUUUGUUUGCUUAAUAAACCUAAUAAACAUGAACCGAAAUGGUUAAGUGUAAAUAUAAACAGUUAGCUAAGAUAGAGAACCUACUUAACAGUUUUCCACUGAAGUUUUCGUGCUUUCUUAGUAAUGUGUGCAUUCGUAAUUUUGAUGGCACUCAAAAACAACAAAAUACCUGAAAUUAUAAUCAUAAUGAACUAAAUAAUUAAACGAUGUAUUUUGUAUAUAAUAUACACCAAUGAUAAAGAUGCAAGUUGGCUGCACUUACUGGUUUACUAUGGUUUUCCAUUCAUCAGUGGUAACGUCCAUUCGCCUCUUCGAAGGAUCCAUGUAAUACACAAGGUCUUCGGUGAGACUCACCACCGUUAAAAUCCAAUGAUCUAUGACACACAUAUAAGAGAAUAAAAACAAUCAUAUAUUUCAUCUAGGUACACAUAAAUUGAGAAUUUAAAACAUAUACAAAAAUGCAUGAAUAAAACAUAUACAUAAAUGACAUGAAAUAAUCUUGUCUAUGUUAACAACAUUAGACUCAGCAAACUUUAGAAACUCUUCAAAUCCUAAAUCAAACUCUUUUGAUCUCCUAUCAGCAUGCAUCCAUGACUUAUCCAUCUUAGACAGAAAAAGCAUUAUUAGUACGUACAUACACUAUAGCCAUUUAAACACAUGCACAUAUAUAUAACAGUUCAUUCAUAGUUUCACAUACAGCUGCAAGCAUUACAUCAAUCCAAGCUCCAACAAUACAAUAUACGAAUACAAUAAUCUAUCACAGCAAAGAUAAAACACAAACAAGGCAUGCAUGCAUAUACAAAGUUUAGACAAACAAUCCAUAAACUUUCUGGUCAUUUCGAAGACUCACCAUAAAUUCACAAUCAAGCCUUUGGCCUUUUCCACUGCACCACACACGGGCACUGAGCUUUCCCAACAAAUCCUUUUGUAACACAGCAUUGAGCCUUCCUAGCAUUAUAGGAUUAACAACAAUUUCAACAAGCAAAUUUUCAGUAAGAAGUUUUUCAACACAGUAAUUUAAAGCUUAACACAUUAGAGAAAUGAACAAUGACUAACCUCAGGUAACGAAUAAGCAAGUUUUCCAGCUCAUAUCUCACCUAUACAAUAAAGAAGUUUAGAUCGUAUCAGUAUGUGACAAGAAUAGAAUUUCAAUUGCAAAAUCCCAAAUAGAAGAACCCAAAAUCCUAAACUGAGUUUAAAUCGAAAGAAGAAAAACCUAAAAUCUAUUUGAAUAGAAGUAACAAUCCCCAAAUCCCAACCGAUUUGAAUCAACCCCUAAAGCCCUAAAUCCCCAAAUAGAAGAAAAACCCUAAAAUCGAUUGAAUCAAGAACUCAGUCGAAACCCUAAGCUUACCGUGAGAAGAAGAAGGAGAUAGCGCACUGUGAAAAGAAGGAGAGACGAGAACAGUGAUGGAGGAUGAGAUGAGAAUAGUGAAGAUGAGACGGAGGAGUGUUUUGGAGACGAGAAUGAGAGAGGAGCUCGAUCGAUGGAGGCUGAGAGAAGAAUGAGAAUGAAAGUGUUGAGUGUUGAGAGGUUCGAUCGGUGCUGAGAAUGAGAGAAGAAUGUGGCUGAGAGGUUUGAUCGGUGCUGAGAGAGUGAAUUGUGACAGAGAGAGUUUUUUUCGAUGGAGGCUGAGAAUGAGGGAGUAGUGAGAGUCGAUAGGUUUUAGGUCAAAAUGCGCAAGUGCACCAAUUUUUUCCAAAGAGUGUGUUCUUUUUUUCAAGAAUUGCGCCUUUUUUCCUUACACAUAGAUGUUGCCCUAACACACUAACAUAUUUGUCUAACUACAAAAUCAAAUGUUGGGGGGAACCAAACUUAAUUAUGGAGGGUAUUCCCUCCAAAGGUAUUUCAGAAACUAAAAAGUAACUAUAAGACAACACAUAAAUGUUGUCAUAUUAACAAAAAAAUUUGUCUGCAAAAUGAAAUGGUUUGGAGGGAAUCCACCUAAGUUAAAAUUAAGGCUAGGGUUUCGUUUACCUCCAAAGUCAAAAAUUACACUAUUUCAGUAUUAGCUAACACAUCAAUGUUGUCUUAUUAACAAAAAAAUUUGUCUGUAAAAUCAAAUAGUUUGGAGGGAAUCCACCUAAGUUAAAAAGCUAGGGUUUACCUCCAAAGUCAGAAAUUACUAAAUUCCAGUAUCAGCCAUGUCACACCCUAAUUUUCGAAUGAUAAUUUUCAAAAAUUUGGGCAUGAUAUAUCUCAAAAUAUUAAUAAUCCCAAAACCUAUUCAACAAACUUCAAAGAAAACUAAAACUCAAUUGCUGAAAUGUAAAUGUCACACAACUCAACACUGAGUUAAACAUUACAUCUUCUUAAUUACAUUAACUUCAAAAGUCUAGUAAAAUAAGGACGCUCACAUGAGCUUAAAAACAAACCGCAUAAUAUACAAAUAAAAUGUACAUCAUCUAAAACCCAGCUACUAUGCCUCUGCCUCAACCCUGCAGAUCAUCACUUGCAGGUCUAACCCUUACACCAUGAAUUGGUGCAUCGGGUUAUAUUGUAAACAACAAACCCGGUAAGCUAAAAAGCCCGUAGGAGUAACUCCUAAAAAUAACUCAAUCCAACAUCACAUAAGAUAAAACCGGUAAUUCCUGCUUUAGAACUUAGUUCAGGAAUCGCCUCAAACAAGAAAAUUCAAAAGAGAGUAAAUAAGAAAACACAACAAUUUCCAAAAUAAUCAAAAUCAUAAGUGAAUUAUGCAAAAAGGAUAGUUCAGGAAUUCCACUAAAAAUCACACAAAUAAGAUUGAAAAUCUCCUGCAUUAAGCAUAGUUCAGAAGAUACCCAAAACAAGAAAUUUAAUCGACAACAAUUAAGAACAAUGUUAAAACCACAUAACCAAUACUUUUACAAAUAUACAUGUACUCAUGAGUCCCAGAUACAAAUAAAUACCUCUCAUGACCUACAACAACAAUUUAUGUACCCAUGGGUUCUAGACACCUUCAGGUACCUCCCACGAUCUACACCGACAGACGGAUUAGAGCUAUAUUCCUAAUCGUAACCAAUCACCCGGCCAAAGGCUUGGAACCAAGGAAGAAAAAAUCGAUAUUUUCACACAGCGAUAUAUAUUUCUCACCCAUUAAUUUUUGGUCCGAAAAUAUCGAUAUUUCGCGAUACAUUCGAAAUCUCGCCGAAACUGUCGAAAUCUCGCAGAAAUUUUUUUUUUCCCGCCAAUUUGAAUGGCUGUGGUGAGGGGUGAGUGUGGUCAGCGCCGAAAUUGUUGACUGGUUUGCAUGGCAAAAUGAUCUGCAUCAAGGGGAUUCGAACCUUGCUUCCUUGGGUACAAGCCUAACAUCUUAACCAACCCUAUUAACCAUCUAACUUGUUUAUUUUAGUAUUUUUAUAAUAUAUAUAUAUAUUGGUUUUUCUUUUUCCGAAUCUGAAAAGUAAAACAUUAGGUAAAUGUCUAAUCCUCAACUAACUUUUUUACCUACAUUUCCAUAAAAAUAAAAAUAAAUUUUUUUACCUACACUUCUUAAUUCUUUUUUAAUUAAUAUAUCUGCAGGUCAAAUUUUAUAACUACCUUUUAAAAAAUUAUUAACGAUUCAGCACUAAUUUUUUCAACUUAACUCACUACAACUCCAUAUAGAUCAAUGUUUAUUCAAGUUUUUCAUUUCAAAUAUAGUACAUAAUAUAAAAAACAAACAUCUCUUAAAGUUUGGUUUAAAAUUUCCUUGUUUUUCUUAAAAUUUCAGUCAAUUUUCUCAUUUUUUUUACUGCAAUCGAUAUUUCCCCGAAAUUUCCGUCGAAAUUUCCAUAUUUUAGAAGGUCGAAAUUUCCGUAAUCACCGAAAUUUUCUUCCUUGCUUGGAUCCCAGUUUGACAAUCCAAUAUCAAAUCACAAAAUAAUAAUAACAUCAUAACCGUAACCAAUCACCCGAUUAAAGGCUUAAAACCCGGUUUGACUAUUUAAACAACAAAUCACAAUAGAGUAGAAUUCAUCAUAACCAUAACCAAUUAUCCGAUUAAAGGCUUGGAACCCGGUUUGACUAUCUAAACCACAAAUCACAAUAUAAUAAAAUCAUCAUCAAUCAACACAAGGAGCGCAUCAUAAAAAUUAUAUCCUUCCACAUAGAUAUAUUUAUACGAACAAACAUAAAUAUCCCCACAAGAAUAAUCUAUCAAUAGCCAAAAACAUUAUGAUCACAUGAACCUUAAAAAUAAUCAUAGGAAAACUUGUUUUAACUUAUCUAUGAGCCGUUGGCGAUCAAACUCAUAUAUUUUAAAACAAACAAAAACAUAAUUUUUAAAUUAUAAUCAUUAUAAUCAUUAUCAUCAUCACAGUCAUCAUCAUCAUCAUCACAACCAUCAUCAUAAUCAUCAUCACAACCAUCAUCAUAACCAUCAUCACAAUAACCAUAAAUAAUUGGUCCUAAAGUGAAUCUUGAUUAGAUUUACUCACCAAAAACACAAGGAACAAGCUCACUCACAACUCCACAAGCUACCUAAUUAGCACACAUUAAAACCUUAUUAACCACUCAAUAAGAAACAAAGUACCCUUAACCAACCCUUAGCCUAAAGGUUUCCCAAAAGAGGGCAAUCCUUCCUCUGAAACCUCCCAAGGUCGUCGGACACUCAACAACCUAUCGAAACUGUCUCCAAGUUCAACUUCCAAAGUUUACAACUUAACAAACCUCAAUGAUUAACAUAGCACCUAAUAUGCACUAUCAAAUCAACACUUAACCUUAUAACACAACAACACACUCCCAACUACAACAACUAGUUAACACAGCCACCCAAAUUCACUCACACUGCCCGGACAUGCUUCCACGUGCCACCACAGGCGGUGGCGAGUGGGCCCCAUGCGCCACCACAAACUUCAAAAUUUGGGGAAACUCCCAACACCAAACUUGUGGAUCACAACAUAAGAAACAUUUUUUGUACCUGAGACUAAGCUCGAUUUAACCUGGAACUGCCCCAAACAACCACCACAAGCUCGGGCUUCAAAUCUGCAAAUCCGGGUUCGAAAACUCAAAACUGAGUUGAUUGGUUUGCACAGCCACACACAGAAGAAAGAGGGGAGCAAAACUCACCUAGUGCUGCACCUUGUCACCGCCGUAAGUGGCGGUUUCGAUCGGUGACGCGUCGACAGUGGCGUCAGGUCUAGCUGCGCCACCUACGCUGGUCGACGACCUUGAAGACUAGCACAGUUGUGUUGAGGAGAUCAGUGCAAACCUAUAGGAACUGACGACGUCUCGAUUGGUGGCCGGAAAAAGAAGAAACUCCGGCGAAAUUGUAACAGCUCCUCCGCCUCGUGGCGGCGUCUAGGCGGCGCGACGACGAGCGACGCUGCCCCAGGAAUGGAGAGGAGGUCCAUCCGAACCGAACGGGACUGGCGGCGUCCAAUUUGGUGGCUGGACGACCGAGUUCCAUGUCGAAGAAGGUUAAGGGGCGCAGACGGUCAGGAGAGAGGAGAGAGAAACCGGCUGCAAUUUCUAGGGUUUCCAAAAAUAAAACCCACAACGUUCUAUUUAUAUACUUUCCAAAAUUGGAUACUAACUUCCUCUAACCGUAGCUUUUUCAUACGACAUCCGUUUUACGCGUGCCGUGUGUCUACGAACUCGUAUCGCCAAACUCUACAACUUUCAAGAAUGAAGUUUUCAAAAAUAUCUUACGGAUAAAAAAGUCAAUUUUUGACCACUUAAAAGUCAAAGCACCUUAAUAAAAUUGAUUCCCGAAACUUCAACUUCGCACACACGAAUGAGAAUUUCCCACAAAAAUCCUUCAUUAAUUCCGGAAAUAAUACAAGGAAAUUGAUAUAAAAAUUUAGGGUAUUACAAGCCAACACAUAAAUGUUGUCUUAUUAACAUAAUUAAGUAAAAUUUUCACACAAGUUGUCAAUUCAUAAAAAUUCAAUAUCAGACAACACAUAAAUGUUGUCAGAUUAACAUAAUUAAGUAAAAUUUUCACACAAGUUGUCAAUUCAAUAAAAUUCAAUAUCAGUUAGCACAUAAAUGUUGUCUUAUUCUUUUCAAAAAAAAAAUGUUGUCUUAUUAACAUAAUUAAGUAAAAUUUUCACACAAGUUGUCAAUUCAAUAAAUUCAAUAUCAGACAAUACAUAAAUGUUGUCGGAUUAACAUGAGUAAAAUUUUCACACAAGUAUUGAUCAAUUUGGAAAUCCCUCCAAAAGUUGAGAAAAGAUAACCUUCAUAGCUAGACGACAUAUAAGUGUUGUCCGAAUGUAACUUUCAUUUUGACAAUUGAGACUAAAAUAGACCUCUUUCUUCACCAACAUAUAUGUAUUGUCCCAAAAACAUACAUUUUUUUCAAAGAAAAUUAGUAUUGUCUAAGUGCAUAUUCCACCAACACAGAAAAAAAUGUGUCGCCCCAAAACCCCGAACCAUACUUAAUUUUGUUUGUGUCGCCUGAUGGGUGUUGCCUGAUGCAGGAAAUUGCAGUGUUGAUUGGGUGUUGGCUCGAAACACCAUGGCAGGUUGUGCUGGGUUCUAGGUGGUCGCAUUUGGGACCGCUGACACUACCUCCUCUCCUUCUUACUCGCGUGGACAUGGACGAUCACCAUGGUUGAUCAUCACACAAACACUACAACGCCUGGAAGCCUUUUAUACUUGUAUUUUACCAAAACAAACACACAUAUAUGAGAGAAAACUUAAUCCUUCUUUCUAGCCUCACGGGUAGGAUUAGCUGAACCCUAGCGAUCAUUUUUUUGAAAACAACAUUGUCCACCAACAAAACAGAACUUAUCGUUUCUCUAUUCAAGUGAGUAGUGACCAACAUAGUCACUGUCGGAGGAACGAAAAUCGGGGUGGGCUACAUUUGACUUAUGUUGUGAACAAAAAUUAUUUAUAAAAAAAUGGCAGUGUGUUUUGUUUUCUAGGAUAAACCAUUAGAGCAACAAUCCUCAAAUGAACAAUUAGAUUAACAAUCCUCAAAUAAACAAUUAGAUUAAUAGAUCUUUUUGCUGAGAGAUUCACCCCUUUCUUUACUGCAUUAUUCUUCUUCUUCAACCUUUUUGCCAUCCCUGUGCAGCAGCAUUAUUCUUCUGCUAUAGGUUUAGUUUCUAACUUCUUCACUAUUAUAUAUGGCCCUCGUUGUAGAAAUUAGUCAGUGCUCAAGUCACCAGCUCUCAUUUGUAUACUUGAAGUCAAAACCUACGAGUUGUUAGCGAGUGAUGACAUUGAGCUCGGAUCAUAAUUAGACAACAUGAUCAUCAUUAAGCAGAUACUGCAUAAGCUAAUAAUCCAAUAUAUCACACUUCUUAUUAUACUACUAGUCUCCACAUGGUCCUGCGUUUCACAAGGCAGGCUGCGCCGCUGAGAUAUAGGGGUACCUCACUGGCUCACUCACUCACAAUGAGGUAGGCUCACUCUAUUUUUGAACAUUUUUUUAUCCAUAAUUAAAUUUAUUUAAUAUUAAUUUACGAGGAUGUUCAGUUGAUUAGUAAUAGGCUAAGAAAAUCACGCUCAACUUCUAUGUAAACUCAAUAGUGAAAGAAAAUAUUUGAAAAAAAUUCAGUUUACCCCCCAAAUUUUUGGUGGCAAAAUCAGUUCAAUCCUGCAACUUGUUUUUAAAUUAGUUCGCCCCUUCAACUUUCGUAAACACAUGAGUUAGGUCCAAUUUUUGAAUUCCCCUCGAAAUAUGACAUCACCAAAGCUGUUGGAACUAACAAGAUGACCCAUAAUUCAGAUUUAUCCCCUCAUUUUUAACGAAAUGUUUGAAAUACCCUCAUUAUUUUAUUCAUUAUACCUAGAUUAAUUGGAACUCGUAAAAUAAAAAGGAAUAAAAUCCUCACUCGAUCUUAGACUCUUAUUAGUCGAUCUCACUCUCUCUCUCUCUCUCUCUCUCUCUCUCUCUCUCUCUCUCUCUCUCUCUCUCUCUCUCUCUCUCUCUCUCUCUCUCUCUCUCUCUCUCUCUCUCUCUCUCUCUCUAUCGCACCAUCAUCUUCAAACCUUGCGAUACCCAGAUUUACAAAAAUCCAGAUCUAGGCUGUUAGGGGUUAGAAGAUCAACUCAAAGGUAGAGGAGAUGGCUGGGGCAGAUGUUUGGAUACCCCGAUUGGAGAAUGGAGGCGAACCAAAUUACGGUGAGUUAGGGCUUUGAAUUUUUGAUUGUUGCAGAUGAUUUAGGGGUUUUACUGUUUACAGAUUUAGUGUUGUUGAUUAUUGAUUUCGGGAUUCAUAUGCAUCUAGGUAUCCGAUUUAGGGCAUUCGAGACGAAAGAUUAUGGGUUACAACUAAAUUAUGGGUCCCUUUGUCAGUUCCAACAGUUUUGGUGACGUCAUAUUUCGAGAGGAAUUCAAAAAUUGGACCUAACUGAUGUGUUUACGAAAGUUGAAGGGGCGAACUGAUUUUAAAAAAAAGUUAUAGGACUGAACUGAUUUUGGCACCAAAGAUUUAGGGGACAAACUGAAUUUAAUUCCAAAUAUUUGUAUGUUGAGCAGCUUUGUUUUCAACAGUUAAAUUUGAUCCAAUAGUAAUUGAACACUCUAGUCAAAUACUAGUUAGGUGAACAUCACUAAUUUGUCCAAUCUGUAAAUCUCAAACGUCACAUUUAUAUUCGAUUACCAUCCAGUUUCAUUGAUUUUACUCUUUUGCUAUAUACUUCAAAGUUUCCAAUAUACCGAAGAAUUACAUUUCUUUACUUUAUAUCUUUGGACACUGAUCUGAACCUAGCUAGAGGGUCGACGAUUCUGAUAGCAGUAGAACUUAACUGCUCUGUGGCUAAAGAAGUUUGCAAGUUAUGAACUUGAGGUCUUGAGGAAAUCCUUGAGAAAUCAUCUCGUCAUGUAUAACAUAACAAGGUGAACAUUAUUGUGUCACAAUCACCUAAACAAAGGGCAGAGAUGACCCAAACGAGAACGAAGAAUCAAAUGGUGAGGGUGAUCGCAAAAGGACACAACACAGGAAUAAGGGAAUUGUUGGCCUUUCCAGGUGCACUGGAAGAGCAGGGAUCCCCACAUUGUCCCCAGAUGCCUUCACUCAAAGGGCACGCAAAGUGGGUUAUCUUCUACGGCAGACGAUAAGAAGAACAAGGUAGGCAUUGAUUCUUAGUUUCUAACUUCUUGCUUUUCGACAAGUUUUACCGUGUUUGUUCGAUUUGCCCGAGUUUUUUUUUACACCAAUCAUUCAGCACAAACUAGUCCAAAAGAAGCAAAACAUUGACAACUGUAAGAUCAAGGACUGGCAGCAAUGGUAACGAUUACAAUAACGAUAAACUGUUUACCAAGGUCGAUGUAGAAACAACCAUCCCAGAUGCCUAAUGCUCAACAUUAAAUUAGUAUCUGAGAACAACAAAACCAAAAUGCACCAAAACUCAAACGCAAGCAUAAGGUAUCUGAGAACAACAAAACCAAAAUGCACCAAUACUCAAACGCAAGCAUAAAGUAUAAGCACAUAUACCAUGGCGGGAGAAAGAGAAGGUGAAAAGCAUAUAAUGAGAAUGAAGAAAUUUCUCUGCAUUUUAUUCAUGUAGUCAACGUGAAGGACCCAUUGCUACACAAAGAAUAAAGAACCUAUAAAGGAAGCAGCGAACACCUUAAGCAAGAUCAGUGAGAAUACCCACUUUCACUUGCAAGAAUUGACUAACAACCAAAUUUACAUGGAAUUCACUAACCCAAUUUCUACUCCUCUUUUUAGUCUGAAGCUUUGCAGGAAGGACGGUUCUCCUGCCAAAGAUGGACAAAAAACCCCGGCUCGAGAACCUCAAUAAUCACCAACGGUGCAAAUUGCCCCCAAUUUGAGGCCAACGCACCAAAGAAUGUAAAUUUUAUCCUAAGUUAAUUUUUUUCACUGCUCCCAGAAUCAAUCUUUACCUUUACCCAUUUUCCCGUGUUGUUAGAACCCCAUUAGAGAAAUUGAAGUGGUUAGCAAAGGUCAGGAUCUAUAGGCCAACAAGUUAGUUGACACUUCCUAGUGUGAUCUAACUUCAAUUAAACCUGUUCUCUGAAGCUAAGAAAGAAGGGCCUUUGACCUUAAAGCGCUUUAGCCCAAUCUCUAUUGGCGGAGGUUCCCUGCGGCUCUUUCCCAACUCAAGCUGGCGUAAAUCACUUCUAUGGUGAUCUCGCUGUCUCCUAACAGAAUCUUCAUUGGUCAACUUCUUAAACUUGAUAGACAAAGGAACGGUACUUCCUCUAGAAAUGGUAUUUCCUCUGGCAAAUCUGUCAUCUCUUGAAGCAAUUUCCGGAGCCCCUUUGUUAUUAGAAGUGCUGGAGCUUUGUAAUGGCACUGACCUCCCACAUCUGAUAUCAGGUUGCAGUUUCUUCAGUCGCUUAAAUCCCUGCUUUUUGAAAAUACAUAACAACCGUAAGCGAUAUGCAUAUCAAUGGAUUAAACAACAGAGUUCAGACAGAUAACAAGCUGGAUUUACCAUAUGAGGGUUCCAAGAGAAGAAGAUAAUACAGAUAUACAAUAGGACAGAAACUAUUGCCUCUACUCCCUAAAAAAGGGUUGUAAGCAAAAAAGUGGGGCAACUUGAAAUUGAUCACAAACUUAUCAGAAGUUAAAUAGAUCUGGACCAGAGUAAACUUUCCACCUAUAUAACAUAGAUCACGAAUGACAUCUUUAACAUCUUCCUGACUUGAAUGAACAGAGAACAAGCACACAUUUCUCAUCGACAUGCUUAUACAGUUAUACAAAAUGAUUUCAGUAUCGAGUCUCCAACAACAAAUUUGAAAGUUUAUUUUUAGUCUGUCUCCAGGUAAGCAGUAAACAGUGGCAAAAAAAUGUUACCCUCAUAUAAUGUUAUAGAUGAAUCUCAAAUCUGUGGGACAACAGUUGUAAAAUGACAAGGAACAAAGAGAUAGCAAACAAAUACUAUAAACUGAAGUGGUAUAUGAUUCAAUGAUGUAUACCUUGUUCUCAGAAACAUUUGAUGGUGAGGCAUCACUUAUAGUUCUUUUCUCCAUUUUCAAUGAAGAACGGCGCUUAACCCUAAAUAUCUCUGAAUCAGAAUCAUCACUGCCUUGAUCUGUAGGCCUAAGCUCCAAUGCAUUAGAACUUCCUGGAUGUACACUUGAGCAUUCAUCAUACGAUGGGGAGGACCGAGAAGACUCAUAUGCAGACCUUUUGGAAGUUGGAGUCACUGUCUUAGAGUUGGCAUUUCCCUGUACGAGCCAGUUAAUUAGAAAAAUUCCAUCAAUUCAUUGCAGUUUCAAGAAGUGACAAGUUUAUUUAGUGAUAUGGGGAAACAGAUUUACAGGAUAGAGCAAGAUCUUACAUGAUUGGCUGCACACAAGCUCUCAAGAGGCUCAGAAAGAGAACAAAGUGUAGAUGCAAUAUAUGAAAUGGAACCUUCUGACACUGCAGGACUGGAAUAUUUUCCACCAUGAGAACAAGGUGCAGCUGGCUCUUGUGACUGAUCCAAAGUUGUGCCAGUGAGUUCUGUUGUAUCAGGGAGUUCGUGGUUCAACUCAAAUUCUAUAUUGCAGUAAGGGGAGUAUCCUUUUUCUUCAGCUAUCUGAGACCAAUUUAAUGGAUAUGAAUACACGUCAUCACCAUUUUCACCUUGACCUUGAAUCUCCUCUAACACUUCCUCUUCCUCUUCAAACUUACUGGCUACAGCUUCCAUUUCUGCAAUCUCCUCCCUUAAAAAGAGAGUAGGAUUCCUCUGACAUGACAAAUCCAAUGACCUUACAUCUGCAUUUGAACAAGAGCAUUAUAAGGCACCAGAGGAAAUUUUAUAUCGUAAGUUAUAUUUAUAUAUCAACACUAAAACAAUGUAUUAACAAAAACCAAUAAAAUAGUUCAGCAUCCCAUCUAAUUGAGCGAAAAUCUGAGAAGACUUCCAUCAUUUAAGAAAAUUGUUCAGAGAAAAGGACACAUACCAUGGCGAAGGCACACAUGAUGCAUAUAACAGUUGCAACUAAUAUAGGCGAGAUAGCAAUCACGCUUGCAUAUGCUGCAGAGAACAGUUCCAUAAGUGUUUGGUAAGACACCAUUGCAUGCCCCAGACUUCAUUAAAAUCCAGCGAGCACGAUGCUGGAACCGCAUCAAUUUCACAAAAGAAACCUUAACGCGAUUAUGGGAGACCAAGUCAGCAGAAGAACGUUCUGAAUCUUCAAGCUCUAAACUUGCAUGAAGAAGCAUGGCUUCUUUGCACAAGAGUUCUUCAUGAGGAAGCAGAGGCAUCCUAUCAAGAAGUGUAUAACGCCGGCUAGCAAUAGCACCCAAUGGGAACCAAUCACCAAUUGCAAAGUUGACUGCCUCACCACAAUUGAAACCUAUAUAUUCAUCGGAUAAGAAUCAAUACUGUUGUAGAGAAAAUAUCUGAAUAAAUUAGACUAAAUUUAAAAAGGCACAUACCAUGACUGAAUCCAGCAUGAUAAGCUCUAGGGAAUGUAACCACAAACUCUCCUGGCUUUUGGACAGCCUUGUAGACAGGUACAUCAUGUUCCAACAAUAUACUGGGAGGAAACAGAGUUGUUUUUCCCAAUAAGACAUCAAAAGCUCCAUCCGCUCCGUCACUUUGUACAAUAUCAUGAGUGUAGACAUGUUCCUUGACAACCUUUUCAAAUUGUAGGGCAGCAUGACCCGGGAUGCCAUACCACGUUUUGGAUGCGCCACAGUGAUGAUAAUUGAUACUGUCAACAAGAAACAACAAGUAGAAGAAUAAGAAUAUAUUUACUACUCAUUCUCAGAACCCAAAGGAGAACACCUUGCUCUAUUUAAUGAGAUUUAAGAGUGACAUAUACCUGUACAAAUAGUGAUCUUCCACAUGCCAGGCAAACAUGCUAAAUAUCAUUCCAAUGUAUAGCAUAGGAUCUGUCACACCCUGUUAUAGACCAAACAUAGGAAAGUGAGGGAUACAGCAUAUAAAUAAUGCAAAACAGUAUUCAAAGAGGUCUACUUACAGGAAUUGCAUUUUCCAGAAGACGCAGAAUGGACUUGGGUAGCCUUGAAAGAUUCUGAAAGUCAUAAAGAGGUUAAUCAGUUUAUGUACAUGUCAACAAGAAAACUCUCAAACAGUGGUAGAAACUCUCAUGCAGGAUCAUGAUCACAAAUAUCAUCCUAGCUUUCACUAUAAAGAGUGACACAAGACAAGUAAUGGCAUUAUAAGAUCUUGAUACUUGUUGCAUUAAUCUUGAUAGAAAAGACCAAUCUCCGGGGAUCAGAACGCAAGUAUAGCAAAACUGAGGACCUGAAGAUACGAGAGUAACUCCACAAAGUUAUCAUCAUAGUGCACUUUAUAUAAAAGUGGAAUACAGUGCAUACCCUUGAUUAUGCAUUUUAAUAUCACACACUUAAAACCCUUCCAUCAAUUUUGCGAUACAGUUUAUGAUUAGUUUUUCCUUGUACUUUCCAUUUUAACAUGUCAUUAAAUUUAGUACCAGUGUAAAGCACAGCACUAAUGUCACUUUCUUAAGUGUCCUGAUCUGACGUGAAUCUCAUAGCUAGUGUUAAAAACAAAUAUGGAAAGAGAACACAAAAAUCUAUUGUUCACUGUCUUAACUGCCCUGUUCUGGACAUCAUACUCAAAGACAGUAUCAGCCACUGAACAUGGAAAAGAAGCUACAAGAUAAAUUGAUGCAAUUUUUAUAACAAUCCCCUACACUUCUAGCAAACAAACAAACAAACAAACAAACGAAACAAAACAAAGCAAAGCAAAAUUAACAAAUAUAUGUAUCUGAAUAAUACCAAAGCACACCUUUAAAUUCCAUUUGCUACUUCCAAGUGGAUCAUUGGGAGAAGAUGAAAAUGCACUACCAUCAACAUCACAUGCAUAUUCAACACUUUCUGUCUUUCCAGAACCAAUUUCUUUCCAGAAUUCCUUUUCCAAGUACGUAGGAGGAAGAGACCCAGAACUACAAUAUCUACGAGCAAAAACUUUGUUCGCCAUUUUCUCGAAGUCACGGAAUGUAUAGUUUCUGAAAAAGUAAACUCAAACUCAAUAAAACUGAAUAUAUCAUUAAUCAAACAGUAUAUGUCUAAUUAGUGGAAACACACCUUCCGCUCAUGAAAAAAGUGACUUUGUCAUCAUUGUCCCACUCAGCAAGGCGAAGAGGUUGUACCCUAGUUGUGAACUUAAACCCUGCUUUUUCCCUCAUCAAUACAAUCCCAGCAGGAGUAGAAGCACUGACAGGGGAGAUAAUCUUGCAUAUACCUGAAGAUAUCAUUGCAGAUUAGUAUGGCAAAAGUCCAUCAAUAUCACUCUGGUAAAACUUAUCAAAAUAUAUCUCAAAUAGAUGCAAAACAGAACCUAUUUAUGGGAAUGUAAAUUAAAACACAUUAAUAAUUCAAUUCAAAAGCAUUACCAUAUUUGGAAGCUUCUGGAGCUAUUUUCUGUAAAUAAACUAAAGGAUCCUCAAACUCCUCCUUUGCUGGAUAGUAUACAGGACACUCGGGAAUUUUCUCCGUCCAGCCUAGAUCAUUUGUUUCAAAUUUAUCCACCUUACGCUUUGAAAAGACAUCAUUCCCCUGUGAAGCACCAUUGGACCGAAAAACUGAAUUUGCACCUCCAUGUAUUCUAACACCACAUGGUGCGGGAGCUUUUAGAGCAUCCCCUCCACUUCUAGCCAUCGUAUUAGUAAAGCUUACAGGCUCAGGAAUGCUUUCUGAUCUCAUAGGCUGAAGCCUUCUUCGCUUCAGAGAUUCUGAUCCACUUUUUGCCUCUUUGGACAAACAAACUCUACCUUCCACCUGUAGACAUAAGGCUAGAAUUAAUAACUGGCAUUCAGAAAACAUGCAUCCAAAUCUCUAAUUCAAGCCAAACAGUUUAAAUCUCAUGUUUAUCAACUGCAAAUUAGCACUCCCCGUGUAAAAAGUUUCGAAGUAAAAUUAAAUUUAGAAAAUCAGAACAUAGAAAGACCUAAUCAAACUUUACUGCAGAACUGGUUAAACAAAAAUUCAUCAAUUAAUCAACAGCAACAUGCAGGAAAACUCGUAAACUCUGCAUUGAGUUCAUCAUCACCCAUACUCCAAAUUAGACCAAAAAUAGCAACAAUAUAAAAAAAAUUAGACCAAAAAUAGCAAGAAUAUAAAAAAAAAUUAGACCAAAAAUAGCAACAAUAACCCUCCAAAUUCCAGAACAAAAUUCUACCAAAAUCACAAGGGAAACAAUCUAACACAAAUUUAGCAAAACUCAUAGCAUGAACCCAACCGGAAACGCAUUAGGCCAUCCAUCCACAAGACCACAACGAAAUCAAACGAAUUCCGGAGCGAAAAAGUGAUUUGACAAUCAAAUAGAAGACCAAAUACUUGAGGAAAAUAUAUAUAUAACUUCAACAGAGAAAGAGAGUGCAAUGUACAAGAUCUAAACGGUAGAGAAAAGAGAAGAAAACAAAAUCAACCGAACGUUCAAAGAAGAAAGAGAAAACCAAAGCAAGCACAACACACCAUCUCAUUCCGGAGACUCUCUGUAUAGGCCGCCGUCUUGGUUCACAAAGCCACCACACAGGACAAAUAGGCAAAAACCACAGGAAAAACAGAGCAAAAAAACCGAAUCCAAAUCAGAGAAACCAAACCCUAGAUCACGAUCCCAGCCACGGCAGAUCACGCACAAGCCUUGAGCGAGACCACGGAAGCCCACAUUCUCGCAAAACGUCGAAAACGGCACCGUACGGUGUGAAACUCGGAGAUCCAAGGCCUUCAACGACCGAGUCAACGAAAGAGGCUCUCCGACUGAAGAGAGCCGCCGAGCGGGGGAGGCGCUGCGGUUUCGGGAAAGAGACGGAGGCUAUUCGCCGGCGAAAAGAGAUUCCGGCGAAGAAAUUUCCCGGCGAAUAGAGAAAGAAAAGGAGAGAGAGGAAUAGUGAAAGAGGAGAGAGAGAAAGAGAAUAAGCUGAAGAAACCGAAAAAAGUGCCAGAAGGAGGAUAAUUUAUAGUUUUAUAGCCGUAAAAUAUUAAUGCCUAAUUUCCAUAUAUUUAAUUUAUUUACUUUUUUUUCGUCUUAGACUCGCUCAAGUCCAACCCGUUCUCACUAUGGAAUUGAAAUGUUAAUCGGUUCAGGAAAACAGAAGUAAACCCCAUAAUUACCAUGUUAUCUUGAGGUUCUUUUUUAAAUUGAUUUUUAAAGAAAAUAAUUGAUCCAUGUGUACUUAUUUCAUAUAAAAAAAAAGAAAUUGAAAGUUGUGUGAACCCAAGUGGUGGUUGUUAGGUGGUUCAACCAAACGGUGGACGGCCAAAACGCGUUUCUCCUUCCUCGCCCCGUUUUCCGCUUAUUACCAAAUUACCCCUGUGGGAAAUCAGUCUGGAAAUGUGAAGGAGGGUAGUUUGGUCUAUUGAGGAGACGGCGUUACCGAAGAAUUCUGGUUUGCUGUUGAGUUGGGUCAGAGAAAGAGAAAGUUACGGGAAGGAUGUAAUUAUCACGUGUGCAUUAGAGUAGUCUCAUUAUGUACAGUGAGUGGUAAUUUCGACCGCUGACGGGGUUUAUGUGCAAUGGAAUCAACGGUUAGAGAUCAGGGAGAGGACUGGGUCCAAGAUUCUGAGUGGACGUGCUUGAUCGUUGAAGCUUCCGGACUCGUACAGGAUCAGCUCCACCUACCUUCCAGUUAGUUAGCCCUUUCCUCACUAAAGGACAAUUUAACCCCCGGUUGGUUACCCACUUUGCACGCAAACCGAGGGCGGUUUCGACUUUUCGCGCGCUUUGGCACCAAGAAUCACUUCCGUAUGAGUAGAUUAACUACCUUCAAAGGCGCGAGCAGACGCAACUUCAGGGGAAGAUUUACGUGCACCCGACACGUGGGUGUACAGUCGGAAGGCGAGGGCCACGUGGAGGAGGAUAAGGCUGCAAUUUGUGGCAGUCUGUGUGUUACUGUGGCUGGUGCCAGGCGGGGAUAGCUGGCAGUUAGAGCAGGUUUCACGCACCCUUAUGACCGGCCCCAGCUUUCGCUUUUCGCACUCUCACAAGAACCCAUAUGCUCUCUCAGAAAUAAAAUAAUAUAAAAAUUACGAAACCACCGGCGGUAUCGGUUUUCGGUGACUUUCUUUUUUCUCUCCCCACCCUAUCGGUUGGUUCCGGUACCAGCUUUUGUUACCCGGAGGUUGGGCUUAAUGAUUAGCAUUCAACAGUCAGCGAAAACGAAGCCUUUGAUUUUUAAUAGUGAAAUUCAAAUCUACGGAAAAAAGAAAGAAAAUGACAAUUAAGGUCUUGGUCUUAUGGCGGCUCGGCUGUUACACCGAGUCAACAUACUGCUCAAAAGUCACCAAUUCGGUCUUCGGCUCGACGAGUAACUAAGACGGCUUGGCUUGGCUUGAGCCACCAAGUGACAAAAUAGCCAUUCAAGAGCGGAUACUUUUAAGUAAUUGUCAUGAUAGAUUGAUAAUUGCCCCUACUUAGUCACAAAUUUACCGCUGGAUUUGGUUUCUGUAUUUUGUUCGGUAAGGGUAAGUAUGGAAUUUCAAUUCCUCGUUCGGGAUUGAGCUGGAAGGUGGUGAAUUGACGCAAAUGCCUCUGUGAAAGAUACGGAUUCGGGGUUAUUGCGCAUAUUGCGUAGGAUUCAUGUCAUUGUUUGGAGUACACUUUUUCGUCUUUUUCUUGGACCACCAACAAAUAAAGUAAAGGAAACCAGCCUUUAUUUUUAAGUUAUAAAAUAAAAAUGGAAGGAGUCCAGAGAAUCUUCAUUUUCAACCCUUUGAUACUCCUCGACGUUUAUAAGCUGGCAACGAGCCAAUGAUUAUGAUCCCGUAUAUCAGUUUAUUUUGCCACAUUGUUAUCCGUUAUGAACCAUUUGGUUUUUCUGUUUUUUUUUCUUUCUUUAUGUUUCCGUCAUAGUCUAGAGAAAUUUUAAAUACACACUCUUAAUAUCUUAAUACACACCUUUAUUAUUUUAUGUUUCUAUUGAGAUUUUAUAGGUAAGUUAAAUUACCAAAACAUACAUCUAUUAUUUAAAAAAAAUAGCUCUAACGUAAGUAAGUUACUUUUUUCUUAACCGUACUUCUUACCCUAAACUUAACGUCGAAGAACAUGUUCUUCUUCCCCUAACCCCCCCUAAACCCUACUUCUUCCUACCAAUUAUCUUAUUAGNGUUUGUUUUUUUUUUUUUAUCUGUAUCAGCUUUAGUUUGAUCUUGCAUAUCAUAUUGUCAAGUGCUGCAUUUUUAUCAUGACAUGUUUUAUCGAAUAACUAGCUAUCUAUGUUCAAUAGCUACUGUACUUCUACAGUUCUACUAGCUUGUGAAUUUUGAAAACUUGUAUUGGUGAUUUGGAGUUGGGAUAUAACAAUAAUCAUUUGAUUAUAAAUUGAAUGAUGAUAACAAAAAAUUUCUAACAAAAAUUAGACGAAAUAAUAUGUAAAAAGAGGUAUCAAAUGGUAAAUAUACAUUAAUUAUAUUAAAUAAUAGAAUAUUUCAUAAAUUAAGGGCAUUUUAGGCAGUUUGGAAUGUGUAUUAAGUAUAAUACUGAAAUGAAAAACUUGAUAGGUGGUGUAUUAAGUAAGGGGUGUGUAUUAAGAUAUUAGGGGUGUGUAUUUAAAAUUUCUCCAUAGUCUAACUUACAAACCAUUAUGGAAAACUAUAAUUAUAAUGUCCGGUAAGAAUAACGUUUUAAAAAUAAAUAAAUAAGAAUGACGUUGAUUAAUACAUCAACAAAAGAGAUAGUUUAUACUCAACGUUAAGAAGAGAUAAGAGCCGCAUUUUUUCUAUUAUGCUAGGGAAUCUUUACCAAAUCAUCUGCUUAAUAAACAUGGGCAAUACAAUAUUGUUUGGUUUCCACAUCUCUGUUUUGAAGGUACCAGAUAGUAAAUACAAGGGGCGGAUUUCACGCACCAAGGCACACUUGUACUACUAAUGUGCAGGUCACUCCAUUAGAGAUACGAAGAUAUAAUGAAGAUUGAAAAUCCUCAAUUACUUCCUCUGGCCUUGUCUUUUUUGAUCCGAUAAUUUUAAGAGCUUGUAACUUCUUCCAUCUCGGGUUUUCAUCUCAUGUGUUUGAAACGGUGAUUUUCUUAACUGCGAUCGCAUAUAUACAUGAUAGUGUCAACAUGGAUGAUUUAAUGAAAUAAAAUGCUCAUAUUGUAUAUUACAUGUUCAGUUCAAUUGCAUCUUGAUGCGUACAAGAAUUUUUGGCAAAUACAUUAUGUAACGUAACAUGUAUCAAACAACGGUAAAGUGGUAAACAAAAUAUGAAUUUUACAUUUUUACCAGAGUCAUUAAGUCUCAUUAAGUCUUUCUCUUACAAGAAUAUCUUUGUCAUUACUCAUUACUUCAAUAGGAUAUAUAUAAGUUUGCAUCCCAGUCAAAUUGUGUUGUGUGACAAGAUGAGAAGUCUAUGUUACCACAUUUGUCAUAAAUAGGUUAGCAUAAAGACCAAGUCAGCUGGAUACGGUUAACAUAUACAUGUCCUAAAAGGUAAAAAAAAGUGUGAGAAAUCCCCAAAGGGGCACCCAAAAUGUUAGGAAGUAAAUGCAAUUGACCUUUUGAGAAUUAUGAAGUACAACUUAAUUUGGUCAUUUGGAAGAGGAAAACAGGCAGGUUUUUUCACUGUUGAACUAGACCCCAUUUUUGGGUCAAGGUGGUCAUAGUAUAAUAAAUAUAUUUUGAAAUAUAAGAAACAAAUUUUAAGUGUGAUGUGGGAAGUUAAAAAUUCCAUUUGGAUAAUAAAAAGCGCAGCCAGCUGGACCUACUAGAGAAUUGUCACAUGGAUCAUUGACUAGGUUAAUCAAUUAUGGGGUUUCUUUUUCUUAUAAAAAAAAAUAUAUAUAUAUAAAUAUAUGAGUUUUUUUUUCUUUAAUUCUCUAUUGUGUCACUGGUUGGUGAAGAAUGAUGAACAUUUGGUGAAGGGAAAUCAAUUUUGUGAAUGUCUUAGAGUUGUGAUAUUAAUUUUAUUCUAUAGCAUUGAGUGCAUCGUUUCUAAAAAGUUAACUUCUCCACCACUUAUAGUUACAAAAAAAAAAAAAAAAAAAAAAGUUAAGAACAUAGCUACUACUUAUAUAGAGAGAAAGGAACGCGAUUUCGAGCGAGCCUCUGUACUCUGCCGAUGUUUUUGUGUUGCUGUCGGCCGAGUGGUUCUAAUGGCAAACUCGAGGGAAGUGGGUUUUGGAUGGAUGCCAAUUAUGUGUUCACAUCAUCGUUUUUAUUUGUAACUAUGGUUGGUGGCGACCAUGAUGGUUGUCAAUUGUUUGUUUCGGCCAGGUUUCUAGGUAAUUCAUUUAAGAUUUUCUUGCUUUUAGGACAAUGGAGGUCAUGAUGGCCGAGGUUGUUGUGACGGUGCUUCGGUUGCAAUGGAAGACAACGGGAGGCGCCAAGUACAGAUGACACCGCUCAUGAUGACGAUUUGUGUCAAGUAUAGAAGAUGAUGAUUUGGGUCAAGUUAGGUAGGUUUGUUGGUGCUUCGUGAUGUUUGUCUUUGGGUUGUUUCAUUAUAUUUGGUCUAAUAAAUCGUGGGCUUAGUUUUGGCUCGAUUAGAUAGUUUUCUCUACGUUUUUAGUUAAUCUAUGAACAAUAAAGAUGAUCAUUGUAAGAAAGCUAAGCACUUAUGUGCACUCUAUCUAGCGUCUUUGGAGUAGUUCCAAAUAAAGGAGGGUAUCCGUUAUUUCUACAUGUCUAUUUCUAUGUAUCACUUGUAGUUACCACCAUUAUCUUCUUGAUUGUCUAUGUCCUUAAAUGACAACGUAAGGGUAUGUAACGAUUUAUUUUAGCUACCAUUAAACCCUCAUUGCUAGCAAUCCAAAGUGGUGUUCGAAUUCCACUGCACAUGUUAGUUAAAGUCCAAACAGUCCCCCCCCCCACCCCCCAAUUAGACCCUAGCAGCUGUUGGCCGACCACCCGCACCAACCCUCUUCGACAAUGGGAAAUAAAUUGAUAUGAAAAUGAAUAUUUUUUUCUCUAUAAAUUAAAAAGGAAAGUAGAAUAUGUAAUUCUUGUAUUGAAAAAUUUGUUGUAGAUUGAAGUGUCUAAUUAUACCAUUCAGUCCGGUGUCAUAAUUUCUCUUUUUGUAAGGUGAGAUUAUGAGUUCAAGACAUAAUAGUUAUAGCAUUUUUGAGUUGUUUAUCUGAUCAAAACAACAAUAAUUUUCUCCUUUUAUUAUUUUUGAUCAUACAACCCCAACAUGGGUAGAUUUCUUUAUCCCUAGGUUGCCAAAAUGUCUCUACGUCCCAAAAGUCGGUCUUCCUUGCCACCCAAAUUGGAAAGUACUUAUUUACAAAGAUUAAUGCUGUCAUUAUAUAAUUCCGUCUCUUAUUAGAUUGUGUCACAUUCUCAGUGGAUGAUUCCUUGAGAGAAUCUUGUUUAUCAAGAGCUAAUCCACUUUGAUUAACCAUUCAAUCAUGCAGCAACCUCAUCACCCAUCUUUAUAAAUAACUAUCUCACCUACUAGUCCUUCAAAAUUGUUAAAUAUUGUGUUAUAUCCAAUUAGCGACAAGCCAAAUAAACAAGACGUACCAUCGGGGAAUCUGAUGGGAUAUUAGGUAAUCCAUAUAUAUAAAUAUUAUGAACACCCUUUACAUGAUAUAACUAAUCCCAUAGUAUACAGGGUGUCCCAACCAUCCACUAAUAAGCUGGAGAUUAGUAAGUAAGAAAUGAAAAGGCAAAAUUGUUUAACAAAAAAGUUGGUGAUCCGAAACAUGUGGCAUCACAACAAGGUAUAGUGAAGUCUUAAUCAGCUCCUUCCAUUUGGCUUUUAGCUUCUAGAGAAACAAAUAAGAUAUGAUGCUUUUGAGGUAUUAGAGUAAAUUUUUUUUGAUCGUAUAAACUACUCAAAAAUUUGAAAGUUUUGUGAUGCACCAGGAUGCAUGUGAAUCAGUACAUUCAUUGACAUGUGACAAAACAUCAACUAUUAUUUAGUGGGUCAUGAAUGAGCCCUAAUUUUAAUCUAAAAAUAAAACAAUGGCGAAGUUGGGGUCCGUAAAUGGAGGAGGUAGUGGUUCUGGGCUCUCAGUUUCUUAUCACUUUUCUAGGGAAGACAAUCUUGUAUAUGGAUGACGACGUCGGAAUCGAAGAGCGAGCUUGGGCGGCGACGUCGGGAUCAAAGAACGGCUUGGACGGCGACACCGGGACAUGGGGUUUUGAUAGGGUUUUCAAGGAGACGAAGGGGUUGUCGAGGCCAUCGGUGAUGGGUAGGACUGCCUGGAAAGGUCUGUCCGAAUUGCCCGGGCCACCGGUGACGGCGUCUUCAACGCCAUCCUUCUAUUAGGGCAUCAGGCUGCACCGCACUUGGAGAACCCGAUGGCGACGAAGACCUUGUUGAGGUGAUCGAGGUUGAGAUCGGCAGUGGUGUAGUGGAGAAGGAAGCCGUGGCAGUCGAGGUCCUGGUCGGCGGCGGACGAGUCUUUUUUUUCUUCAUCUAACUAAAACAGUCACACUAACGUCUGUUAAUAAAAAUGGGACCCACAUGAGUGGUUCAAGUGAUUCCGCUUCGAAAAAUGUUAUAACUAGUAUAUCUCCAACUCAUAAUCUCACCUUACAGAAGUAAACUUAAUGCAAUGAAAAAUGAAGAGUAUCUUAAUGAGCAAGUUUUGAUAGAAAGCUUUGAAUAGACUCUUAUAGUAGGAAGGAAAGCCUUGGGGAAUAAGGGAAGAUCGAUGCUUCUACUUAUGGGGUCGGAACAUGUAAUUUGCUAGGUUAGUAGAUUGGGAUUUAUCUGUCUAAUUGUGAAGUAAAUAGUUCUUAGAAUUUUUUUUUCACUGUUCGAUCAUUCUUUAUUUUAGAGGGGGGUUGGAUUUUGAAUUUUAUUAUUAUUUUAUAUGGAAUGCAUCAUAUUUUGAAACAAAUAAAUUACUUUAUUGGAUGACUUUAAAAUGAACGACAGAAUGCAUCAUGAAGUGUUAGCUACCAAAAGGAACUAUCACUAGCCUCAGAAGCAAUAUUAACUAUUCUAUGUGCCGCUACCGCUCCAUCACAAGUUCAAAUUCUUGGAGCAUGGCAUAUUGAAAUGUUAUGUAUAGCACUCGAGGCUACUUUUAUAUCAUUUACCAGUCCUCCCAUAGCUACAAGCUCAAAGAUUGACAUUAGCAAUAUCAUAUGUAGUUUCGAUGCAAGCAGUCUUAAUUCAUAUGUUCCCAACCUGAAGUGAUUGAAGCAACUUGAGACCAUGCUUAAUUGAUGGCAAUCUUGUUUGUGUAGCGCGCAGAAGCAACAUAGCUCAGAGGGACUGCAAAGGGAGCACGAAACUGACCCAAGUCAUCUCGGAAGACACCCCAUUCAUCUCGGUGCAGCAUAGAGUAAGGUAAUCUUGAAGCGGAUACAUGCAACUUUGUAGGGUUAACAAUAAAUUUAGUAAAUAGUUGUGCAGUGUCAGCUUCACAGCGAUUAGUGACAUUUAAAAAUCUAUUAAUUGUAAGAAUAAAAAAAUUUAUUUAAGUGUAAAAUUGAUGAAAUUAAACAGAUUCACGUAUAUCUUAUUGUGUGUAUUCAUAACUCUUAACGUGAGGUAACUCAUGUCUUUAUGGAAAAGUAUGCAGAGAGACAAAUCUAUGUUUUGAUCUCCUGGUUUAAUUUUGCCCGCACAAUGAUAUAAUAAUAUUGAUUUAUUCAACUUUUGACUCUUUUUUAGUUAUGUCAUUCAUCUAAGAGGAAAUUUUAUAUACGUAAAUCAUUCAUUCAAUAAAUAAAUUCAAACGACUCCAACAUUUUUCAAAUCACUAAAUAGAAAUCCUAGAAUACAUGGGCUCUUGUUGGUUCCCUUUUGAAGCAGCAAUAGCUUGUUUUGGCAACAAGCAACAACAGCUUGAAAAUUAGAUACAACUAUAAUGGAGUGAAUGAACAAAGUACAUAUGCCCUAUAUAUCAUUGGCAUGAACGUGAGGUAAUGAUGGAUAAAGUUGUUCCCCACCACCUAUCAUUUGGUCAGAGACUCAAAGCACAUAGCUAAGCCACCCUCCCUCCCUCCCUCGAAUUAUACACAAUACCAUGACUCAGUACACUUGUUGCUAGCUAUAAGAAGCCAAGAGCAAAAUCCUUAUUGAAAAUGACAAAGUCAGGAAUCAUCAUGUAUAAGAAGUCUUAUUCUUCUUCUUCGUUGCAUUGAUGGGUCAGAAUCAUAAUCAUAAGAGGGACUUGAGUUUAGUCGAUGUCUAAAAUAAUCAGACAUGUAAAUUAAAAAAACUAUAUGUUUCUUAAUAAACGUAAGAGUGAUCACUAUCCUAAAACUAAAAGCUUGCUGGGUCGGAUCCAGAUAUGCCAACCAGCAAUUUUUGCUGGCCUUCAUAACCAACCAAUCAAUCAACUCUCUCUUUCUCUUUCUCUCCCUCUCUUUUCUCUCGCUCUUUUGAUUGGAUGAUUAUGGAAACCAGCAAAGAUUGCUGGUUGGCAAAUUCGGAUCCUGCUAGGUCGUCCCAAAGACCCAAGUAACAUGCUGAGACCUUUGACCUAUGAAUAAGACGAGCUAACCAUAAUCAUUCUUUCUGAGCUAAUAUACCACAAAAAUAAGGGACUUUUUAUAAUAAAACUGGGUUUUUUCUUUGUUAUUGACGAGUCUAUCAUGACUACCAUUUAAAAUUUAAUUCAUAGAAAUAUAUCUCUUUACUCUCGAAAUUGUUUAAGCUUCGUUUAGUGUAGGUAAAGGUGCUGCUUUGUAUUUAAAAAUACUAGCUAGAAUUGGCUCCUACAGGCUUGUAUUUUGAGACUAGCUAGGUGCUUAACUGCUUAUAUAUAUGUCUGGUGCAAUAGUGCCGGCCAAGUAAGGCGAUAGACAAGAGUAGUUUCUUAAUUAGACUAGGAUGCAUGACUGUUUAGGGUGUGUCCUGUAUCAUUUUACAAAACCAUUUUUCAAAAACCAUUUUGUAAAACAGAAAAUGCAUUCGGUAUAUUUUCAGUAAAAAUUGUUUUACAAGGAUCGAUGCUAGUUGAUAUAUGAAAGGUUGGACUAAAUACACAAAAGGCUUGACUCUUUGCCUUACCGACAUCUGUCAGCCUUCUCUCAAGUUCUUUUUGUAAAACACCUCCAGCUGUAUUCACACAUCUAUCAAAACUAGGGCUGCCACUCGGUCGGUUCGAAUCGGUAAUGGGCGUUACCAACUUCAAAACCAAAGCUUUCGGUAAUGAAAUAUGACUUUCAAUUACCAAACCAAAAACUUCGGUAUGAGAUAAAUCUUACCAACUUCGGAUGUCGGUUUUUCGGUAUUACCAAACUUCACAACAAAUAUAUUUUCAAAAUAUAACAAAACAAUACAAAACUAUAAAAUUUAAAUAUCACUUGAGUUUCUAGAGUCUGAUAAUACAUAUACAAAAGAUAGUCAUUUCAGUACACAUUAUCGAGUAUGGUUUAAUUUUCUACCGAAAUAGUCAGGAUGUAAAUGUUUCCAAAUUUUUAUAUGAACAAGUUAUGUGUCAUCUAUGUGAAAGUAUGUGUGUGGAAGAGUCGACCAAAAUAAGUCACAUAAGGGCAGUAAAAGCUUUUUCGUGUAAUAAGUGACGUUAAAUUAUGGUUGACCGCUUUGAUCAAGACCCGAGCAUUAUUGAGUACAAUUGAAUUUUUUAUCAUAAUUGUAUUAUACUAUAAUGAUCACAUCAGACGGUCGAAUUUCAAUUUUGUGAAUUGUAAUCAUUGGAACCACAGCAUGCCUGGUAAUGUUGUAUAACUUAUUUAGUAAGUUAUAUGCAUAUGUACAUCUUUGUGAACCAACUACAAAGAGGAAGCAAAAUUUUACUAAAAACCUUGUGAACUAUGAUGUGAUCAAUAUAGUGAAAUACGACUAUGGUAGAAAAAUUAGGUAUUUUUGAUAAUUUUUUGGCCUUGAUCAAGGCGGCUAACCCUAUUUACGCUUGUGCUUCCUAUGGGGAGCCCUAUCAUCAAGAGAGGUAAAAACAUUCUAAAUUUUUACAUGGGCGGUUACAUGUCAUCUAAGUGGGUUUGUCUAUGUGUGUGCAUGUGUGAUGAAUCGACUAAAACGGGUAGGUAAGAGCGUUUUUAUAUAACAAGUAACAUUGAAUUAAAGUUGAUGGCUUUAAUUGAGACCUGAAUGCUACCAAGUAUAGUUGAAUUUUUCUAUUCAUUGUCUUGUUUUUUACUAAAUGGUAUAUACAAUUGAAAACGUGAGAUAAGAUUAUUAGUCUGUGUGUUUUUAGAAAUAUAAGUCUUUAAAUAAUUAGAAUUUCGGUAAAUUUGGUAUUUACCAAAAACCAAACCAACUUUUUCGGUAUUUCUCAGUUUUGGUUUUUUUGAUUUCGAUUACCAAAAUUCGGUUUACCAAAUCAUAAAUUUUCGGUCGGUUUUCGAUCGAUUUGGUAUUUACCAAACCAAGUGGCAGCCCUAAUCAAAACCAAUGGAUAAUGACAAUUCAUCUGAAACCAUAUUUAGAUUUUCUAUGUAGAUUAGCAGAAGCUUUUUACGACGAGGGAAGAUUGGCAGAAGUUGUUGUUGGAUUUUUCUCUUAAAUCUUUAGAUCCACUUAUAGUUAAUUAGAAGAUAUUGUUCCACCCUCUGCAAUGAUCAAUUGGAUCCACAACUCAGUGUAAGAAUAGAAAAGCAAUGGCUGGAGGAAACUUGCAGAUCUCCUUUCUUCUUCACUUUCUUUGUUUUAUAUUAUACUUAAUCUCACAUGUAUAACUAUAUGAAGAAUUUGGGAUUGACUAUGAUAAGCUGCCGGAAACAUAUGAUUCAUGGAUUGAGAAAAAAGAAAUCUGAAAUCUGGGCAUGGACGAGCUCGAGUUAGUUCCUGGGCAUGUCGACCUCUUUCACCGAGCAAAAAAGAAACAGAUGAUCAUGGAUUGAAAAAAAAAAAUCUGAAAUCUGGGCAUGGACGAGCUCGAGUUAGUUCCUGGGCAUGUCGACCUCUUUCAUUGAGCAAGUCGACUUUCUUUUUUGGUUCGGAAAAGUUGUUCUCUGGAAACAAGGAAAACGAGCGAAAGCCGUUUUCAAUUUUUGUACGGGAGCUCCGAAUUGUAUCCCAAAAGUUGUUUCCCGUGUUUUCGAUAUUUAAGACGCCGAACGGGUAUUAGACCGAUUUCUGUUUUCAUAAUACAGAAAACUGUUUUGUGAUAUGUACCGAACGGGCCCUUAAUGAUCCGGAAUUUUAGAUCUACGAAAACAACUAAGUUUUCAUCAAAAUAGAAACAAUUAAUUGAAAAACCUACUCUCUAUCAUUAUUGACCAAACGAGGCCUUAUUAUCGACCAAAUGAAAUAAAAAGCAAUAUAGUCAAGAAUAUUUCAUUUCUUAAUAACUUGAACACAAUUUCCCACUAUUGUUGUUAAUUGAAUGGCGAAAAUUCUUCUAUGUACCAAAGUGCAAGUGAACCGAGCAACUAAUAUGCAAUAUUUUGAUCCGGCCAUCUACGUCGCACUACAUGCAUAUAUACUAAUACCAUUAACAAAAUUAAAAUCUAAAAAAAUAGUCUCAAGUGUUUCCAACUAAGGAGGUGAGAACACUAGGUAAAAAAAGAUGUACUUUUAUUACGAGCGUUUAAUUUGAUCGGAUCAAAAAUGAAAUUGAAAUUAAGGAAUUUAAGGUCUUUAAUCUUCAUUCGAUCUUUUCAUAAGACGAUUUGAGUACUUACACAUUAAUGGUGCCUUGGUGCGUAAAAUCUGCUCCCAUUGAAUGAAAUAGAAACAAAAGUCAAUUAAUUAGCAAUUAACAAGUGGAGAUUAUUGGGAAAUUAAACAACUAAAGCUAGCGUUCGAGGGCGCUUACACGUUCUGAUCGAUAUUAAUUAAGUGAGCAAAACAAAUUACUAUAAUGUGAAAUUAGACGAUAAAAUCUCGAUCAAUACUCUUUACUUCAUACUUAGUUAUUAUUUCUGGAAAUUAUAUUAAACCAUUGAUAUGUACACACAAUGCCAUGUUGCACAACCAUGCUCCUUCCCAUUCACUUCCUCAAGUAGUGAAGCAGCUAGCAUAUAAUAAUUAAGUUGUUGUAAAAAGCUAGGGGCCUAGGGCUUCUCCUAACUUUCAAAAGAAAGAAACUGGCAAAUGCUUUUUUCUACUUUGCACUACCUUAAGUGCACGUUUGGUACACUGGAUUGCACUGGACCUCUUUAGGUUCUUACACUGCACUGCCCUUACUUGAGUAGGCUUAAGCUAAAGUAAGCUAAACUAAGGAGAGAUUAAGUUAGUCCUAUGUUUGGCAACACAGGUCUAGAAAUGCUGCAUAAUUGAAACAGUUAAAUUUUGACAACCAUCGAUCUUCAUUUUCUGUUUCUGGGUCUGGGUUUGAAUCAACAAAGAUCCAGGACUCAAGUCUAUCAUUUUCUACUAGAGUCAAUAACCCAAAACAAAGUAAAAUGCAUAUUCAAUACAAACUAUGCAAGAAUCCAAUUAUGGUUUCAGAUAAAAUGCACAAAACCCAGAAACAGAAACUAAAUCUGCAUCAGAAACCGGCAAAGAUUUCGAUAAGAGAGAGAGAAUGAAGUACCUAAAGACUAUAUCAGGCGCUGAGCAUCGUCCUGGUUGAAUGUUGGAGGAGAAUAAGAGGAAGAAUGGAGAGAAUUGAAUGGCAGUGAGGAGGGCGAGAAUUGAGCGGGCAAUGAAAUCUGGAUCUUUGUUAAAUUUUGAAAUAGCUGAAUAAAAGAGAGAUGAGGAAUGAAGAAAAGAUGAACAUGCCUAGAGUGAAUGAAGGAGAGAAAGCAGGUGUUAAGUUGAGACACCAAAAAAGAGUACUCAAGUUAACACCAGCUAAGGAGGUGAAAUUGGAAAACCGGUCAUAACUAGUACCAUUAAACUUUGUACCUCUUGUUACCAAACGUAUCCCAAAGUCUUAUUUAAGACUAUCUCAGUUAGUACUGUCAAACAAACGUGCACUGAGUUGAAUACUACUACAUUCAACAACACUUAAUUUAAAGAACAACUUUGUCAAAAAUGCUUUACAUUAUUAAUCCAUAUCUAUGAAGUAUGAAGUAUGAAGUAUGAAGUAUGAACCCUCUAGCUAGUAUAUAUCCCACGUGAUUAAAAGAGGAAUCGAAGAAGGAAACGAUGGAUUCAAGAAUAGAUUAUAUAUUAUCAGCUAGGUCAAAGUUGAGAAGGUGAUCAAUCAUCGAUCCCCUUCGUACGCACAAAAAGAAAGACGACACGUACGAGAAAACAUCGAUCGAAGUUGCUUGCUUGCUAGUUGCUACUACGUAAGAUUGACUCGUUAAAACAAAGACGACAUAUACGCAAUCCAACAAAAUUAGCCGACACGUACAGAGCUCUCUCUCUCUCUCUCUGCUAUCUAGCUCUUACCCCGAAACCCAGUCUUCUUCUUCUUCUUCUACUCUCUGAAUUCUGACCUUUAUAUUAAUAUUUUUACUGCAUCGAAAUAUUCGUUCACACGUACUCGACCUUCUUCGAAAACGAUCCUUCACAGUCACCAGUUUAAACAUUCCACCAUCGAUGAUCACCAGCUAUCAGCUAGAUCGAGCCCACAGAAUCCCUAAACCUUUAUGUUGUUAUGUACCAGGGGCCUUAUGACGAUCAUGACCUCAAGUACGUAGUAUCAUAUGAGAGCGAGCUUGAAUCAAACUAGCUAGCUAGAGCUCCCCAGGUUUCGAGCUAGCUAGCUUUUGGUUUUGUCUUGUUUCCCACCCAGCUCUCAUAUAUGCACGUCAAUAUUGUCUUUAUUAGCUUAACUUUCUUCGGAUUCGAAUCUUCAAGUUUUGUUGUUCUUCUGGUUGAAAUUCGAAAACACUAUUGAGAAAUGAGAAUGCGCCAUCUUGGCGAUGGCGUAAUCUUCUUGCGAUUUAUAGACAGACCAAUUACUUGUUUCAGUGUAAUCUAUAAAAGUUCUGGAAGACGGAAGCGAGCAGAGAGAGUGAUAGAGACUGCAGUAUGAGUCUAUGAGGUAAUGGAAGGCACCACGUACCAUACCCUAAAGAAAAAGGCUACUCUACCAACUUUACCACUUUAUUCAUAAAUAAAGUUUUUAUUUUGUGUCUGUGUGUGUAUAUAUAUAUUAAGUUUCUAGUCCAUGCAUUUGAGGGAGGCUGCAGUGAACGAAAUUAAGAAAGAAAGCCACUAAGCCAGCCAUGCUUUCCUUUCAUUCGACGAUGGCAAAUUAAUCAGUGCCGCAUCUGAAACUUUGGUACAGUACCGGCCUUGCGGCAUGGCCAUGAUCUAUGAUUGCAUUCUUUCUUUCUUUUCUGGAGACUAUCUGUGGGGUUUGAGAGCUCAAAAUUCUUAAUAGUUCUCAUUUUCUUAUGUAAUCUUAGAUAAUAACACCACACUGACGAUUAAUAAAACCAGCAAGCUAGAUCGAGUACCGUUUUUUUCUUCUUAAUUUGUUUUAAUCUGUCAGAUAUGGUCAUUUGUCUUAGCAUUAGUUUCUAGAGACAAAUCAUACCAUCCCAAUAUUUGGAUUUAGAGGCUAUAUCAUCAAUAUCUUUCUGGGUUGAUUUUUUUUUUAAUAUUUAUUUUAUAUUUUUAAUAGUCAAUGCUAUAUAUAGCAAUAUAUAGCUAGUUAUUAUUGUACUUCUUUUAUAGAAAAAACAAUUGUGUGUUAUUAUCCUUAACUGGUUGGUCUGAUGGAAGUCAAUGCCAUGCAGUGUAUGUCUAGGACAAUUAGGGUUUCAAUAUAUAAUUUAAGGACUGGAAGAGAUAAGUGGAAAACAUAUCUAAACAUUUCCCAGCUAUGACUCUUGUUUGGUUUCCACUUUUAUGAGCAUCAUCAACUAUCUGCUGCCAAACUUGCAUCUAGUAAGCUCAUUUUAGGGGAAAAUGUUUAUAACCAUUAGGAAAAAAAAAAAAAAACUUAAAGCAUAUGUCUCAUAUGAGUACUAAAUACCCUAUUAAAUUUCAGGGUGCGAAAAGUUACUUAUUUUGGUUAAACAUAAACCAUGCUUUUGGAGAUGAAUACAAAUAAAAAUAUGAGAGUUUUGACCCAAAAAAUUAGAACCGAUACGUGUACCUACGAACAUAUUAGAUCUAAGGGAAAAGAAUCAAAAGAUUCUGUUCGAAGUGAAUCAUCAAAAUAAAUCAACUGAAGUGAUUGAUUUUGAUUUGGACCGAAAAGAUGAGGUUUUAGUCAUGAUCUUUGCCAACAAUUUCACUAUCACUCAAUGAUUCAAAAUUUCAAACGCUAGCUUGUCAUAGCUGAAUUUGAAAGAUAUAUAUGGCUCAGCAUUAUUUGCCAUCUUCAAUCAAAACGUGCCGAUCAUUCAUUCUCAGCUUCUAAUUAAACCCAUGUGUUAUUUGAAUAGAUGAGAUCAGAAAAUCGUCAAGGAUUAUGCUUUAAAUUGAGACCAAAGAAGGCAUAUAUAUGACAAGGAUUAUGCUUUAAAUUCAGACCAAAGAAGGCAUAUAUAUGACAUAGCAUGCAGAUCAUAACGAGUCACAGUUAAAUUCAAAGUCUCAAGCUGAACAAAAUGGUAUUGAGAAUAACUUACACAAAGAAGAUCGAGAAUACCAAAAUUAUGAUUAGAUGUAGUCAUAACUCAUAAGCCAUAACCCUUUAAAAAAAAACUUAAAAUAUAAAGGAUAAAGUGUAGAGACAAAGAGAUAGCAAGAGAGUCAUCAUCUUAUUCAUUGAUAGGAGACCUUUAUAUAGGGAAUUACACAAUACCAAUAUGGUAAGGAUAUGAAUACAUAGAUCUAGUCUAACUACAUAUCCUAUUGACAUAAGGCCAAGACACACAUAGAGAAUAUUCUAGAACACUCCCCCUUGUGCCGCGCGCUGAUAUGCCGAUGGUGCUGAUCUGUUGCCUCGUCAAAAACCUCGUCAAGUCACAAAAACCCUGUGGGAGAAAAACUGAACCUUGAUCGUAGGAGAAAAAGAGUACAACGCACCCUUCACAUUUGAUAGUGACAUGUAUGUAUGUGCUAGACUCCCCCUGAAGUUCGCACCCUUCACAUUUGAUAGUGACAUGUAUGUAUGUGCUAGACUCCCCCUGAAGUUCGCACCCCCCCUGAUCUUUACAUCAAUCAUAGGGCUCUUCCUGAUUCUUACUAAUCACGGAAGUUUUAACAACUUAGCAUGUCAAUGCUUUUUAACAUGUCUUCAAAUGUGGCAUUGGGCAAUGAUUAACUAAAUCAUGCCGUAUUGUCCUCAAAUGAUCUUUUACACUUAGAUCUUGAGGAGAAGGUCGCUUGUGAACUCAAAACAUAAGUUCGUGCAGGAAAUUAGGUUUCCGCGCAGCAUGACCUUCAAUUACUAGAACAGUCGUAACUUCCUCUAGGAAAUACAUAUGAACGAACCGUAAACGGUUUUGGAAACUAGACUCAUUUAGCUUUCCAACCGUAUAUUACACACAUUCUGGUUCAUCAGGAGCUGUUUACAAAGUCCCGUCGAAGUUGACUGUUUUGCCAAAAUCAGAUUCUCGGACAGAUUCGUCAUACUUUACGAAAACGGCCAUAACUCACUCAAUAUGAUAGGUAUGAUCAAAUGGUUGGUGUCUCUGGAAAGUAGAAACAUAGACCUUUCUAAUGGUACCAAUUUCACCAUUUUCCAGUGAGUGAGAUUUCCUAUAGGUCCCGUGGAAGUUGACCUACAAAACUUGACAGAUUCUGAUUUCGCUUUUGAUGUGUCUUUCUUAUGUAGGGAUAGAAUAAGCCUCAACCUUUCAUACCAUUAAGUAUUGAAAAAGGAGUUACUGCCAUUACAUUGGCGUUGCAUGGGCGCAUAGCUACACUUAGCUUUACAACUUUUCAUAGCGAAUGAGAUGUCAAGUCUUUCGUAUUGUGUUGAGUACAUUGAUGCGUCUAAUUGUACUUAGAUGGGAACUCCAUCUCUUAACACAUAUUUGUCAUCUUACUUUAGACAAAACAACUGAUCUCUCUUUAGAGCAAAGACCUUGACUAAUCAUGGGAGUAUAUGUAGGUCUCACUAGUUAUAGAGCGCCUAAGCCGAUUGAUGGAAAAUCAUCAUCAAUACAGUCAUCGAGUGCCUUAUCGAGACCAUGUCUUCCCAAGAUCUUUUUCUUCGGAUGUUGAUAUAUAUUGGCAUCUCUUGAUCCAUCAAGAGUCCAUGUAAAUCCGGAAUGAACACGCAAAGGCAUAAUUCACCAUAUCCCUUCCAAAUCAAGUAGAGUCUAUGUGCGUUUCAAUACAUUUAGCAAACGCAUGCUCCUGUGGUUUGGAGCCACUUGAUUCGGAUGAAUGAAGUCCGUUUAAGAUCUUCAUGUAUAUCUCUGAUCCCAUAGAGAUGUUAUUAUGACCACAUUCAUAGGUUGCUUGUUCAGUUAUUCGAAAACUACCAAAAUGACAAAGUAGUGGAGUUCAAUGACAUCCAUUACGAGAGCAUAUCUCAUCGUAGUUGAUCCCAGUGCGUGUUAGUGAAAGACCUUGCGCCAUAAGGUGAGUCUAAGCUCUUACUCUCACUACGCUAUCUAACAAAGGCAUAGUUGAUAGGGUUUAGCUUGCGGUGUUGGCAUCACCUGCCCAAGGACCUAUCUCUUUGUUAAUGCAGGAUCACAUCUUUCCAUUAGGCCAAUCAACUAAGUUGAUAUCCAUCAACGAAGGGUGGUUCGAUAGUAGACUCAUUAUCUCAUGUCCUCAUGUACACUAGUGUAAUACUUGUAGAGAUCUCUAUAUGGAUUGGAUUUGACAUUGAGGCGUCCCCCAACGAUAAUCACAAUUCAGACUUCAUGAGACGGAUUUGAGUAUCACUGAUCAAUGGAUCAGGUUGUGCCAAGCUCGCUUUCUUUCUAGUGCAAGACAAUAUCGAACCUAAGGGCCUCCUCCUUUUAGGGAGCCACACGGCCUUGUGACACCAAUUUGCCACUAUAUGGCGUCACCAUAUCACCAUCCAUGGUGAUGGCGUCAAGACCAACACUUUUUGGNNNNNNNNNNNNNNNNNNNNUUUGGGAUCAAGAUGAGACUUUAGUGGGGACAAACCACGACAAUUCACGUCGUUCCACUUGAACACUUUGUGUUCUUAUCUCCCCCUAACGGCGGGAAUAUUGUCUCAUCAAAGUGACAAUCCGCAAUUUAGCGGUGAAUGAGAUUGCCUGACAAGGUUCCUACAUAUGCGGAUUAUAGGUGGAGGUUCAUAUCCAACCUAAACUUAUUCAUCUCAAAAUGACCAAUCAUUGUACGCAAUGGCAAUGCGAUUUGGCACCUAGAAAUAACAUCUAGCGGAGCUCAAGGAUUGGAGAUCCGUUUCAAUCCUGCCGAGCUCAAGGAUUGCAAUUUCGUGUCAAUCGUGGUACACAGUCACGAGCUGUAGUACAGCAAAAUUCAAUGAUGGUGGGUCGUAAAUGAAUAGUAAAGCUGCAUGCAAAUAUUGCAUAGCCCCAAGACGCAAUAGAAAGAGUGGUGCGCAUCAAUAAUGUUCGAGCGACAAGCUAAAGUUGCUUGGUCGUAGCCUCGGUGAGACUGUAUUGCGUGUGAACAUGGGGUACAGGACACUUCAACUUACAUCCCGAUGAACUUCUUUAAAGAAUGGGUAGUGAGCCCGUAGAAGUAUAAGCAGCAUAAGCAGUAGAUAAUAGUGUAACACGUGACCAGUGUGCUAACACUUCAACCAAUACCAUAAAGCAUAAAAGGUGUCCGCAAAUUGGUUGUAUCUAUCUACACAAUUUUAUGUAAGAAUAGAAUGUUCACUUUUGUGUUAUUUAGCAUAGGAGGGUCUCACUCCUAAUUUAGCUAAAGAAUAGGCUUUCAAAACGAGCAAUGAGCAUUACAGGGGGCCAAUGCGACAUCGAGGAAAGGCCGGUGCACCUCAAUUGCUUGAGGAAUUGACCGGAUGACCUCCAGAAAGUUGGAGUUGUGUUCGGGUGACGUCAAUGUCCCCCGGGUCACCACCAUGCUUCAUGGUGAUGCUAGGUCUCGAAUGUCUUCGUUUUGAGCGGAAGAAUGGAUGUCCAUGAGAAUUUCUCAAAAUUUGGAUCAUUAUAUCUCUUCCAGGUUGACCAAUUUAGUCAAACCAAAGCCUAUAUGAGUCAGUGUCCCAAAUAUCAUGUUUGGCGACAACAUGGGAUUCGAUAUUCGAAUCAUAGUGACAUACAGUCCACUAGAUUGACUCAUGAAUUUCUCCAAGAUGCGCUUCAGUCCGCAUUCAUGAGAAGGUAUACACAAAAGAAUUCUUGUUCAUUCUCACAAUGUGUUUUCAAAUGAAAACCAUUAGCAUGAAUGUCUUUAAAGCUCAACAUGGUUCCUUAGAAUGUUGUGGAUAGUUCCACUAUCUGCGAAGCACUCAAUGUCUCUAUGAGACAUAACUACAAGGAGUAGAUAGGCGAGUAAAUAGUUCUACUUGAACCAUUUAGAAGGAUUGAAAGAAGCUACGAAAAGCUGCAAUCCCGAGAGUGCAUAAAAAUUUCCGCGCAGAAUGACCUUUGCGCACUAAAACAGCCAUAACUUCUUCGUUAAAAUAGAUAUGGACAAACCGUGAAAAGUUCUGAAAACUAGAUAGAGCUUUCCAAUGAUAUAAAGCUCACUGUCUGGUUCGUCCGGAGCUGUUCACAAAGCUCAAACGAAGUUGACUGUCCAGAAGGGACAUAUUGCUGUUUUUCGCAGAUUUGACAUGUGCGAAGCUGUGAAGCUUGCAGGUGGCGUGUAAGCUUUUGCCUUAGCCAAAUGUGACGUGUGUAUGAUCAAAACUAAGUCCUUUCGAUCGUUCUAAGGUCGUAAACUCCAUGACUAGUUAGCAAAAGCUCCCUGACAUGAACAUAAACUAACUCAGAGGACCUAGAGGAUCCGAUUAUGAUGAUAAUUUUCCAGCUUUGAUAAGUCUUCAACGUCUUUUGCAAGACGGCAAUUGGUUUAAUAGCGUAGGGGGAUCCAAAAUCAAAAGCUUUCGGUAACUCCAAGUCAGUAUGACCAGGCAUGUCCGUGGAGGGUCGGUAGUGCGAGGCACACUUAAAACCACUAUCUCCUUAAUUUCGGACAAUUCUAAGACAUCACACUGAGCUUGGAUGAGCCUAGUUGAACAAUUGAUGAUGAAAAAUCGGCUAUAGGGUAGAGGACUUAACCGGAAACACGUGGGCGAUCCUCCUUGAGGAUGCAGUGCCAUGAGUCACCUUCAAAGGAAGGGACCAAAAUUGGCACAAUAUGCCAUGUUUCUAAGGACGAUGUAAGUGUACAUCUUGAUUGUAAAUCAAUAUGAACCAUAAGAGGAGAAUAGUUUCACUUCGAAAANNNNNNNNNNNNNNNNNNNNAAAUAAGUUUAUCACAUUAGCGUAUAUACAAUUCCUGUUUGUAUGAUCAAAAUCAAGUCUCGUUGGUAAUUCCACACCAACUUGGAGGACCUAGAGAACUUGAUGAUGAUCGAAUCCGCUAAAGAUUAUGGAUCAUGAUGCCACAAAAGAUCAUCGACAAUAUGUAGUCAAUUAAGGUGGUAAGCAAUCCACUUGACUAAUAACUCAACAAGUAGAGUUAUAUGAACGUUUCGAGAAACGCUCCAUGAGUGCAUUCCACAGUACUUUGUGGUCAUUACUUUUUGCACAGAUUGCCAUUGAAGGCUUUUGUCGAUGUGGCGCGUCAAAGACUUUGGGCGCAUGAGAUGUGAAAUCUCGGCAUCUAGGCUUGUUAGCCUGGGGUUAAAACAUGUGGGUUAAUCCUUUCCAAUGAAAGGUUCCACAGAUACCAAGCGAAGAUCCGCCUUAGGCAUCUAGUACGUCAAAACUCAACGGAGCAGAAUGUUACAUUUCUCUUGCAUACAAAACUAAGCUGUUAUGAGACUCGAUAGAGGUCACAAACGAUGCUUUUAAUGGUUUGUCCUUCGGAUUGAUCAUACAUAAUCCGGAAAAGCCGUGAAUUGAUCAAACACAAUUCGAAAAAAAUGCCUCGGAUUGAUCAAACACAAUCCGGUGAAAGAUGGGGUUGAUCAAACACAACCCGGACAAAGAAACAAGAGUGAUCAAACACACUCUUGACCCGCGAAUAAAAUUCCGGGAUUUGGGUACCUGCACGCACAAAAUCCCAAGCAUAGAACGGAGAUGGAGAAGGGAGGAAAGGAUUUUAUCCUCCCCGAGUUAUUGAACUUGGAAAAGUUUAAGGUUUCAAAAAACAUACCUUUCUAGAGGCUGCCGAGAGGAGAAAUAACGUUUCGCCUACUUAUACUUCGAAUUUGAGGCUGAAAAUUUGAUAGGAGGAGCAGCACUGGAUGGGGAAGCUGCUGUCAAAAUUUCAGGUUGAUCGGAGCAAGGGAAGGUGAUGAACCGGUGGUCGGUAGCGGUGGUGGUCUGGAAUCUUCCGGCGGCCGGUUCGGAGACUUUCCGGCCGGUUCUCAGGGUGAGACCGGCGGCGUUGGAUCUGGGGCGGAGAGAGUUUUAUGGGGAUAUAAAAUUCCGGCGGAGGGCAGUCGGAAUUUUGGUCGGAAAUCGGGAAAAACAAGGCUGCCCGAUUUUAGGGUUUUGGUUUUUAGGGUUUAGAAAAUAAAUGGUGGGCUAUUGGCUCUAGGGUUAGAACAAAGUGCAUGAUAACGUGAUAAAUGAUAAAGUGUAGAGACAAAGAGAUAGCAAGAGAGUCAUCAUCUUAUUCAUUGAUAGGAGUCCUUUAUAUAAGGAAUUACACAAUACCAAUAUGGUAAGGAUAUGAAUACAUAGAUCUAGUCUAACUACAUAUCCUAUUGACAUAAGGCCAAGGCACACAUAGAGAAUAUCCUAGAACAUAAAAGAGUAUUACAAUCAUUAUAGAACAGUUGACAAAUACCCAAAAGGGUGGAGUGUCAUUUUUGAUCCUUGUAUCUAGUUGUUAGUUGUUACUUAUUUGAUGUGUAUAAGACUUUAGUUGUAAUAAUGUUCAUUAAC
rnacentral:lncRNA from 1 species